AAUGGUCCAGUGUCCAAGGGUCCAUACGCUCAAAAGGCCAAAACACCCAAAAUAUUGACGGAUGGGUGGCUUAUUUAGGAGGUGUUAUUGGUUUAGAUAUUUUGAUUGAUUUAGAAGUUCAUAUAGUAUUUAUAUGUAAAAUAAGUAAACCUGGAGGUUUUCCUUCAGAUUUGAGUCUUUGUAUUUUUAACAAAAAAAUCUAUUCAAAUCCAUUAUAAAAUCAAAUAUAUUAGUAAAUCCGUACGAUUGAAUAACACUUAAUUUGAUAUAGAAUUUAUGAAUCAUUAAACCAAUAACACAUGAUUGUAAUACAGAUUUUAAAAUCAUAGAAUCAAUAACACUAGAUUUAGUUCGGAUUUUCAAAUCCAUUAAAAUAUAACAACCAAUAACCCCUACUUAGGCUAUCUAAACUGACUUUAAUUUAAUUCUUAUCUACAAGUUUUAAAAUUAUCAGUUAUGUUUUAUAUCAGUUUUCAAAGCAAUAGCUAAAAGAUUAGAAAAAUGUAACAAUAAAAAUUUAUUAUCUAAAACAAUAUUUUAGCUGUAACAAAAAGUAGUGAUGUAAAAAUAUUUUCAUUUUUCAUUUUUUUUAAACUUUAUACGUACAACAUAUAAAAUGUUAUUACAAUUACAGCAUAACCAAUCAUCUUCUGCAUCUGUUUAUUACACUUUUUGACGAAUAUUUUAACAAGUUAUAAUUCCUUGUAAAUAAAAGUACACAUUUAUUUCUAUUUUUGAGAGGUUUGAGGUCUUAGGGGUCUUAGACCAUCUCUAUUUUUAACAAGUUGUCAUCAAAUUUUCUCUCAAAAUGAUGUAAAUUCAAAAUGAAUUUGAAUUUUGCUCCAAUGGUUGCAUUCAUUUUUCCCUUCAAAAUAUAAUAUUCUAAGUAUAUUCUAUUAUUAAUAAUUAUUAUUAUUUAUAAUAAUAAUAUAUAUUUAAAAAACUUACACGUUUACCCUGCUAUAAUUUUUAUUUUAACUAAAUCUUUAUUUUAUACAAAAGUUUAGUUUCUAAAAGAAUGAACAAUUAUUUAUAUGAAAUUAUAAUUGUAUUAGUGAAAGUAUUAUUAAUUUCAAUGAAGUAUAAAACACAAAUAUUUAAUCUUUUAAAUAUAAAAUUAAAAAUAUAUAAAAAUUUAAGAAUCAAUUUGUAAAUAAAAGUUCAAUAGUAAAAAUGAGGUUGUGAAUAGUAUUAUUUCCCUGGAAGCCAAGAGACAAACCAUGUAAGAUAUCAUAUAUUCCUAUAUGUGUGCAGCUUAUCUGAGUGGUAGGUUUUGAACCUAAGAUGUUUAGCACCUUUCCAAGUCCGCGGCACCAUCUGGUCACGCCCGUGUGGGCUAAAAUAAUUGUGUUUCUAGAAAUCGUACACAUAUUGUAAAAAAUAUAAUAUUUGUUUUUGUUUUUUGGGUUCACAUUGGUAUGUAUAUAGAUGAUUUUAACAACUUCUUCUUCAAUUCCAAAUCAGAAAACAGUUGUAUCAAAAUAUCAAAAUUAUGUUUUUUGUUAUGGUAUAAGAGCACUUUUUUUUCCUCUUUGAAUCUUGUUUGCUUUUUAUUUUGGGUUUUGUUCCUAGCUCAAAUUUAUCGAAUAAUCAAUUUUCUUAAUUUUGAUAUGUGUUCCUAAAACUCAUUUUGCUCAAAAUGGUGAAGUGAGGUAGAAAGACGUAGAUACAAAGCUCAACACAUGAGAUUCUAUGUUCUGAAGCUUGGACUAGGUUUUAAAGCUGAUUCUUGAUGAACACGAAGAUUCUCAUGCAUAUGUAUUCAAUAAUAAAGUAUUUUUUUCAAGAAUCCUAAAAGUCUAUAUAUACUAAGAACUAAAAGAUAAACAAGAUAUAUGAUCAUAAGAGCAUCCUUAGUAGUGUAGUACUUCCCCAAAUUAUUUAGUCAAUUACCUCUCUAGCCUUUCUCUACCUCUUCUAGGAUUUCAGCCGCAAAUUCCUCUUUUCCGACGGUUGCCACUGUGCUCUCAAGCGACCGUUGGGACUCACCUUUUUUUGUCUAUGUUCUCCUCUGUUCUCCCUGUCUUCUGCGGCUGAGGGAGUGGUGGUCCAACACAUCAGAUCUGGUUUCACCAAAAUCCGAUCUAGGAUUGUGGCAUUUGGAGAUGCUUGAGGACGGUGCCUCUUUAUUUCGUGUUCAUCAUGCAUCUGGCUAGUUCUCUCCAGUGCUUUUUUCAUGUGCUUGGUCUUCUCCUCCGAGUGUAGAGGUGUGUGUUGUGCCGUCAAACUCUUCGUCGGCCUUGUGUUCUUCCUCCGGUGUGGUGUUUGGUGGUGUACGAGACUGCUUGUUGAGUUGGAGCUCUGGGGUUUGUCGUCUCCGGUAAGGUUUGUGUCUUUGUUUUGUUUCUGGUGCCUCGGUGUGUUCCCGUUGGUAGCAGCACGUGUGGGUUCGUGGAUGGUAGAGGCGUCGGUCUGCUUCUCCGAGGCAUGCUUCGUCUCUCGCUCUUCUCAAAUAAUCCUUUCAACAUCGUGUUCAUGUCUCGUGAGCGAGUGACAGCUCGGGUGUGUUCUUUGCUGCGAUAGUUAGUCACUCGGAUCAGAGUGUGGCUUCGGAUUGUUUCUUCUGGCGGGUUGUGUGUUUCCUGAUCCGUUUUCUCUAUAUGAGUAGGGAUUAGAUGGGUGUGUACGGUCCCGGUGGAAUGCAAAGGAGGUGGUAAUCUCUAGCGUAAACUACUGAAUGACAACAUCGUCGGGUCUCGGCUUCUCCUCGUACUGAUGGUGGUCUCAUUUUUCUGGCCUGCUUUGGUUUCAUGUUCGGAUUCUUUGCUCGGGUACGUUCUGGGUUCUCGUUUUAAGCUGUAGAAGCCGUAGCAUUCAGGGUUUGAGGGCGCUCUUCUCUCGGUAGCUCGCGGUAACUAACUGGUUUUCUCAUCUAGAACUUGUGGUUGGUUGGUCUGAGCCUGUCUCUCUCUUAACUGUUUAAUCGCUUGCGUUUGUAUUGCUUUUGGUCCGUUCCUUUGUUGUUGUGUAGUUGUUCUGGUGUUGUUGUUCAUUGUUUUUUUUUACUUGUUUCCUAUGUAAUGUUUGCCAAAAAUCGAAAAUCUUGCUGUUCUUUGUUUUUGUUACUUGUUUCCUAUGUAAUAUCUGUCAAAAAUCAAAAAUCGGUAAUGAUAUUUAAAAUUUUACCUGAAAAAAAGAAAAAAUUUAGUCAAUUUAAUAUUAAUAUUAUUUUUCUGUGUAAUUUAAAAAAUUAAAGAGAAAAGAAAAAGACCAUAUAUCAUUUGAACCGAACAGUUAGGCUACGUAACUUUACGUUGACUCCUCUUCCCCUUCACCUAAGAUUUUGAGUCUCUCACAGUUCUUUCCAAGUUUCUUUAAGAACAAUCACUUCACCGUUUCAAAAUAAAUAAAAAAAAUUAAAAAUAAAAUUUUUUAUAAAUUAAUAACUCUAUAAAUUAAUAAAAUAUUAUAGUCCCAACAUUAUUAAUUUAUAUAGAGUUUUUACUUAAUUGCUGAGAAUCAUGGGAAGAAACACACUGCUCUAAUUAUAGUAAUCAUAAUCUAAGAAGAAUUUUUUUAAUAAUUAUCCUAAUGUAACUAUUAUUAGACGUAUGGACCAUCCAAAGUGUAUAGUCUAAAGUAGUGAAAGAUAUGCUGAAACGAAAUCAACAAAGAGAACACAAUUAAGCCGAUUAGGACUUCAAGCCCUUGCUUUUGCUCCAAAUGAGUUUCUCAAUUUCUCAUUGAAGAAAUAUUAUUCAGUUCUUCAUUUUUUUAAGAUGAAUUUUUUUAUUUACAAACUAAUUCUUAACUUUAACUUAUUGUUAUUUUAUACUUAAAUCAAUUAUAAGUGUUGAUGUCACCCAAUUAAUUUCAUAGAACAUGAAAAUAUUAAUUUUUAAGAAUUCUAAGUUUGUUUUAGAAGAAUUUAGAAUAAAAUAAGUUCCUUUUUCGUUCUUAUAUAUAAUAAUCUAAUAUUCUUUAUUUAUUUAUUUAUGUCAUGUGUAAUAAUUAUAUCAUAUAAUAAUUUUUAAAUUAUAAUAAACAGUGAUUGUUUCAAAUUAUUGUUAAAAUAAAAUAGUUGGGUAAAAUUAGUGAAUUUGAAAAACAAUUAAGGUAGUAUUUAUAAUUGAUUAUAAAGUGAUAAUAUAAUAGAUUUAGAAUAUUUAUUUUUAAAGAAAAAACUGAAUUAAAUAGUUGGAAAACAUGUGGUUCAUUUUUUUAAGAACUUCAAAAAAAAAAAAUUAACCAUUAGAGAUGCUAUUUACCAUAGAACACAUACCAUCAGGAUGGUUGAAGUGUAACUUUGAUUGUAGUUUUCAUCGAGAAACGAGAUCAGAUGGGCUUGGUUUGAUAGUUCGUGAUGAAAGAGAAAGAUUCUUGGUUGCUGGUAUGGCUAAAAUAAAUAAUGUAUCUUCUCCUCUUCAAGGUGAAGCUCUUGGGUUCCUAUAUGCAGUACAACAGACUUGGAUCAGAGGUUGGCGUCAUGUUUGGUUUGAAGGAGAUAGUGUGGAAUUGCAAAGAAUCAUAAACCAAAUGGUUGAUCAACAUGUCCAAUUAGGUAACAUUCUACAUGAUAUCAGAUCAUGGAUCUCACGUUUACCCUUCUGCUCUUUGGGAUCAGUUAAUCGUAAGAAGAAUACGGCUGCUGAUGCUCUCUCUAAAGAAGCAGUAGAGAUGGAUAAUGAUUAUACUAUGUUACUGAUUCUGCCUCCUUGGCUAAUAGGCUUCCUGUAUGUGAACCUUUCACAAUUUGAUUUUUUAAUAAAAUGUUGUUCAAAAAAAAAAAAAACACAUACUCGUUGACUUGCUCGGCUUCUUGUGAGUCAAUCGUUUUGGUUUUAUCUUUUUGUGAAUUCGGGUUGAUUGGUACUAUAAUGGGCUUUACUAGGCCCAGUAAUCAAUAUGGAUCUCCACAUCUCGGUUCUAGGGUAUUAGACUCCAUGUAAACACAAAAUAUAUACGGCUGAGAUAUCACUAAACAAAAGAUCCAACGGCUAAGAACAAUUUACAUCCAAUAAGAUGUGAGACGAACAAUCUAUCCACAGAAAAAUUUAGACAAUCCCUAAUUUGACAAAUUUGUUAUUUGCCUCUGACCUCCUCCUCCACCAGCUCUUUGUGUCUUCUUUCCUUUCCCUGAAGAUCAGAUUGGCUAGGGUUUUAUCCCUUUCCCAAAAUCAAAACUCUCGAUUCUAGCCAAUUUGUGCGAGUAAUUGACCUCAUCGUUUCGUCCUUUUGGUGAGUAACGAAUCCGUCUACGUUUCUGGGGUUUUUGUUUGUUUGCAGUGAUGCUUGGGGUGAGAUAUGAUCCUCUCCAUCUCUGGUGAUUACUACUGGUUUCUAUAUAAUCCUUAAACAAGAAUGUUACCCGUGAGAGAAGGUCUUCAGAAACAGGUUAAGAUUCUGAUUGGAUUAGGGUUUGGGGGUUACCGGGGUUUCCACUCUAGAUUCGCUCACCCUAACGGCUUUCUCGAGCCCGCGAGCUCCGAUUUGCUUCUGAGCAACGAAAGGAGGAACCUUUCUGUCCUCGGCGCUCUCUCUCGAACUUUCUCUGUUCCUUCUGUCUCCGGUCCGGCGUUUCAGGUCUGUGGCUAUCACAUUGAUCUUUUGCUCUCGGACGCGAGUUUGAGGUCGGUGGGUGAAUCAAUGGCGAGUCUUGGUGGUUCAAAGUCCUUGUUUUUAGAUCCCUUGGUUUCUGGUGUGACGGUGUGUGGAGAUGGUCAUAGCCGUGGAAGAGUCAGUAUGAGACUCAGAGGAAGAGACCACGGGGAUAAUAACAACUCUACGGUCUACGGCUACUUUGCUUACCGAGCUGCUAAGAAGUGGAUUGCUUUCAAUCCUAAAACUGGAGGGUUAGGGUUUAGAGGCUUGCACAGCUCACUGUUGAGCCGCUUUUCAGCUGGGAAUGCGCCUGAUGUCUCGUUUGAUAGCUCUCCCGCCGAGGAGCAGGUUAAAGGUUCUUCUUCGGAUUCUGUAGCGGAUAAGCUUUGUGUUAAGCCGUUGAAGCUCGUCUCCGGGUCUUGCUACCUACCGCAUCCUGAUAAAGAGGCGACGGGAGGAGAGGAUGCUCACUUUAUCUGCGCAGAGGAGCAAGCGUUGGGUGUUGCAGAUGGUGUGGGAGGUUGGGCGGAGCUUGGUAUCGAUGCGGGUUACUACUCUCGUGAGCUUAUGUCUAACUCUGUGAACGCAAUCCAAGACGAGCCUAAAGGAUCGAUUGAUCCUGCCAGAGUAUUGGAGAAGGCUCAUACUAGUACAAAGUCGCAAGGGUCUUCAACGGCUUGCAUCAUAGCGUUGACGGACCAGGGACUUAACGCGAUCAACCUAGGGGACAGCGGGUUCAUGGUGGUCCGUGAAGGGCAUACCGUUUUCCGCUCUCCCGUUCAACAGCAUGACUUCAACUUCACGUAUCAGCUGGAGAGUGGGAGCAACGGCGAUUUGCCAAGCUCCGGUCAGGUGUUCACGGUUGCUGUAGCUCCUGGAGACGUGAUAAUAGCUGGAACAGACGGAUUAUUCGACAAUUUGUACAACAACGAGAUCACAGCCAUAGUGGUUCAAGCGGUGAGAGCUGGAACAGAUCCUCAGGUGACAGCACAGAAGAUUGCAGCUUUGGCGAGGCAAAGAGCACAGGACAAGAACAGACAGACUCCAUUCUCUACGGCAGCGCAAGAUGCUGGAUUCAGAUACUAUGGAGGUAAGCUUGAUGACAUUGUAGUUGUAGUCUCUUAUGUGGCGGCUUCGAAAGAAGUAGGGAAAACAUUGAAAUGAAGAUACAAAUACAGAUGUUGUGUGAUGUGUUGAGUUUCUUAAGGUUUGUGUUUUGCAGAGAGACCUCUCUUGUUUUUGUUUGGUGGCUUGUGAGCAAGCCGGAUCAACUGAUUAUAUUUGAUUUUUUUGAUAUAUGUGUUGUAUAUGUAAAUAAAAGGAGAAAGAGAACUUGUGUUGGAUUAUGAAUAGCGCGUUAGCCGUAAUUGAUUCGCACACCCACUGGACUUGCAAAAUCUACUAACACGCCCACAAUAUAAGUCUCUGGUGGAGUUUCUCUGUCACAUAAUUCACUUUCUUUUAUCUUUUUACUUUGACUACAUAUCUUAACUACAUAGUCACUCAAAGUUUCACUUUCUUUGUUGAUCAAGAUUCUCAUUCUACUCUACAUUUAGCAUUGAAGUGCAUCAUUUUUAGCUGUCAAAGCAAUGAGUGCAUGACUUAGUCAUUUGAGGAACCAUUACUGUACAUCACCAGCAUCAAGUUUACUUAAGUUUCUACUUUCUAAUAAGGCUUAGGCCUCGUUGACCAGUAAAAAAAAACAAUUAGGUCCCAACUCUCAAGUCAUUUGGCUGUGAGAAAAACUGACUCGUACACAGAUUUAGAUAUAAAGUGAAAAUGGUUUGACGAAAACAGUCAACAGAGAGUAUGUGUGAUGAUAAGCUCCCCGUUAGAAGAAGGAUCUAAAGAAGCUUUGAUCCCUAUGGAUGAUAGACCUUCCACUCCCACUGUGACUGGCUUUCCUAGUAGCUUCACUCCUUGCUUCCAAUAUCUUUCAUCUGCACGAUAGAUAAUGUGAUAAAAAAGGAUUGCAACAAAACCUAUAAAUAUAUUCGCCUCCUGAAACUAACAUGUUAGAUAACCCUAUUCUACCCCUCCUGAAAGUACAAUCCAUCCAUCAACAACAGCCUUAAGUCGUCAAAUUAAAUCCAAAUUACAUGUUAGUAACCACAGGCAUUAUUUCGAACCGCUUUAUGAGUACAGUGAGAGUUAUGAGUUUCAUACCCGGUCCUGUUGAGAUCACGAUUGAGUUUUCUUUGUCCAUCACCCAAUCCAUCCACAAUGCAAUUCCAUGGCAUACACCGGGUUUGGUAAACUCAAUCUGUUUGCAGAGAAAAUGCAUUCAUCAGAGUUGUUUGUACUAAUGAUGCAUGCCUCUGCAAACUGUCUGCAUGUACGUAAUAUAUACGUUCUGAAUUCUCCAACGAACAUACCUGGACUUCCCCAGAACAUGGACCUGCGAUGGGCUUGGAGAAAUCAAACUCCAUAACUGUGAAUUCCUUGCUAAGUUUCUGCAGAUUUUCCAAGAACAGGAACAAUCUUAACGUUAACCCAACGCUUGUUUAGUACACAAUUUUAAGAACUUAUGUUCAAAAAAAAAGAACUUUUGUUUACCUUUGUCUCUCCACAUUGCCAGACAAAAAAGGGCAAACAAGGACUGUCUUUACCAGAAGGUAGAUCACCACAUCCCCCUAAAGUUGUAUUCACCAGUGCAUGGUCAAACCCUUCUACACUCCCAAGGCAACAACGGCUCUUCCAAAGAUCCUGCACCAUAAGCCAGUUAAUGAAUAAUAUAUAAGCAAACGCGUCUCUGUUUUAGAAUUGGUAAGAAAUGAUAAAGACUACUUACAGGAAGAUACAUUGCGCAACCUCUCAAAACUCCUUUAUACGGCAUCACCACUGCAUCUUUUGACAGGACAGAAUCCAGUAGAGUUCUGUCUUUCCUUCACGCAUACCAGAAAGCAAAUCAGCCAACCGUUAGCAAAACUUUAUAGCGUCUUUUUCAAAGCUAAGCGAUCAAUCCAAUAGCAACAAUUACCAGAAUCUGAGAUUCUGCCAGGGAAGCCCGCUUUCAAGUCCGUAGUAGUAUGGCUCUCCAAUCAGUAGAUCAAUCUGUUGAUAAAACAUAGGGACACACAACCAAAUGGAACCAAAAAAUCACUCCGUUUAUUGACUAAGCACAAUGAAUAAACUAAGGGACAUCACUUUUCAAGAAGCCAUAAUUUAACUAUGAGUUGUGAUUCUUUACCUUGCUUGGAUACGCUUCCAUCAACUUUGCCUUCCCUUCUCUGAAAUAUUUAAAACGAUCUUUUGAAAACCCAUUCGAAUCAGCAAUGGCUUCCAGAUAUCUGGCAGCAUUCUCUUGCAGCCCCGGUGACAAUGAUAUUACCCGUGAUCCGUUGGAGAUAUGUAGAGCCAUAAGUGGUAAGAGAAUACUAUCAUCAAUGACGAGACAUUGUGCAUCAGAUAAUCCCUGAAACUGCAAAAUAGGUGAAGAAACAUUAAAGUGUGAACCAGAAUAUAUGAGAAAAAAAUAGCAUAACUAUACGAAUAAUGUUCCUUAUGCAAUUUUUCAGAGCACACUUUUUGUUGUUAACGUAAGACAGAUAUAGAAGUUUAGAGCAUACAGCAUUUCGUGUGGCCUCAAAUAUGGAUUGCCUAUAUACGCUGUCGCCAUAUAUUGCAACUCUUUCGGGUGGAAAUGUGAGUUGCAGUUCUCCAGUGCUAAAAGAAGAGUGUGUAAUCUCAUGUGCCUUCUUCAGAUUGUACAAGAUGUUAGUACAAGUAUGAGCAGCAUGCAAAUGAACCUUUUCGCCUUUGGAUAUGGAUACGCCUGCUCCUGGAGUAAACCAAACACACUGUUUCCAAUGAUCACACCAGUCCCUAGCACCUGUAUUAUUAUGGAUAAAAGAAACGAAAACUCGUCAAAUGAGAUCAGUGGGCAAAUACGGCAUGGAUCCCAACGGAGCUAAAUGUGGUGCGAGGGUCUGUAGAGAAAAGGGAUUCCACUACAACCACAUAAGUGCGUGAGAAUUGAGGUGAAUCAAAUGAUUUCCACACGAAGGUGUGACUCACCUAUCUCAGAAUUUGACUCUAUCCAUCUGGGAGCGGUAGAGUAGAAGAUUGUUCCUUCACUGUCAAGCUGAAGCACCCACCUGAAUGGAGAAAAUAAAAGAUUCCUCAUAUCAUAUUGGGGGAAACAGACCAGAUCUUGAGCCGUUUACCUAGGCCUUUAGGUGGACGGUAAUGAACAUAUAUUACCAUGAAAUAAUGGCAUGAACACUACCCUCGGUUAUAGCUUCUAUGUGCACAUCAAGCUCUCCAUUACUUUCAGGCCGUUUCCAAAAGUCAAAUUCAAAUACUUUGAUGGGCUCUGACAACUGGAUGAAUAUAUAUAAACUGAGUCUAUGUGUAUAAACACCAAAUCUUAUAGCAAAACUGUAGAGGAAGGUUAGCGAUAUCAAUACCAGUUUGAUCUCUUUCUCAAUAGCAUCGACAUGCAUGCUAUAUUGCUGUGAUUUGAUGCCAAAGAGACUCUCUAAGACAGGAGGAACUAAACGAACACCAUCAGACAUUCUAGCCUCAUUACUUUGUAGAUCGUGCAUGUUACAUAAGAAUGUGCUUUCUACAAGCUUGACAUUUCAAAGAAAUAGCAAAGGAAAACAACGUGAGAAGGUAUUCAAUCAAAAUCAAGAUAAACUAGUGUUCUUAAAAAUCGGUCUAGUCUGAGCAAAACGAUUUUUUCAAACGGACUUAUUAAAAAAAUCGUUCUAGGCAUUCAAAAAUUAGGUAUAGGCGGCACCUAACCACCUAGCUAUUUCUUGAACAUUGAGAUAAAAAAAAUAAAGACAAACCACGCAAGCAACGAACCUGACAAUAGGUAGUAGCUCGGUACGGCACAGUUUUGGAAUUAUCAACAAGCAACAUGUCAUGAGCAUGUUGUAAACUUGGGAUUAGACCUUCACCAAGUAACUCAGAGUCCAAUAUUUCGCUUACCUAAGCAACAAGUAGCCAUUUAUAAUCAACAUUUCCUCUAAAAUUCCCUAAAAAUUAUGUACAUUUGUAUCUAUACUCACAAGAACAUCAGCGCGUGAAGCAAUGUCAGACCCAACUUCCAGUUCAUCUGAACGUUUAUUGAUGAGGUUAAUGUUCUUGGUCAUCCCGUUCUUAUGCAUAACCUUUCUCAUAAGCUUCACCAUAGGGAGGUACGACUCACACGCCGUCACACAAGACUCUUCUUUAUCUCCCAUUGCUCUCGCAGCCAUCAUCGAUAGCAAUCCAGUUCCAGCACUAUAACACACACGCACAUUCUCCGUGUCAGUUAAUUACUCAUUAGGGACCAAAAUCGAAUUCAAAUUGAGUUGUGGUAAUGAGGAGAAACCAACCCAAUGUCGAGGACGUGGCAUGGUUCGGUGAUGGUUUUCUCGAUUGCAAGACGGUAAGCUCGGUUGCGGCGAGUGUCAUUGAGCAUGUCUAGAUACGACGUCGUGGCGAGGAGGCCGUCAGUGGAAGUUACUGGAGCUCCGGCUUCGUCAUUUUCGUCGAUGACAAUCCACUCCGAAGUGCCGGUGAGAGGGUCUUGUCUGAGCUGGAAGACGCGUUGAUUUGACUGAGAGGUCAUGGUGCGAGCAGCGACGACGGAGCUUAGGCGAGUGAGUGGGGGACAACGGAAGGGGAGUAAGGGAAUAAAGGUUUUGGGAAGAAGAGACAGUUGCGGCGACAUAGACGGAGUUUAAAGGUUUAAGCCGCCGUGAUGACUAGUGAGAAGAGAUUCCGCACUCUAUUUUAUGUUUUUGUUUCAUUUAGACCCCCAUAAUAUUCAUUUUAUUGCACGUUAGCUCCAGAGGUUUUAAAAGGAGAGUUUUACCACCAGAUCAACAUGUAACGAAAUUUAGAUGUCAAAGUCAAACUGAUAGUAGACUAGUAGUAAUAUGUUGUAAAUGUUACAUGAUGGUAGUAACUCAAACCAUGCCGUCAUGUUUGAGGAUGAAAUUUUGGAACAUUUUAUUGAAAACCAAACCGAAAUCUUAUGUUUUUUUUAAUAAUCACUAGGGUAGGCCCGCCCUACGGGCGGGAAAUAAAUAAUACAAAUUACUUAAUAUGUUUAAUUUAUUCUUAACAGAAAUUAAAAUUAAUUUUCAUGUUUUUACUAAAACUAUUUAUCUAUUUAUUUGACUAUUCAUUUUAAAAAUUGUACUUAUUGAUUAUUAAAAGUUUUAUAGGAGAUUACUAUUUUCUUUCUUUUAAUGUUUGUUUUAGUUUAACUAUAGUAAUAGUUAGAAUUAGUUUUAAAAUAUUUUUUGAUGAGUUUAAUGAAGUGAUAAGUAAUAAGUUGUGAUUUUUGAUCCAUUCUAACCGGAAAAUAUAUUUAAAUCAGGUAGACUACAUUAGAAUUUAAUAGUGAUCAUUAAUAUUUGAAAUUAUACAUAUUUGUUUGAGUCUUAAAUAUAUUGAAUUUAAUAAAUUAUAUUUUAAAUUUGUUACAAUUUUAUUUUGUUUAUUUAAUAAUUACUUUUUGUAUAUAUUUAAAUGUAUUUUCCCUACGUGGUUCCCUUUUUAAGUUAGUUUUAUAUGUUAAACGUUUUUCCUUAAUUUUACUUUUGUUGUAGUUGAUUUUUUUUCUAUUGAGAGUUGUUUGGUGGUGUAAUACUAAUGUGUAUUUACUGAAAAAAUUAUUUCUUAUUAUGAUUCCCAAAAGAAAAAAAUACAUUAAAAAAUAUUACAAAGAGGAAGGUGAACGUGAGUUCUUGAUAACAAUUAUUGUAUGAUUUGAAUACAUCAGAUUAAAGUCACUCAAUCUGAUAAUGGAUGCUACCACAGGAAGAGCGUGAAAGAACUCACUUUCCCCUUGCUGAUAUGAGCCUCGUUCUCAAUUAUCCAAGUUGUGUGAUUUCAUUUCACCAAGAAUCGUUAUCCAAACAUUUCUUAGCCAUCUAAUUUAACAUGGAUGUUUCAUCAUCAACAUAGCUAGCAGUGAUGAAAUGCUUCUUCAGCUGAGUGAAUCACAAAGUGGAAGUACUUAAAAUUAGAAAACUACAGAAGAAUGUGUUAUGCAAAGGGAGUCAAAGUCUGGUGUUUUGAUAAAUUACGGUACCUCAAAACAUGCCUUUGUUACAACAGCAUGAAAACUUGCAGGUGAUAAUCUUAGGACAACAUCUCCCUGCACGCAACACUGAGAAAAUAAGUUUUGAGGGAUGUGAAUAGUAAAGUUUGAAGUUAGGGAGUGACGUCAAAUUUGAUUACUCAAGACACUGAUUCUCAAAACUUAUGACAUCAAACGUAAACUUCUAAAAAGAGCACAUCUAUAUAUAUAUAAAAAUGUUUGCCUCCACUUUCUUAUGUAUAUGACUAAGAUGUAAAGCAUUAUUUUGAAACACACAAAAAUGUAUUUUAAACACUUACCGAAUGGUUCAUAUAUGACAGUGUUCUCACCAGGUGUUUGACCUCCGGAGAGAACAAUACACAUCUUCAAUUUCUGUGGCGACAAAGCUGUCCAUAGUAGCUCGUUCCAAUACCCUGUUGAAUUGUAGUCAUCACCUUUAUGAACGUAAACCAAAAGUAUUAAACCAUAACUAAGCAUAAAUGAUCAUUUUAAACAGCACAACCAUAGAGAAGCUUUAUCCUUUCAGGGGAAGGAGCAGUAUCUUCGUCUUUUUCAUGUGUAGCCGCCUUGUUAUAGCCACCGCUAUCAUUACCAAGCGACAUAACUUUCUUCUCUUCUUCACCAACUACCUUACUAUCUGAUUCUCCUAAGAUUUCCUUUCAAAUUUCUCGCCGCUAAUCUCGUCCCCGCCUCCGCGCCUCCGCCUCUCCACGGCUUCUUCUGUUAGUCCACUGGAAUCCCUGUUGCGGUUAGUCUUCCUCUGUUUCUUGUUUGUAGGCUGAUUCAAAGCUACAACGUCAGUAACACGGCCACAACGGACUCCACGGCAAAGCUCCGGCAAAAACUAUACUCUCAGCAUGUUUAAAUUUUCUUGCUUCCCAAAUUCUGAGCAAUCACACCUCCACCCAGCCUUCAAAACAGAUGAGGUAGCCAUUUAAAAAAAAAAUCCUCUCAAUAAAAAGGAACUCUGAGUAUGAUGCUAAAGAGAUGAAACCUUACCUUUUUAUAGGCAAGAAUCACCGACUGUAUGAAGGGCAAGAUUCAUUGAAUGUGAGAUUGUGGUUGUAGCUGGAAUGAAGAGUUAAGUUUUGGUUACUAAUGUUCAAUUAAGUCGACUUGUAACGGUUAAGAGGUAAGGAAUAGAGAUCGAAACGUCAUGAACAGACACCGGCUUGGUGAUUACUCACAAAGCAUCGACGAAUCUGGAAUGCCAGAACCGCCAUUGUUGGGAGACAGAAGGAGAUGUAUGAUGAGUCGAUGAACCCUAGAAACGUGAAUCAUGAAGAAGAUAUACGCGAGAAGGGCCUAGCAUUUGUUUGAAUAUCGGCCCACAAAACAGUAUCAGUAACCUACCAAUCAUAAAAUUUCGUCGAAGCCCACUUAAAAUCUAAAAACCGAACGAUUUUUAAUUGAUGGCAACACGUGGCAACGUUUCCUCCCUCUACUUAAUGACGUGGUGCAACAGGAGGGAGGCAAACAUUUUUAUAUAUAUAUAGAUGAGUGAUUUAAUUUAUAAGAUAUUUGGAUUGGACAAGAGGAAAAAUGCAGAAAUGUAUGGUUUGUACUAAUAAAUAUGAAUAGUAUAGAUAAGAGUGAAAGUAAUGGUUGAAUCAGUUGAGAUAGUAUGGUUAGUGUUAUAGUUAGACAAGUUAAAGAAAAUUUAUGGUUUAUCACAUGAACAAAGUGUGACAUAUGGAGAAAGUGUGUAGAAUUAUAAUUAAUGUUCUUAAAAGUAUGUACAGGCCUGAGUAUGUAUGAGGGUAAAUAAUUAUAUUUUGAAUCGCUUAUGGAGACUGGUUACAUACUUGCAUAGUAGUAAUAUGUUUUUUAACUUAGAUAGUAGUAAAGUUACUAUUAUAUUUUUUUAAACUUUCAUGCUAAACGUACAACAAAAAUGUUGUAGCUAAUUUAGUCAAAAAUUCACUAUUCUCUCAUAAGAUGUAUCUAUUUUUAAAAGGUUACAAUAUCUCAUAUGCGUUAUCAAAGGAAAAACAUAUACAAAAUGCGUAUGUUUUUCCAAAUUUGGCACAGAAAUAUAAAGACUAGUACACCAAAUUGUAAAAAAAAAAAAAAAAAAAAAAAAAAAAUUGUAAUAAACAGGAAUAAGGGGGUUAACUCAGAAAUUUAAAAAUACUUGUGGGUACUUAACAAAUGUUUCUCAGUUACGACAGACUUCUUGCACGGACAGCUUUAUCCUAAGUCCGAAGCCACCAUAAAACAUUGAAAUCGAAAUCCAGAUUGCCGAAUUUGAUCGGGAGAAGAAAUGGCGGGAGCGAAUCAAACGUGUAUAUUCUGUCAGAUCUUGCACGAUCCCAACUCAACUACUCGUCUCCUUCACACCGUUCGUUCUUCUUCUCCCCUUACAUCGUUUCCAUUUUCUUUUUGAUGAGAGGCUAAUUGAACAACUUUGAUUUUUUUUGUCUCUCUCAGGAUGAGAAGGUCGUCGCGUUUCAGGACAUCAAGCCUGCCGCCCGGAGGUUUGUUUUGUUCACUCGCUUUGGUUCAUGUUUUUUUUUUUUUGCUUUGGUUCAUGUUGAUUCAUAUAAACUAUUUUUUUGUAGCCUAGAAUCUUGAAAUUUCAAUGGAUGUUCAUUAUAACAGCUAGUAAUAACACCAUUAACCUGUGUAAUCUGGUUUAUGGAAAUGACGAUAAAACGAAAUUACUGGAAAUGGUGGUUAUUAGCUAUCUAAUCACUGUUGCAACUUCUUGCUUAAUUAGCUGACGUCCACUAUUAUUAAGAACCAAAAAACACUAUGUAGGCACUACUUGGUCAUUCCAAAAGAACACAUCUCAACUGUGAGAGACCUCCAGAGAAGGGAUGAAGACUACUCUUUGGGUUUGUCCUCCAAAUAUUUAUUCUCUUAAACACAAUCAUUCUGUUAUAUUUAAUGAAAAAAAAAUCGGAUAAGGAUGUUAUUUUUGUGUGUGUGAUUUGAGCAGUGAGUCACAUGCUAAGUGUGGGACAAGAACUGCUGCAGAAAGACGCACCUCAAACCAUUCAUAGGUGAGGGGCUCUCUCUAUUAUUAUUAUUAUUUCUUUGGAUCAAACCCUCUACUAUAAUCGUAAAUGAUGCUUGAUGUUUUCAUUGUCUUUCUGCUAACUAACUUAUGUAGAAUUGACCUGAUCUGUACUCCCUCACAGAUUUGGUUUUCACCAGCCUCCUUUUAACAGUGUCGAUCAUCUCCAUCUCCAUUGUUUUGCAUUGCCUUUUAUGCCCAGGUACACCAAUAUCCUUCAUAUCUUACCUUCCCAUCGCUUGAAACUGCAAAAAUACGAUUUUCUUUUCUUAUCACACAUUGUCACAAAACAGAUGGAAAGUCGUCAAGUACAUGUCUUUGGGAUCUUUCGGUGGUUUUAUUGAAGCACAGAAACUUCUGGAGAAGAUAAGGCCUCUUUCUUCAAAAGUCUAACUGAAACCAACUUAUCUAACUUCAUUGCGGUGCUAAAAUUGGCGCUAAAACUCUUUUUUUUUUGCUGGCAUGUCUGUUAUAAAAUGCCACAUAUCAUUGUUGAUUUUGUAUGUAAGAAGGAUGUGUUGUGUUAUCUUAUGUAAUUUAUGUCGCUUGCCAAUAGUUGUAGGCAGUGACUCCAUUCUUAUUUUUGUGUCAUACUUAAUGGGUAUGAAAUAUAGACAUUAUUAAUGAUUCUUCUAAUAUAAUCUCUGGUGACUGACAUAAGAAGUAGACUUAAACAGAUAUUUCAUAUAGGAUCUCUUAUAUAAUUUGUUUGUAGGCUUCUUCUGGUGUUUUGAUGCUCUAACUACAAGUGUAGGGGGAGGUACUGGUUGCUGUGCAUAAGAUUAUCAUUUUCAUACUCCAGCUUAACUGAGUGAUAAGAUGUGUUCUUGCAACAUCAUAGCAAUCUCCGCAGAACAGGUAACGCUUUAGUAAAUUUGUACGUUAGCAUCUUUCAUGCUAACAAAAUUUAUGAGUUGUUAAACAGUGUAAUAAACUUGUACGUUAGGAGUGACCUUACAUCAAUUCAUGCUAACAAAACUUGAGUUACUAAACAGUGAGAUAACCUUGUACGAUGCAGUAACCAUUUAUGCUAAUAAAACUGACGAGUUAUUAAACAGUGUGACACGAGAAUGAAAUCCUUCUAGAACUCAAGUUUCAGACAAGCGCCUAUACUUAUCAAUAGCGAGAAUUAUAUUUUGAUGUUAAACUAAAAAUAUGUGCUCAUCUUAAGAACUAGAUGCGAUUGAUACCAAAUCUUCUCUGCUCACGUGCAACUUGUUCAACUAGGCAGAAGUACAGCUUGCAGUUGCAGUGCCUUACGCUUCUUUGGUUGAUAUUGCGUCUACGGGACUAGUGUUUCUAAAUAAAAGAGUGGUUAUGGGUUAACAUUCUGGUGACGUUUGAUAAGAUUCACUAGAAGAACAUGAGCUAACAAACAACAUAGCUUCUUAAUGGUGUUAUGUCUUCAAUAAUUGAAACUCUUGAUUUGCCAUUUGUCUUCAAAGGAUGUAGGCCCACAAAUUAUAAGUUAUUUUGGAUGGAUUUACUGGUAAUCCUCAACCACUAUUGCCAAAUACCAACUCUUUGUUUGGACUUGUUUCUCUGUUCUUUAGUUAAUAAGUUCUGCAUACAGACAUAUUCACAUUAAUCAUGCGUUUUAUUUUGCUUAAAUUUUAAAAUGGAUUGGUCCUGGCCUUGUAUGUUUUUUUUUUUGUUUUGUAUUUGAGUAUUUCUAAUGCCUUUAAAGCAGAUAGAUAGCUUUUACAAUAAAAUAUCGAUUUGUUGUGUUGAUUGGCAAUGAUUAUAGAUGAAGAGUUUGGUGAGUUCUUAGGUUUCUCAAUGAUUAUAGAUGAAGAGUUUGGUGAGUUAUUAUUCUCCAUGUUUUGUUGUGUCACCUUAUGAUACUACAUGUCUAAAGGGCUGUUCGUUUGGUUGUCGCAGGUACCGGCGGCAGCGUCAGCGUCAAUAUUCUGCGUCAACUCUUGUUCGUUUCGUUGACGCAGGAACCGACGGCAGCGGCAGCAUCCGAACGCUGCGUCCUGCGGCUGACGCCGAUAAAAUAUGCGGUCGCAAUAUGAUAUGCGGCAGCGUCAGCGGCAGCGUCUGCGAAACGAACAACAACUGUCCUCAUUGACGCUGCCGCCGCCGCUGACGUUGCUGCUGCUGCUGACGCCGAAAUCUGCGGCAACCAAACGAACAGGGCUUAAGUAGUUUAUUGGAUCAUAUCCUCAAAUAAACCACAUGAAAUGUAUAUAGUUUAUGGAAAUAAGUGGUAAUCUCAUGCAUGGACUAGCUUUUUUAUUACAUCAAAUGUCUAAUAACUUUUUUGUUUGUGGUGACACAAGAAAGCUAGAAAGCUUGAGCUGGCUCCUGUGACUUGUGAGGAGAACAGCUCUUGCGAAGAAGACAUCAAUGAACCUUUUCUUCUCGAAAUGACGACCAGAGUUUAUUGAUUUGUUUUUGGUGCAGAAAACAAAACUGCAAUAACGUCACUGUCAAGUCUCAACAUACUCAGGUAUGCCUUUGCUUCAUUGGUGCCUUCUUCUCGUUUUCCGAUUUUCCAAAUACAGCUAAUAUAUUUUUUCUUGCAUAAUUCUUCGAAUAUGCCUCUCUGUUAACAGCUGUAUCCAAAAGCUGAAUUUUAUAUAAAUAAAAUUCUUGUAUGAUUUUUUAAGAAGAAAAAAAAAGAAUCCAUUCUUUAAUUUAAGAGAAUAAGAAUCCAUAUUCUAUACAUUGACACGGUUUCCUUCGUUUUUCAAAAUUUCAAUUACUUUUAGUAAAAUAUAAUGCAAGUAUUUUAUACUUCCAACUUCCAAAUUUUCAAUGCGAGCGUUCCUUUUGCGAAACUUAUCCUUAAAGUUAUUUAUUUUAUUUGUUUAUAGAAAAAUAACUAAAAAGUAUCGGCUUGUACCGGAGGAGGUUGGUGAAUUUUUAUCCGUCUCUUGGUACCCUUUUGUCGUUUAGCAAUUCUCCACCUAAUCCAGAGCUUCCAAUAAAACAUAGCCAUAGCAAUUAUAUUUAGCUCUCAUAUAUAUUAAUUCUUUAAAUUCUUAUCUAAUAACUAUAUUUGUAAUUGUAAGUACUUAUCUUCCUUUGUGAUUGAUUAGUUCGUAAAAGUUAUUCAAAUUCAUUUUCUCAAAAAAAAAAGUUAUUCAAAUUCAGUAUAGGUUUAUAUAACAAGAUAUACUUGUUUGGAAUAAACAAUGCAUCGCAUUUGGUCAUAUAUAUUUCUACAAAUUAAUAAAAUCUUUGAUAUCAUAACGAGCAAAUGUGAUGUGUGGAAGUGUGGAAUUAUAAGGUUUGGCUGCAUGGCAUAAAUACCGAAGGAGAAUUGAAGUUGUGUGUGGAGAAGAGUAAGGUACACGUACCUUUCACUCUCUAACCCUGUCCAUGGCAAUAGUCCACCUGGCUUGUCUAUGUGGCCUGUACACAAUUAUUAUUUUGUAAUUUUAUCGUGUUAUGGUAUUUUAGGGUUUCAAUGCAUUGAUUUUCAUUUUGAGGUUUAUGUAUAUCCGAGGGGAUGGAUUGGAUAUGUUUUAGCCAAUUAAAAUGGUUGAUAUUGAAACAUUAAUUGGAACCUAACCUAAAUAAGAGAAGAAACAUACUACUCAAAAAGUAAUAAAUGUAUGGUUGCAUUGCAUGCAAAACUCCCCCACAAUGGAGUUGACUUCCAGUGAUCAGUUUUCACUAUUAGAUUGCGUAUUUGUUUUGUAUUGGUUAGUUCCGUGUCAAACUCCAAUGCUAUAUUUGGGACUCUGCAUGACACUAUUUAAAUCGCUCAUCAAGUCUUUUUCUUUCAACCAUAAGUGAAAUGAUAGUCCAAAACAAUGUAUUUUGUUACUAGUCUUCAUAAUUGCUUUUUUAAUGUUAAAUAGUUAUACUUCAUGCCAUCAUUUAAUAAUAAUUUUAUCUACCGAUCAUGUCUUCUUGCUCUGUACUAUAAAAAAGAGUCGACCUCUUCUUCAAAUUCAAAAGCAGAGUCAUACAGAUAUAUCCGCCAUGAAAACGUGUUGCAUCUUCUUCAUCUACUUGGCGAUUAUUCUCCAACACUGUUUCUACUUCUCUGUUUCGUCAUCAUCACCUCUUCUUCUCCCCCUCUCUCACUCUCUCUCGACCUCAAAACACUCUUCAUCUCCUCUCCACCUCCUCAAGUCAUCUUCCUCCCGCUCCUCCGAGCGUUUCCGCCGCCACCACCAAAAACGCCAACAACAUCAACUUCCCCUCCCACUAUCUUCCGGCAGCGAUUACCUUCUCUCCCUCUCCGUCGGCUCCUCCUCCUCCGUCUCUCUUUACUUAGACACCGGAAGCGACCUCGUCUGGUUCCCUUGCCGCCCUUUCACCUGCAUCCUCUGCGAAUCCAAACCUCCUCCUUCUCUGACCUCCCUCUCCUCCUCCGCCACCACAGUCCCCUGCUCCUCCCCUUCUUGCUCCGCCGCACACUCCUCCCUCCCAUCCUCCGACCUCUGCGCCAUCUCGAACUGUCCUCUCGACCUCAUCGAAACCGGCGAAUGCAACAACUCUUCCUACCCUUGUCCUCCUUUCUACUACGCCUACGGUGACGGCUCCCUCGUCGCACGUCUCUUCUCCGACUCGCUCUCACUCCCUCCCCUCUCCGUCGCUAACUUCACCUUCGGCUGCGCUCACACCACUCUCGCCGAACCCAUCGGCGUCGCUGGCUUCGGACGCGGACGCCUCUCUGUCCCCGCUCAGCUCGCCUCUUUCGCCCCUCACCUCGGUAACAGCUUCUCUUACUGCCUCGUCUCCCACUCGUUCGACUCGGAGCGAGUCCGCCGCCCGAGUCCACUCAUCCUCGGACGCUUCGUCGAGGAGAAAGAGAAACGUGUCGGAGCCGAUGAUGAUCAUAAGGAGAAGGUCGAGUUCGUCUACACAGAGCUGCUUGAUAACCCCAAGCAUCCUUACUUCUACUCUGUUUCCCUCCAAGGAAUCUCCGUCGGAAAACGGAAUAUUCCUGCUCCGGCGAUGCUCAGACGAGUGGAUAGGAACGGAGGCGGAGGAGUGGUCGUUGACUCGGGGACGACUUUCACGAUGCUUCCCGCGAAAUUCUACAAUUCGGUGGUGGAGGAGUUCGACAGUCGGGUCGGGCGGGUACACGAACGGGCUGAUCGGGUCGAACCGAGUUCGGGAAUGAGUCCUUGCUACUAUCUUAACCAGACGGUUAGAGUUCCGGCUCUGGUUUUGCAUUUUGCCGGGAAUGGUUCCAGUGUUACGCUCCCCAGGAGAAAUUACUUUUACGAAUUUAUGGACGGUGAGGAUGGGAAGGAAGAAAAGAGGAAGGUUGGAUGUUUGAUGCUGAUGAACGGUGGAGAUGAAUCGGAGCUUCGAGGUGGGACCGGGGCGAUACUGGGGAAUUACCAGCAACAAGGUUUCGAAGUCGUGUAUGAUUUGUUGAAUAGAAGGGUCGGGUUCGCUAAGAGGAAGUGCGCAUCUUAUUGGGAUACGCUCAAUCAAAGCUAACGAGCGCGCGUUAUCCAAUCCCAGCUUCAAUCUUUUAAAUAAGUCAAUGUGCGCCUUACCGGUUCGACCGAAAACCGGAUGAUGGGUCUUAUCGAACAGUAAUUAUGAUAUCGAGCUGUAGCCUGUACGUAAAAAUAGCUGUAGGUUUAAUAAUUCGAUGGACCUGUCAUCUAAAAGUAUAUAGAAGGGUGUAUCAUGUACAUGUAUGACCGGUUUUGAAACGUUGUAGAUAUAUAUUUUUUUAAUUUAAGGCCAUUUGUAGUAUUAUGUUUCGUUUAAAGAUUUUAUUCAUUAUAAAAAAAAAGUUAAAAGUUUGGGUGUUAUUCAUUAUUGGUACGCGUCGCAUUAACAACUAACUGAGAACCAGACGGAUCAAAUAAAAUCUUAAACGAUGUCGGCAAUUUAGUCAAAGUUUUGCUUGUAAACCAAUUAGACCACACCUACAAGUGACUACUAUAAUUUGUGAUAUUUCAUAAGAUAUCACUGUCUUCAUAGAUAUUUAACGAACAAAAACAAACGAGUAACUCAAUUAUUUGGCUUAGUGUCACUAUUUAGUUGGAGGAAAAGAAGAUGGCUUUGAAUCUUUUUGAUAAUUAUGAAUCAGAUGACUAGACAAAAGGAUUGACAGGCGAGCAUACGUGGCGGCGGAUUACGACCAGCAAGACUAGCAAGCACUAGUCGUUCGUUAAUCUUAAUUAUUGAUUUGCUUUUCAACUUACGAAGAUAAAAUUUUGUUAUCCAAGUUUAAAACUUCAAGAGGGAUUGGCUCGGAGUCCAGAGACAGCUAGCUGUGAUCCACACGUGUGCUUAUAGAUUCUUUCCGCAUUUUUAUGUAGGAGUGUAGGACCAUUCAUUACAAAAUAACGAAGAACAAACCAUCUCAAAAGUUUUUUUUUACACUAAAUGUAUCCAUUGUUUUAUUGGUUUUCAGACAUGUUUUGUUGUAGCCAACUUAGCAUAUAAUUAGAGUUUCUGGCGAAUUUAGUUGUAGCCUGUUAACCAGGUGAUCUAUCCGUCUUCAUAGCACGUGUCCACUGAUCAGAUGGAGAAACUUUUUUUACUAUUUUGUCGAGUUAUUUGAUCAGCUGUCCAAGCGUGUAUUGGGAUUCUUCAGCGCUUUGGCAGUUUGGCGAUUCCUCUCUCCAAAUAUGAUUAAAAAGUUUUUUAUUUUUAUAAAAAAAACAUGUAUCAAAAUAUAUGUCAAAUUUUCUAAUGUUAGGUUGUCGAUAUAAACGAUAGUAUAUAGUCCCAAUCAGACAUGUAAUGCUGCUGCUGCCUGCAGGAGGCCACCCGCCAAAAAAUACAAACCAGACCUGUUUUGAAUAGUGACAUGUAAAGAACAUAUGGCUUUGUAUUUUUUUUGCGGAUAUCCACAAAAAACACAUUCCAAUAGCCGGCAUGCAGUCCAUUGUAACAUUCAGCCUCCAGUUGUUAGACGAUUGUAUAUGGCUAGCCAUAUUUCAAAGGAUAAUUUUGGUGUUAAAUGCUUGAACCAAACUUCUUAAUAUUACUUCUUAACUGCUUGAACCAAAGGAGUAAUAUAAUUGCUAGCUAUUUGUACACUCUCGAUCAUAGAUUUUUUUUGAAACCAUUAAAACUGUUACAUUAAACACAUCGACUAAAAGCUACUCUCUCCGUUCCACAAAGAUAGACUUUUUAGUGUUUUCACACAUACUAAUAAAACACAUUAAAUUGCCAUAAUAAAUAUAUCGUUUUCUGUAAUUUUCAAUUUUCAAUAAAUUUUAAUUCAUAGUAAUUCAAUAAAAUUAAUUAAUUUUUUGAAAUUUAUAAUUUUUUCAUAAAAACACACAAAAAUACAUUUUUCGAAACCAAACUUUUUUUCUAAAAAGUUUAUCAUCGAGAAACAAACGGAGGGAGUAUUCUAUAUGUUAUAGGUUUAUGUUAUCAUGUGAUUCAUGUCCAUAUAUAAAAGCAUCACCCCGAACCCAAGAGAAAACCAUCACCCAAAUUAGUUUGUGAAGUGGGCUUACAUCCGAUUAAUAUAAGGCCAUUUAAAACUUAAAGAUAGUAUUAUGCAUCAUGAUUCAUGCAUAGUCCUGAGAGCAUAGCUCUGCGAGCCUAUGCUAGAUCAUUAGUAGAUGCCUUGUUCUAAAAAGCGGCCGAGUUGCCGAGUAAUCGUCCGCAAAAUUGUGAAGCGUUGGGUCACCGUAGCGAGUUUGGCCAGUUCGGAUGCAUUCCACGCUCACCCGCGUUUUGACCGCCCAGAACGUGAUUUAAGGUUAUACGGCCGCGUAAUGUUUUUUUCUUUUAACUACCGCCGCGUAAUUUUGUUUCCGGAAACCUCAAAAAUCUCUGAAGAUGUUUCUAUUUGUAGAUCUGAUGUAAUUAUAGUGUACAAAUCAAGAAAAUCAAGUGAAAACAAAAAAAAAGAACAAAGAAAGAACCAUGGAUGGCCAUAGUUUAAUCGCAGAACCAAAGAAAAAAGAAGAAGAUGAAGACGUACGUGUAUCUUUUUAUAUUUAUUAAAACAAAGUAAAUAAUAAAAAACUAUAAAACACCAUAAUUCACGGGUUGAACCACAUUUUAGUAGGUCCAAAAGGUUUAACCAAAACAAUUGACCUAAGUUUUAAUAAUAUUUGGAAUCCACAAAUGAAGAUAUGUACUAGUGAGUACUAUAACCAUAAAAAAAAAUCCCCGAUUACUCCCCGAUUUAUUUCCGAUUUUUCGAUAAAUCGCUAGGCGCUGGUCAUCCGCACGCGUUGCGCCUAGCGAGUUUCCGAACAAGGAGUAGAUGUAUAGACACUGUUAACAAAAAAAUAUAUGUAUAAAUAAAUAAAAGAAGAAUAACGAAAAUCGUAUAUGUUAUUAACCAGAUGCAUUAUACGUGGGAAUGAAUUUGGGGACUGCGCAAUAAAGUUUCAGUCUUGCUAGUAUUUCCAAAGACCAACUUUUUUUUUUUGAUCAAUUCCAAAGACCAACUUAAAUGUAAAAACACAGACCUUUUUCAAGUCUACAGAUUUUUUUAACAAAUUAGAGGAGGACGCGUAUCCUUUUUGUCGUUUUCAUCUGAGAAUAUCUUCUUUCCCUCUCUCGUUGUUGCCUUGCCCUCCCACAAAGAUCCAAAAAAGAACUAUAAAGCUAAAAUCUCAGAGAGCCAGAUAGAGUAUUAUAAAGUAGAAGAAACCCUAACAUUAAGUAGCUUUGAAACUCCCUUUGCUGAAUCAUGGCAGCCGUCCCUGAAGGAUAUUACGAAUCCACAAACCCGUUUCUAGUUCACGGGCCAAGAGGUUUUGAGGAGUUCAAGUUGCUUGAGAGUUUUGGCAUGUACGUGAGGAUGGACUUUCCAGGCGUUCCGGAGGAGUGCGUGAGGAUUUCUCUAGACCCGGCGAAGAAAUCUUUGGCUGUCUACGCAGAUGCUCCCAAGGUCCAUAGAUACGACCUCGCUCAACGGAAGUACCUCUCCGUCAUCGAAACCGUCUGCAGUUGCUGCGCGUUCGACCGCUUCACUUACCAAAUGUCAGACGGUGUUUUAAGGCUUCAUCUCUCCAAGUCUAACAUCGAUCAACGUCGCUCUUCCUGCAUCGGUACGUACCAGACUUGUCUUUUUCUAUUUUCUUGUUCUUCAUACAUUUAUAUUUAUUAAUUAGAGUAUAGGUGAAUGAUUAAAUUAUUUUUCUGAUUCUUUUUGUUUUUUCACAGAGUUUAAAUAUUCUGCUUUCGGAGAAGGUAUGUUUACAUUUAUUCCAUUUCAAUCGAUAUUUUGAAAAAAAGUGUUUACUCAUUUGUCUGUGUUUGUGCUCGUAGAUAUCUCUGGCAAUGACAUGGACGAGUCGUAUGAGUCGAAGCAGCUCGAAGACGGCAAUGUAUACGUGCGUUUAGACAUGCCAGGCGUUCCCAAGGACAACUUCACUGUCUCAGUGGCUAACGGCAAAGUAAACGUGACUGGUCAAGCUCCUGCUCUUAGCCACGACUCAGGUUCUCGGUUGUACUCUGCUGACGUGGUUAUGCUCUCCGGUCCUGUCGACUUUCCUAGCCAUCGGGUCAAAACCAUCAUCAAGAACGGUGUCAUCCGACUCCUCGUCCCUCCCGUUUGAUAUCAUUAAUUAUGAUGAUGACGUGGCUAAAUAUAUGUUUCUUUCUGUUUGUUAAAUUUGUCUUCAUGAGUGGACCUAUUUUGUUGGGAUUGAUUAAUAUUCCAAAAAGUAACAUUACUUCAAUUUGUGUAGGCAUGCACUCUAUCUUUUUUUUUUAUAUGAAUAUAUGUCUAACCAAAUAAAAACAGUAUGAUAAUAAUUAUGAACAAAUGUAAAGUGUAUUUUAUGUGUGAAGGCAUGCAUUUAAUUACGCAGUGUACGAUAAAGCUGAAAACUUACCAAAUUAAGGCAAAGACCAACUUUGUUGUCUAUCUUGAUACAAGACAAAAACCUCAGAGCUUUCACCAGAGUAGAAACGAAAAGAUGAAAUUAAUAAAACUUAUACGUUUGUAUAUUAGCGGGUAAUUAAUAAGAAAUAUGAUAUUUUGCGUGUCACUGGAAAUUGUUGGUAAAUAAAAGGCGAACACGCAUCCUAGUAUAUACAGAUCGCAUUCACAAAUGUAAAGUCGACACGUGUCGUCAGAGGGAUUAGUUGUCAUUUUCACCUGACAACCUCCCAUACUAUGCUUGUUUUAGAGCUUAGUCUCAAAAAUUCAAAAACCCUAGAGAGAGAGAGAUCUCAAAAAGAAAAAGCACUAAAACCCUAAUUAGUCUCAAAAAUUCAAAAACCCUAGAGAGAGAGAGGUCUCAAAAAGAAAAAGCACUAAAACCCUAAUUAAAAUCACGACUAUACUCAAUGUCAAGGAGGUUAUAAUCAACCCUAGCCUUAUUUUAUUAUUCUUAAAAUCUGUAAUGUCAAUUGACUGACAUAUACUAUUAGUUUGUUACUAUAAUAAACCAGCAUUACAAAGACGUCCAUAAUUGCUACUGGGUUAAUAAGCGCAAGAAAUUGCUUCACAAAUAAGAAGUGGACGCGUGCCCCCUCUCUAGCAGUGUAAUUGUUUUUGUCGUUUUCACCUGACAAUAUCUUCUUACCCUUCUCGUUGCCUUGCCUCUUUUUCUCUCCCAUAAAGAUCAGCACGUGAGAGAGAGAGAGAGAGAAGCAACCCUAAUAUCCAGUAGCUAAAAACCUCGCCCCAUCUGUUGAAUCAUGGCCGCCGUUCCUCUUCCUGCCGUCCCUCAGUCUCCCGGUAAACUUCUUCUCUGAACCAAUAAGAAGCUCAAAUCUCAUUCAGUUUUCUCGUUUACUGAGAUGAUUGAUUUUCACUGAUAUUUAUAUCUUCUCUGUGUUUGUUUGGUAGCAGAAGGGUUUUACGCAAUCAACAACGAGUUUCUCAUGAAUGGGCCAAAAGGGUUUCAGGAGUUCAAGAUUCUUGAGAACGACAUCAUGUUCGUGAGAAUGGAUUUUCCCGGCGUUCCAGAAGAUGGCGUUAGUGUUACUCUUGAUCAGUCCAAGACACUUGUGAGUGUCAGCGCCAAGGCACCCAGGUUCCAUACACACGACUUGUCUCACCGGAACUACUUCAUCAUCACCGGACUCGGAUGCGGAUGCUGCGAGAUCUCCGGCUUCACCUACCACAUGACCGACGGUGUUCUCAGGCUUCAUCUCUCCAAGACUAACAUCCUCCAUCCUCAACGCCCUUCCUGCAACUGUGACCCAUUAAUUAUCUAUUUUAGUUUAUUAUAUAUACGAAUCAUUCUAAAUUUUACUUGUUUUUUUGGUCAGCGUUUCUCGGUGGCAUACGUUUCAGAGGAGAUGGUAAUUUUAUUUUAUUUUCUUUUGAAUUUUUUCUUACACUUUGUAAAUGUUUCUAUCUUACUCUCCUCUAUGUGUGGUCGCAGAUUUCAGUGGAUGUCCUCAUAGGCUUCCCUAUAACAGGGAUCCCUAUCGUAUGUGUUAAUUUUUAAUUAACACUACUGUAUAAAAUUAAUCAUUAUGAUUCAGUAAUAUGUUUGGUUUAUUAAUUUGUCAUUGUGGUAAUUGCUAUAUGUGUGGAAGAGCAGACCCGGCUUUAACGGGUCCGGUGUUGAUGCGUCACCCGAAUGUGGCUGAAGGAACGGCUAUGGCUUAUGAGUCAAAGCAGCUGGAGAACGGCAGCCUAUACGUGCGUUUAGACAUGCCAGGUGUUCCCAAAGACAACUUCAACGUCUCCAUUUCGAGCGGGAGAGUGAAGGUGACUGGUCAAGCUCCUGCCGUUAGCCAUGACUCCGAUGGUCGCUUCUACUCUGGUGACGUGGCUAUGCUUUCUGCUCCUGUAGACGUUCCUAGCCGUCCGAUCAAAACUAUCAUCAAGGAUGGUGUCAUUCGCCUCCUCAUCCCUUCCGUUUGAUGUGAAAAAACGCGUUUGCGUUUGAAAUAAUUUGAGUGGACCCCAGUUAUUGUCGUUAUUUUGAGGAUUAUGUUAUGUCACUUUAUUUUUUGGACUUUUGGAUAUGUUCACAAAUGGUUUUCUCUAAAGCCCAUUCUCUUUAUGAACAAGUAAUGUUUUAACAAGACUCAUCAGUUUCAUUCCUCAAGAGUGCAUGGGUGCACUAUACAAGUUCAACAAAGCUAGAGCUAAAACCGUAACAAUAAAUCGAAAAAAUGAGAGACUAAACAAAUCAGAGCACCAUUAAUGCAGUUUCUAACGUGGGUUUUUAAAGAAAAUGGGGUAUUUAAUUAAAUCAAAACAAAAAGAAAUUAGAGUAGUCGAUCCUUAAUUGGGUGUUUUUGUAACCGAUCGUAUAUGGGUUUCUGUAAACACGUGUCGGCAUAUGUGAUUUUUCCUUUUUUUUUUCUUUUUCUCUUCCUUUUCUUUUUUUUUCCUUUCUCAUCUCUUCUCUUUGGUUUUCUCGUGAUCUCCGUCGGGAAGCUGAUUGAAUUUCUCAACGAAAGUGUCACCUCCGUUCAAUCGGCGUAUCCUCCGGUCAAUCGCCGUCAGGUCCAUCUGAUGCUGAAGCGUAAGUCUCUGAUCCCCAAUUUCUCUUCUCCAAUCCUCGAUUUAUUUUUCUUAAUAAUUAUAUAUAAAUUCUUCUUUUUUUUUCUUGCAGCAAGAAGAUUCGUCUCAGCCAUAAGGUAAAUUAGAAACCCCAUAUUCACUUUUGCUUAAAGCUUCGAACUUUAGGGUUCUUGAUGGGGUUUAUGCAAACUAAUUGACAUGUUUGAUUUUAGUAAAGUCUCUAUAUUUUGUUGUUUGUUCACGUAUAGUGAUCCCUGCCUUGCUCAUGAUUGGUUGAUAUGAAACAGUUUGAUCGUUUUGAUCUGUGUUUAAAAAGGCGAGCGCCUUUUGCGCCAAGGCGCAAGGCGCACUCAGGCGACAGCCCCAUCGCCAUGCACCUCCCAGGUGAGGGUAUGGUCACUAAGGCGCGCGCCAUGGAGCGCCUUGACCUUAAAUCUAAUGCGCCAAAAGCGCUUGAAAGGCGCGCCUUAUAGAUUCUAAUCUAAAGCAUUAUGUUUUGACUCUCCCUGUGUUCUAAUCAUGAGCUUCGUGGCAUAGCCGCCGCUCUGUAACUUUUGUGACAUACUCAGGUGAAGAAGACGAUAUAAACUAACCUAAUUAACCCUAAAUAAUAAACCAACCCGGUUUAUAAUAUUAACCCAUGUGCCUUUCAAUUUAAUUUUAAUGAACCAACUUAACAAUAAACUAAGUAAUCCAAGAUGAAAGUUUAAUGAACCAAUUUUGAACCAACAUGAAACCAAAUAAACCAACUUUAACCAACUUUCUAGAAGGACACGCUUAAGAAUUGAGAACUAAAAUAAUGUCCGCAAGGCGAGCGCUUUUGUGCGCCAUGGCGCAUGGCGCAAGGCUAGGAGCAUCUCGCCUUGGUUCGCCUAGCGCUUUUUAAAACACAGGUUUUGAUGCAUUUUGAUGAUAUGAGCUAGUUAGUUGUUUCUUCUAGUAUCACUGAUGUUCUGUUUUAUCUAGCUUGAUCGACUCAUUUGCAUGGGUUUAAUUUUUAAAUGUGAACUGUUCUGUUCCAUAAAAAACUCAAGUCUUUAAUUAUGAUGUGUCGUGUUGGCUUUGUAAGCUUGGUUUUGUUGUUGUUAGCAUACACAUUCUGCUUUGGGUUGUGUGUGUUGCGAUUGACACAUAGCUUUUCUUUGGGAGCAGCAUUCAGUUCUCCGACGUCUAGCAAGUAUAGCUUUGAGUUCUCAGGUGGUGGUGGAGGAGGGAAAGGAAGAAGAUUCGUGGAGGUUUUGGUUGGGUUCGUAGUCGAGAGGUACUUUACUGUCUCUUCUUUUCUGAUGCAUUUUUGGUUCUUUGGCAUUGGAUCAUCUUGAGUGGCUUGGUGCUAUGUUUUGUAGAAACUAGUGUUUGGAUUAGUCGUCAGGAAAUUUCAGUUCUGAUAUUGAGGCAGUUUGUGUGUAGUCUUUUACUAAUCAUGAGAUUGAUCAAUGGAUAGAGCUUUGAAACUUGUAACUUUUUUUUUUGUUUCCACCACUCAUGUGUUUUUGUGGGGUUUUUUUAUAAGAAUUCUUAAUUAAGAGACUAGCAUUGGAGCACUAAACUAAUUGUUUCAAAAUGUUAUAUUUUAAUAUGUUUUAUUUUAUAAAUAAUUUUAUGUAACAAAAAAAGUUUAUAAUUUUUUUUAAGAACCUUUAAUUAAGAAACUACCAUUGGAAGUACAAAAUCGAACAGUUUCUUAACUAGAUUUCUUAACUCCACCGAAGUACACUUAUAUAUUUAAAUAUUCAUUAAGAAACACUAUAGAGUUUCUAUGGAUAAAGAUGCUCUAACACAACAGCAAGUAAGGAUGUGUCAACAAAUAUUUAAAUACUGUAUUUAAAAAAAAAGAAGAAGAAAUAAACCAAAUAUGAAAAAGUGAAUAGAGUUAAGACACGUCAUCGUUUCGCACGUGUUAACUCGUGGUUGAUGGAGAUAAUUGUUCGUGUUAACACGUGUGACCUAAGCAGAUUUGUUGUUCUUCUCCAUCUCUCGAGGAUUGGAGUUUUCAUCUCUUUCCCGUCAAAAUUUUCCUCUGAUUCUCCGGAAGCUGAAUCUGAAACACCCAAGGUAAGCUAGUAUCUUUAUCUCUUCUUUACGAACAUGUAAAUGAAUCGGAUUCGUUGAUGGAGCAAUGAAAUUGAUUUCAUUUAGAAAGGUUCUCUGUGAUUACGGAGUUUCUGAUUCAUUUCGUUAUGCUCGCAUGUUUUGUUUAAUGAUUUAAUUACAUGAUUUUGAUUCGAGCUAUUACCGAAUUAAGAUUCGAGUUAAGGCUUUGGUAAUGAAUGAAUGAAUGUUUCAGCUAAAGUUUGCUCAUUUCUGAGUUUUGGUAUAAUCCUAUUAUUAUGAUGCACUUAGAUCUUUUGAAAAUGAUGUUUGAUUAAUUGGGUAUUAAGAGAGUUUCAGUUUUGAAGAUGCUCAUGUUAACUCCCCUUGUAAAGUUUGUUCCUUUGAAGAUGCUCAUGUUAUCUCUCUCGUUGUAAAGCUUGUUCUUUUCUGCUGGAUUAUCAUGUUGGUCUGAUUCAGUUUUCUUUUGCAGGUAUCAAUCACUUCUUCUAGCCACCUCUCUGAGUAUAACAGGGUGGAUCAAAAUGGCUGCUUCAGAAACAGUUCUACGUCUUCCAUUGGGAUCUUUAUUUUCAUCUUGUCAUCUGCCUUCUUUCUCCCUUAACUCCUCUCCCCUCCUCUCGUUCAAACCCUCCUCUAGUAGAAAGCGAAGGGGCUUAAGGUGUACCAACACUUUGGCGAGAGGAGACACGUUUCAGAGCCCUGACUGUGUUUUCAAGGGUAAGAAGUUGCAGUCCACGAGAUGCAGAUGCCAAAGAAACGACGUUGAGGAGGACAUCAGAUCCAACUUACUUCCUUCUGACGGGUUGAAAAGCGACUUGGAUGAAAUGCCUCUACCUGUUAAUGGAAAUCUUUCGUCCAAUGGUAGUACUCAAUCAGCUGGAACGAACUCUAUCGAGGACGAAGCUUGGGAUCUCUUGAGGCAGUCCAUUGUUUACUACUGUGGUAGUCCUAUUGGAACCAUCGCUGCUAAUGACCCCAACUCCACCAGUGUGCUGAACUAUGAUCAGGUCUUCAUUCGUGAUUUCAUUCCCUCGGGGAUUGCCUUUCUUCUUAAAGGAGAGUAUGACAUUGUCCGCAACUUCAUCCUUUACACCCUCCAAUUACAGGUGACAGAAUCUCUCUCUUGUUAUAAAAGAUUGUCAUGUUGAAGCUAUUUGGUUUUGUUAUGAGUUGAUGAUGUAAUGCUUAUUGAUGACCAGAGUUGGGAGAAAACCAUGGAUUGUCAUAGUCCUGGUCAAGGAUUGAUGCCUGCUAGCUUCAAGGUGAAAACGGUUCCUCUUGAUGGUGAUGAUUCAAUGACAGAGGAAGUCUUAGAUCCUGAUUUUGGGGAAGCGGCAAUUGGACGUGUUGCUCCCGUUGAUUCUGGUAAGAGAAGCUAAGUUCUAAUCUUUCAAGCAUGUGGAAAAGGAUACUACAGAUUUGUUCUGGUAUCAUGUUAACUUGAUUAUCUUUUUUCAUUUGUUUUGGAACUCCAGGCUUGUGGUGGAUUAUAUUACUGAGAGCAUAUGGAAAAUGCACUGGCGAUGUGUCCGUGCAGGAGAGAGUCGAUGUGCAGACCGGAAUCAAGAUGAUCUUAAAGCUCUGUCUCGCUGAUGGUUUCGAUAUGUUCCCUACUUUACUAGUAACUGAUGGGUCCUGCAUGAUAGACCGUCGAAUGGGUAUCCAUGGUCACCCCCUGGAGAUUCAGGUGUGUUACACUGUUAACUUCAAUUCGAAUCUGCCAGCCAUUUGAUUUUAACUUUACACUUUCAGGCACUGUUUUACUCAGCUUUGGUAUGUGCACGUGAGAUGCUUACACCAGAGGAUGGAUCAACUGAUCUAAUCCGAGCCCUCAACAACCGCCUUGUUGCGUUAUCUUUCCAUAUCAGGGAAUACUAUUGGCUGGACAUGAAAAAGAUAAACGAGAUUUACCGGUACCAGACCGAGGAGUACUCUUUCGACGCGGUUAAUAAGUUCAACAUCUAUCCAGAUCAGAUCCCUUCGUGGUUAGUGGACUUUAUGCCCAACAGAGGAGGUUAUUUGAUUGGAAACCUUCAGCCAGCUCACAUGGAUUUCAGAUUCUUUUCCUUGGGGAACCUUUGGUCCAUUGUGAGCAGCUUGGCUACAAAUGAUCAGUCGCAUGCGAUUCUUGAUUUCGUGGAAGCGAAAUGGGCAGAACUUGUGGCAGACAUGCCGUUUAAGAUCUGUUACCCUGCAAUGGAAGGUGAAGAAUGGAGAAUUAUAACCGGAAGUGAUCCAAAGAACACGUAAAAGCUAUCUCUUCCAUAUGAUUUUCAAUAACAUGUUUUUAUAUUUUUCAUGUUGAGCAUAUUUGGUUUUGGUUGCAGUCCUUGGUCUUAUCACAAUGGAGGUUCCUGGCCAACUUUGUUAUGGCAGGUUUGUUCAGACUUUUCUCUUCUCCCUUUUAGAUUCCGAGCUUAUCAUUUUGAGCUCAUCAAUGUGAACUUCCGAAGCUAUAUAGCGUUGGUUUUGAAAUCUUGGUCCCUUGUUGGUGUUUUAUCAGCUGACAGUAGCAAGCAUCAAAAUGGGUAGACCAGAGAUUGCAGAGAAGGCUGUUGAGUUAGCCGAGAGACGGAUUGCUAUUGAUAAAUGGCCAGAGUACUACGACACCAAAAGGGCAAGAUUCAUUGGCAAACAGGCACGGCUUUACCAGACUUGGUCCAUCGCAGGCUACCUCGUGGCCAAGCUCCUCUUGGCAAAUCCAUCUGCAGCAAAGUUCCUCACCAGUGAAGAGGAUUCUGAUUUGAGAAAUGCCUUCUCUUGCAUGAUCAGCGCCAACCCGAGAAGGACACGAGGUCGCAAGAAGACUCAACAACCGUUUAUUGUAUGAAAAGCUCACAAAUCUUUUUUUCAAUGUGAGCCAUUGACUAUGUCCUCCUCCACUGUUCUGUCCCUUCCAACAGAAUGAUACAGAAUUCUUGUGUAAAUAGUUUCUUUUUAUCAUAUGCUAAGUAUAGUCAGUGCUUUGAUUUUGUUGCGGUAGUCCAACAAAAUUGGAUACACAUCUAAUUUUUUUUUUAUUACCACUUGCGUUUCGUCCCAUCGAACUAAAUUCAAACUGACAAGGCCAUGUGUUUGGCCGAUGACAUUUGGCUGGCUCAUUUCUGUGAGAUUUGCCCGUGGUAGAUGCAUGCAUCUAAAUUGUUAAGUUAUUAUAUAGUUGUCUGACUUAUGUCAGAGGCUAUUCAUAAUGAGAGCCAAAUUUGUCAAUAUCUAUUCAAAACAAAACUGCGAGCCUAUGCUAGAUCAUUAGUAGAUGCCUUGUUCUAAAAAGCGGCCGAGUUGCCGAGUAAUCGUCCGCAAAAUUGUGAAGCGUUGGGUCACCGUAGCGAGUUUGGCCAGUUCGGAUGCAUUCCACGCUCACCCGCGUUUUGACCGCCCAGAACGUGAUUUAAGGUUAUACGGCCGCGUAAUGUUUUUUUCUUUUAACUACCGCCGCGUAAUUUUGUUUCCGGAAACCUCAAAAAUCUCUGAAGAUGUUUCUAUUUGUAGAUCUGAUGUAAUUAUAGUGUACAAAUCAAGAAAAUCAAGUGAAAACAAAAAAAAAGAACAAAGAAAGAACCAUGGAUGGCCAUAGUUUAAUCGCAGAACCAAAGAAAAAAGAAGAAGAUGAAGACGUACGUGUAUCUUUUUAUAUUUAUUAAAACAAAGUAAAUAAUAAAAAACUAUAAAACACCAUAAUUCACGGGUUGAACCACAUUUUAGUAGGUCCAAAAGGUUUAACCAAAACAAUUGACCUAAGUUUUAAUAAUAUUUGGAAUCCACAAAUGAAGAUAUGUACUAGUGAGUACUAUAACCAUAAAAAAAAAUCCCCGAUUACUCCCCGAUUUAUUUCCGAUUUUUCGAUAAAUCGCUAGGCGCUGGUCAUCCGCACGCGUUGCGCCUAGCGAGUUUCCGAACAAGGAGUAGAUGUAUAGACACUGUUAACAAAAAAAUAUAUGUAUAAAUAAAUAAAAGAAGAAUAACGAAAAUCGUAUAUGUUAUUAACCAGAUGCAUUAUACGUGGGAAUGAAUUUGGGGACUGCGCAAUAAAGUUUCAGUCUUGCUAGUAUUUCCAAAGACCAACUUUUUUUUUUUGAUCAAUUCCAAAGACCAACUUAAAUGUAAAAACACAGACCUUUUUCAAGUCUACAGAUUUUUUUAACAAAUUAGAGGAGGACGCGUAUCCUUUUUGUCGUUUUCAUCUGAGAAUAUCUUCUUUCCCUCUCUCGUUGUUGCCUUGCCCUCCCACAAAGAUCCAAAAAAGAACUAUAAAGCUAAAAUCUCAGAGAGCCAGAUAGAGUAUUAUAAAGUAGAAGAAACCCUAACAUUAAGUAGCUUUGAAACUCCCUUUGCUGAAUCAUGGCAGCCGUCCCUGAAGGAUAUUACGAAUCCACAAACCCGUUUCUAGUUCACGGGCCAAGAGGUUUUGAGGAGUUCAAGUUGCUUGAGAGUUUUGGCAUGUACGUGAGGAUGGACUUUCCAGGCGUUCCGGAGGAGUGCGUGAGGAUUUCUCUAGACCCGGCGAAGAAAUCUUUGGCUGUCUACGCAGAUGCUCCCAAGGUCCAUAGAUACGACCUCGCUCAACGGAAGUACCUCUCCGUCAUCGAAACCGUCUGCAGUUGCUGCGCGUUCGACCGCUUCACUUACCAAAUGUCAGACGGUGUUUUAAGGCUUCAUCUCUCCAAGUCUAACAUCGAUCAACGUCGCUCUUCCUGCAUCGGUACGUACCAGACUUGUCUUUUUCUAUUUUCUUGUUCUUCAUACAUUUAUAUUUAUUAAUUAGAGUAUAGGUGAAUGAUUAAAUUAUUUUUCUGAUUCUUUUUGUUUUUUCACAGAGUUUAAAUAUUCUGCUUUCGGAGAAGGUAUGUUUACAUUUAUUCCAUUUCAAUCGAUAUUUUGAAAAAAAGUGUUUACUCAUUUGUCUGUGUUUGUGCUCGUAGAUAUCUCUGGCAAUGACAUGGACGAGUCGUAUGAGUCGAAGCAGCUCGAAGACGGCAAUGUAUACGUGCGUUUAGACAUGCCAGGCGUUCCCAAGGACAACUUCACUGUCUCAGUGGCUAACGGCAAAGUAAACGUGACUGGUCAAGCUCCUGCUCUUAGCCACGACUCAGGUUCUCGGUUGUACUCUGCUGACGUGGUUAUGCUCUCCGGUCCUGUCGACUUUCCUAGCCAUCGGGUCAAAACCAUCAUCAAGAACGGUGUCAUCCGACUCCUCGUCCCUCCCGUUUGAUAUCAUUAAUUAUGAUGAUGACGUGGCUAAAUAUAUGUUUCUUUCUGUUUGUUAAAUUUGUCUUCAUGAGUGGACCUAUUUUGUUGGGAUUGAUUAAUAUUCCAAAAAGUAACAUUACUUCAAUUUGUGUAGGCAUGCACUCUAUCUUUUUUUUUUAUAUGAAUAUAUGUCUAACCAAAUAAAAACAGUAUGAUAAUAAUUAUGAACAAAUGUAAAGUGUAUUUUAUGUGUGAAGGCAUGCAUUUAAUUACGCAGUGUACGAUAAAGCUGAAAACUUACCAAAUUAAGGCAAAGACCAACUUUGUUGUCUAUCUUGAUACAAGACAAAAACCUCAGAGCUUUCACCAGAGUAGAAACGAAAAGAUGAAAUUAAUAAAACUUAUACGUUUGUAUAUUAGCGGGUAAUUAAUAAGAAAUAUGAUAUUUUGCGUGUCACUGGAAAUUGUUGGUAAAUAAAAGGCGAACACGCAUCCUAGUAUAUACAGAUCGCAUUCACAAAUGUAAAGUCGACACGUGUCGUCAGAGGGAUUAGUUGUCAUUUUCACCUGACAACCUCCCAUACUAUGCUUGUUUUAGAGCUUAGUCUCAAAAAUUCAAAAACCCUAGAGAGAGAGAGAUCUCAAAAAGAAAAAGCACUAAAACCCUAAUUAGUCUCAAAAAUUCAAAAACCCUAGAGAGAGAGAGGUCUCAAAAAGAAAAAGCACUAAAACCCUAAUUAAAAUCACGACUAUACUCAAUGUCAAGGAGGUUAUAAUCAACCCUAGCCUUAUUUUAUUAUUCUUAAAAUCUGUAAUGUCAAUUGACUGACAUAUACUAUUAGUUUGUUACUAUAAUAAACCAGCAUUACAAAGACGUCCAUAAUUGCUACUGGGUUAAUAAGCGCAAGAAAUUGCUUCACAAAUAAGAAGUGGACGCGUGCCCCCUCUCUAGCAGUGUAAUUGUUUUUGUCGUUUUCACCUGACAAUAUCUUCUUACCCUUCUCGUUGCCUUGCCUCUUUUUCUCUCCCAUAAAGAUCAGCACGUGAGAGAGAGAGAGAGAGAAGCAACCCUAAUAUCCAGUAGCUAAAAACCUCGCCCCAUCUGUUGAAUCAUGGCCGCCGUUCCUCUUCCUGCCGUCCCUCAGUCUCCCGGUAAACUUCUUCUCUGAACCAAUAAGAAGCUCAAAUCUCAUUCAGUUUUCUCGUUUACUGAGAUGAUUGAUUUUCACUGAUAUUUAUAUCUUCUCUGUGUUUGUUUGGUAGCAGAAGGGUUUUACGCAAUCAACAACGAGUUUCUCAUGAAUGGGCCAAAAGGGUUUCAGGAGUUCAAGAUUCUUGAGAACGACAUCAUGUUCGUGAGAAUGGAUUUUCCCGGCGUUCCAGAAGAUGGCGUUAGUGUUACUCUUGAUCAGUCCAAGACACUUGUGAGUGUCAGCGCCAAGGCACCCAGGUUCCAUACACACGACUUGUCUCACCGGAACUACUUCAUCAUCACCGGACUCGGAUGCGGAUGCUGCGAGAUCUCCGGCUUCACCUACCACAUGACCGACGGUGUUCUCAGGCUUCAUCUCUCCAAGACUAACAUCCUCCAUCCUCAACGCCCUUCCUGCAACUGUGACCCAUUAAUUAUCUAUUUUAGUUUAUUAUAUAUACGAAUCAUUCUAAAUUUUACUUGUUUUUUUGGUCAGCGUUUCUCGGUGGCAUACGUUUCAGAGGAGAUGGUAAUUUUAUUUUAUUUUCUUUUGAAUUUUUUCUUACACUUUGUAAAUGUUUCUAUCUUACUCUCCUCUAUGUGUGGUCGCAGAUUUCAGUGGAUGUCCUCAUAGGCUUCCCUAUAACAGGGAUCCCUAUCGUAUGUGUUAAUUUUUAAUUAACACUACUGUAUAAAAUUAAUCAUUAUGAUUCAGUAAUAUGUUUGGUUUAUUAAUUUGUCAUUGUGGUAAUUGCUAUAUGUGUGGAAGAGCAGACCCGGCUUUAACGGGUCCGGUGUUGAUGCGUCACCCGAAUGUGGCUGAAGGAACGGCUAUGGCUUAUGAGUCAAAGCAGCUGGAGAACGGCAGCCUAUACGUGCGUUUAGACAUGCCAGGUGUUCCCAAAGACAACUUCAACGUCUCCAUUUCGAGCGGGAGAGUGAAGGUGACUGGUCAAGCUCCUGCCGUUAGCCAUGACUCCGAUGGUCGCUUCUACUCUGGUGACGUGGCUAUGCUUUCUGCUCCUGUAGACGUUCCUAGCCGUCCGAUCAAAACUAUCAUCAAGGAUGGUGUCAUUCGCCUCCUCAUCCCUUCCGUUUGAUGUGAAAAAACGCGUUUGCGUUUGAAAUAAUUUGAGUGGACCCCAGUUAUUGUCGUUAUUUUGAGGAUUAUGUUAUGUCACUUUAUUUUUUGGACUUUUGGAUAUGUUCACAAAUGGUUUUCUCUAAAGCCCAUUCUCUUUAUGAACAAGUAAUGUUUUAACAAGACUCAUCAGUUUCAUUCCUCAAGAGUGCAUGGGUGCACUAUACAAGUUCAACAAAGCUAGAGCUAAAACCGUAACAAUAAAUCGAAAAAAUGAGAGACUAAACAAAUCAGAGCACCAUUAAUGCAGUUUCUAACGUGGGUUUUUAAAGAAAAUGGGGUAUUUAAUUAAAUCAAAACAAAAAGAAAUUAGAGUAGUCGAUCCUUAAUUGGGUGUUUUUGUAACCGAUCGUAUAUGGGUUUCUGUAAACACGUGUCGGCAUAUGUGAUUUUUCCUUUUUUUUUUCUUUUUCUCUUCCUUUUCUUUUUUUUCCUUUCUCAUCUCUUCUCUUUGGUUUUCUCGUGAUCUCCGUCGGGAAGCUGAUUGAAUUUCUCAACGAAAGUAUCACCUCCGUUCAAUCGGCGUAUCCUCCGGUCAAUCGCCGUCAGGUCCAUCUGAUGCUGAAGCGUAAGUCUCUGAUCCCCAAUUUCUCUUCUCCAAUCCUCGAUUUAUUUUUCUUAAUAAUUAUAUAUAAAUUCUUCUUUUUUUUUCUUGCAGCAAGAAGAUUCGUCUCAGCCAUAAGGUAAAUUAGAAACCCCAUAUUCACUUUUGCUUAAAGCUUCGAACUUUAGGGUUCUUGAUGGGGUUUAUGCAAACUAAUUGACAUGUUUGAUUUUAGUAAAGUCUCUAUAUUUUGUUGUUUGUUCACGUAUAGUGAUCCCUGCCUUGCUCAUGAUUGGUUGAUAUGAAACAGUUUGAUCGUUUUGAUCUGUGUUUUAAAAGGCGAGCGCCUUUUGCGCCAAGGCGCAAGGCGCACUCAGGCGACAGCCCCAUCGCCAUGCACCUCCCAGGCGAGGGUAUGGUCACUAAGGCGCGCGCCAUGGAGCGCCUUGACCUUAAAUCUAAUGCGCCAAAAGCGCUUGAAAGGCGCGCCUUAUAGAUUCUAAUCUAAAGCAUUAUGUUUUGACUCUCCCUGUGUUCUAAUCAUGAGCUUCGUGGCAUAGCCGCCGCUCUGUAACUUUUGUGACAUACUCAGGUGAAGAAGACGAUAUAAACUAACCUAAUUAACCCUAAAUAAUAAACCAACCCGGUUUAUAAUAUUAACCCAUGUGCCUUUCAAUUUAAUUUUAAUGAACCAACUUAACAAUAAACUAAGUAAUCCAAGAUGAAAGUUUAAUGAACCAAUUUUGAACCAACAUGAAACCAAAUAAACCAACUUUAACCAACUUUCUAGAAGGACACGCUUAAGAAUUGAGAACUAAAAUAAUGUCCGCAAGGCGAGCGCUUUUGUGCGCCAUGGCGCAUGGCGCAAGGCUAGGAGCAUCUCGCCUUGGUUCGCCUAGCGCUUUUUAAAACACAGGUUUUGAUGCAUUUUGAUGAUAUGAGCUAGUUAGUUGUUUCUUCUAGUAUCACUGAUGUUCUGUUUUAUCUAGCUUGAUCGACUCAUUUGCAUGGGUUUAAUUUUUAAAUGUGAACUGUUCUGUUCCAUAAAAAACUCAAGUCUUUAAUUAUGAUGUGUCGUGUUGGCUUUGUAAGCUUGGUUUUGUUGUUGUUAGCAUACACAUUCUGCUUUGGGUUGUGUGUGUUGCGAUUGACACAUAGCUUUUCCUGUGUUUAAAAAGGCGAGCGCCUUUUGCGCCAAGGCGCAAGGCGCACUCAGGCGACAGCCCCAUCGCCAUGCACCUCCCAGGCUGGGUUCGUAGUCGAGAGGUACUUUACUGUCUCUUCUUUUCUGAUGCACUUUUGGUUCUUUGGCAUUGGAUCAUCUUGAGUGGCUUGGUGCUAUGUUUUGUAGAAACUAGUGUUUGGAUUAGUCGUCAGGAAAUUUCAGUUCUGAUAUUGAGGCAGUUUGUGUGUAGUCUUUUACUAAUCAUGAGAUUGAUCAAUGGAUAGAGCUUUGAAACUUGUAACUUUUUUUUUUGUUUCCACCACUCAUGUGUUUUUGUGGGGUUUUUUUUAUAAGAAUUCUUAAUUAAGAGACUAGCAUUGGAGCACUAAACUAAUUGUUUCAAAAUGUUAUAUUUUAAUAUGUUUUAUUUUAUAAAUAAUUUUAUGUAACAAAAAAAGUUUAUAAUUUUUUUUAAGAAUCUUUAAUUAAGAAACUACCAUUGGAGGCACAAAAUCGAACAGUUUCUUAACUAGAUUUCUUAACUCCACCAAAGUACACUUAUAUAUUUAAAUAUUCAUUAAGAAAUACUAUAGAGUUUCUAUGGAUAAAGAUGCUCUCAGCAACACUCAAUUUCAUUACUCAAACUUCAUCAAAACAAAAACCUCAAUCGAGGCAUUUCUCCAAAAGGUUACCAUUUAUAAAAAAAACAUCAAAACAAAAACACCAAUCUUAACAAAUUCAGUUUUUUUUUUUCUAACAGAGAGUGAGUUGAAUUAUUUGCAACUAUUUUUUUUUUUUCAAAUGAUAACCUUUUGGUGAAAUGUCAAUUUUAUCCAAUUAUUCUUUUAACUGUGUAACCAUUUGCAUCUCAGACAAAGAGAUUUGUCUGCUAUAUAGUUCUAGCUCUAGUGAAACGAAGGGACAAUGACGGCUGAUGUGGUGGUUGUGGAUGUGCAGAGAGAAACUUGGUUGGGUUUUAUGUAGCUCUAGCGAUGGAUAAGUUGGUGACAUGCAGAAAAAUUGGUUGCUUGGGAAAAGGGAGAGAGGUGUAGGCGCGUGUAGCUCGAGAGCGUAGACAAUAAAUAGAUGAAGACAAGGAAGAAGAGAGGAGAAAAAUUAAGAAACCGUUGAUAAUGUAAAUUUUACUUUUCCCAUGUCUCUUCCUCCUGAUCAUGCAUUUGUUAUUUCUUGUGGAUAAUGAGGAGCUAAUUAACACGUUGAGUUCAUGUAAAAUGCUCUUCCAAUAGUUGAAAACAAGCUAGAACUAGUUGCAAAUUUGUGGUCGUCAAUAAUAUUGCGACACACACCCCGAUGCCUAUGGGGGAAAAUAAAAGCAACUUAAAAUCUAUAUGUGAUUGAUAGAGGAGGACACUCAUAGAGCAGUUUGAACGGUGUUUAGCUUGCCGUUAAAAGCCCAUGUACGAGCAGUGCCGGUCCGGACUUACGUGGUGCCUAAAGCAAUUUAAAUUUUUUUUUUUUUGUAAACUGGCCUUCUUAAUUUAAAUGCAAAAGAAAUAAAAUACAUCAAGCCCAAGGCUUAAGUUUGUUAUGAGUAAACCCAGUGUUAUACUCUUAAUGAAAACACAUAUUUUAGGAACUGAAGCCCAAGUAACAGUCGUAGCCCAGAGUUGAGAAUCAAAGUUGAAACCGUGGAAAGUGGAGAAGAAUUGUCGAGAAAGUCUGCACAUUGUCUUGGCCAUGAGAGAUUAUGAACGGAGGAACCAAAGCUGUGUCAUCGCGGAAGACGCCCUAGGGUUUGCAUGUCAGAAGCUUUGGAGACGGUUACGGAUUUGCUUGUCUAUGAGUGAUAUUAACGCACCCGGAGGUCUGAAGAUUUGGUGGUGGAGACGUGUGUUACGCUCAUUCCAGAGCCAGUAAAUCGUGGCUUGAGUUGCUAGUAGUCGAAGACGAAGAGAAUCGCGAUUCCCUCGGAGAGCCAGGAGUUGAUUGAGAUUGUCGUCCCAUGAGGCAUGAGCUUGCAAAUCGCAUCGAUAUGCUAUCUGAUUCCAGACCGUGACACUGUAACGACACUCAAAGAAAAGGUGAUUUCUACUCUCAUGAUCAGUGUUGCAAAAUAAGCAUAACGGAUCUACAUUAAGACCCCAUCUUGUUAACCUGUCUCUUGUAGGACAUCGAUCCAGUAGGACUAACCAAGUGAGGAAGCAGUGUCGGGGGAUUCCGUAUGAGAACCAGACAAUCUUAGCCCAAGGAACUAGUGGCUGCGGACCCUUGAGGUAAGUAUAUGUUUCACCAGUUCUGUAACUGUGUCUAACUCUUCCAUCAAUCUCCCAUUCGAAAUAAUCCUCCUCAUCUAGUAAUUCUACGGUAGUAAGGUGUACCUGAAGCGCUAAUUGAUUGUCAGUUCUUGCUGCAGGGAUAUUCCACCGGCCUUCAGUAUAGAGAGACGCCACCGUUGCUGUCCUCGAGAUUCCAAGUCUGGUUGAAUUACCAUUCAAGAAUGUGUGAAGAUUUCCCAGAGGUGACCAGUUAUCAAACCAAAACCGUGUGGUUUGUCAAUUCCCAAUACGUCGUUUAAGCAGCGGGUAGACAAUAGCUCUAGCCUUGAUCAUCUUGUUGACUAGCCAAGAAUGGUUGGUGCUUGUUCCUAUCGUCCAGUAGUUUGAUACGUCGCCUUUUAGGAUUACCUCCUUAAACCAGCAGACCCACACAGAAUUCGGGCGAAAGAAGAGCAUCCAGAUAAGCUUCAGUAUGCACGCAAGGUUCCAAGUAUGAAGGUCUUUAACUCCCAGUCCUCCCUGAUCUUUGGUAAGUGUUACUGUCUCCCAACUUACUCUAGCAGUAUGGUGACCUUCGCUCUUGCCUUUCCAAAGGAAUAUGCCACACAGUGAAUUGAUUUUAUUGAUGCAUGACUUUGGUAGGAUGAAGCUGGAACACCAAAAGGUCGUAACACCCGAGAUCACCGUUUUUAUCAAGAGUAACCGCCCCGCAAAUGACAGAGCCUGAGCUGACCAGGAGGAUAGACGCUUCUUAAUCUGCUGAAGUAGAGGCUCGCAGUUCUGCAAGUUGAGCUUUUUCGUACACAGAGGGACUCCGAGAUAUCGCAUUGGUAAUGAACCACACGGCAUCCCCGUCGAAACUUGGAUAGUUGCAAUAUCUUGCUCUGUAAGUCCCGAAGCAAAAAAACUAGAUUUUUGCAAACUCACAGCCAGACCUGAUCUCUUUUCAAAUUCGUGCAGUAGCUGGAGCACCCUCUGAACGGACUCAAGUGACCCAUCAAUGAAGAUCAGUAGAUCGUCGGCAAAGGAGAGAUGAGUUAGCUUCGUUUUAUGGCACUGAUGAUGGUAAGAUAUAUAUCCUGCCCUCGCUUCUUUAUCCAACAUCAUUGACAAGUAGUUCAUAGCAAUGACAAACAGGUAGGGAGAGAGUGGGUCUCCUUGCCUUAGUCCCCUUUUUCCUUUGAAGAAACCAUUCACCGUGCCAUUGUAACCCACCAUAAAUGUUGUCGUGCAGAUGCAAGCUUUCAGCAAUCGGAUGAAAGGAGCAGGGAGAUCUAUACUAUCCAACGCUGUGAACAGAAACUCCCAAGAGAGAGUGUCGAAAGCUUUUUCUAUAUCGACCUUAAUGGUAAUCUUCUUAGUUCCUUUGUUCCUGUGGUAGCCAUUCACUAGUUCGCUAGCCAAUACAGUAUUUUCCACUAGGAGUCUACCCUCAACAAACGCUGUUUGAUUGGGCAAGAUUAGCUGACUAAGAAUAGGCUUUAGACGUCUCACCAGCAACCGUGAAAUGACUUUAUAGAGGGUAUUCAGACAGGAGAUAGGACGGUAGUCUGAUAUUGUAGAUGCUCCAGUGAACUUAGGAACCAAAGACAAGAUCGUUGAAUUUGUGGUUUUUGGCAGGAACCCUGAGUCGAAAAAAUCUUGAAUCGAGUUGACACAUUCCGCACCUAGAAGAGACCAAGAAGCUUUGAAGAAUCCAGAGGUGAGUCCAUCAGGCCCCGGAGCUUUAUUUGGGUUAAGGGAAAACAUUAGCUUAGUGAUCUCUUCAUUUGUAGGCAUCAGGAGGAUUGAGUUUAUCUGCUGCUGGCUGCAUCUGACAUGCGUGAGGCUACGAAACCAAUCAGCCGGAGUGUACCAGAGCGAUGGGAGGGAAUCAGGUCCAAGAACACCUUUAAAGUGAGCUAUAGCGUGAGCACUCAUCUCCAGUGGGUCUGUGAUGAGAACACCUGACAAAAGGAGGAACGAGCGGAUUGCAUUGAAGCUAGCUCUCAUUUGGCAGACACGGUGGAAGAAGGUAGUAUUCAGAUCUCCUUCACGAAGCCAUGUUAUUCUAGACUUUUGCUGAAAGAAGCAUUCUUCAAUUUGCCAGAGAAAUUGCCAUUUCAGAUUAAGAUCAUGUUCUUCAGCAAAAUUUUCAGGAGUUGGAUCUGACAAGGCUUGUACCUGCACAAGUUGUAACAAACGGUAAGCUUCAUUAACUCUCUGUUGGAUAUUUGAGAAAUUUUCUUUAUUAAGAAUUUUAAGACUCCUUUUAAUGCUUUUCAGCUUCCAACACAGAGACGCAAAGUUGGCAGACACACUUCCGGCGAGCAACCAUGCAUCAGUAACAACCUCCAGGAAGCUCGGGUGUUUGGUAAGGUAGUUUAGGAAGCGGAAGGGUUGAGUUCCUGCUUUAGGGAGUUGGAAGGCUAGGUCAAUAAGGCACGGGGAGUGAUCUGAAGGGGCAGGAGGGAGGAAAGUUGCAGUGGCAUUAGGAUAACUGGUAAGACACUCACUGUUGAUCAAACAUCUGUCUAGUUUCUUUGCAAUUGGGGAGCCGUCACAUUUGUUUGUCCAUGUGUGAACAGGGCCAUAGAAUCGAAGAUCAAACACUCCCAUCUGUAGUAAACUAUCACGGAAUUGGAACAUUUGCGAAGAAUGUGUACUGUGACAGAAGGAUGAAUGCUCGUAAGGGUGAAGAAUCUGGUUAAAGUCCCCUCCUACCAUCCAAGGCCUUGAAUCCAGAUCAUGAGCAGAAUGCAAGUUCAAAAGCUCCACCCAAAGGUCAGUUCUCUCUUCAAUGGUAUUUGAAGCGUAGAUGGCAGAGUAGAUGAUAGGAGUACAAUUAGGCAGCUCAAUCUCACAAGUAAUCAUUUGCCUUGACUGUGUUAUCACUCGAACUUUUGCUGGAUCCUUCCAAAUAAGCACGAUUCUCCCAUCUUCAUCAGAUGAAUGGUUAGAUAGAUAGUGCCAGUCUCGACAUAGGGUAGACAUCAAACGGGAUAGAGAUAGUUCCUUAAUAUGUGUUUCCAAUAGAGCACCAAAAAUGGGUCUGUGACUAUAAAGCCAAUCCGAAAAUGUCCGAUGUUUUACCGGGUCAUUUAGACCACGGAGGUUCCAAAAAAAGAGUUUUACACUCAUUAUGUAGAAAAAGAGGGUUCCCCAGUAGACUGGAGAGGGUCAGAAACAGUUAGAAGAGGCAAAAAAGGGUUAUUUGUGGAGGUAUUUAUGAAAGGGGAAUUUUCAAGGUACCUAAGGGUACCAAUCACGGGGAAUGAAAGGUCAGGGGACGGUUUAGAAGACUGAUAGAUGAUUUUGGGAGGUGCAGUAGGGGAAAUGGUUGGGGAGGAACGGGUUCUUUUUAAUGAUGGUUUUUGAGGUUUGUCCGAAGAAAUGUGAGCGGUGGAAGGGAAAAUCUUCUGAUUUGGCAUAGGGACAAAAGAGGGAGUAUUGAAAGCAGAGGGGCUAGUGGGAAGUGAAACAGUGUGGGUGGAAAGUAAGGGUUCAACGGUGAUGGGAGGGAAUGGUUUCUUGACAACAUACUGUUUGGUUUUUACAGAUUUUGUUGGAGUUUUUAUCGCCGAGUCUGAGAUCUUUUGCUUUGACUUAUCCACAGGAACUUUUGCUAUAGGAGGUGGAUCCUUUGGCGGUAUGUAGAGCAAACAAUUUUUCAUGAUAUGACCCAACUCAUGACAAUGAGCGCAUGUGGGAGGCAGCCAUGGAUAGUCCACUUGCACUUCAACAACUUCUCCACUCUGCCUUUGAAACUCCACUACAAUCGGNNNNNNNNNNNNNNNNNNNNNNNNNNNNNNNNNNNNNGGAAGAGGCUUGGUGAGAUCUACUUCCACCUUGACAUGAGAUAAGGUAAGACUCACUAGGUUUAGAGUAAAGUCAUCCGUUUCUUUAGGCUCUCCAAUCAACCCCGCAACUAGGCUAAGGCCUUGUUUAUAACGUAGGUCGAGAGGAACUCCAGUGAGGUGAGCCCAAAUCUGGAUAGAGCUAAGAAGAGGUGUUGUGGAGGAAUGCACAGAAGACCAUUGAGCGGUAUGAAACAUCGAAUCCCCCACAUACCAUAUAUUUUUUUCCAAGAUCUUCUGUCGAAGGAAGUCACUAGGGAUCCUAACCAGAACUGAGCGUUGUAGAGGGUUGUUAUGCAUCUCAAGCCUUCUACCUUUACCCCACAUAUGACAGAGAACACUUUGGAUCUGCUUGAAAGGUGGGGGGGGGGGGGGGGGGGGGGGGGGGGGGGGGGGGGGGGGGGGGUACGUACUGUGGGAACCAAAAUUCUCNNNNNNNNNNNNNNNNNNNNNNNNNNNNNNNNNNNNNNNNNNNNNNNNNNNNNNNNNNNNNNNNNNNNNNNNNNNNNNNNNNNNNNNNNNNNNNNNNNNNNNNNNNNNNNNNNNNNNNNNNNNNNNNNNNNNNNNNNNNNNNNNNNNNNNNNNNNNNNNNNNNNNNNNNNNNNNNNNNNNNNNNNNNNNNNNNNNNNNNNNNNNNNNNNNNNNNNNNNNNNNNNNNNNNNNNNNNNNNNNNNNNNNNNNNNNNGGGGGGCGACCGUUAAAAUAACAGAUAAUGAAAUCUUUAUGAAGCUCUGCGCCUUUGUGAAAGACAGAGUUCGGGAUUAGCACACGAGGUCGACCAGUUUCAAAGAUAGUUACUGGAGCGAGUCUCUGGAGAGACUUGUCUCCUCUCACACGAAGAGUUUCCGCUAGAGUAGGAGCAGCAUUAUGGGUUUGGGGUUGGGGUUGGAAAAUAGGAGGUGGAUUUAGUUGUGGGGGGGCAGUGUGUGGCUGAGAGUUGGGAAUGGUGGAUCUUACAGGAGGGGAGAGCGGGAUCAGAAGGAGUUAGGGAGGUAGAGGCACUGUUAGAGAGCAGGGGAGAGUUGUGGUUUGGUUGAAGGAUUUUGAAAUUGGUGGGAUUUGGUUCUGAAUAAGGUAAGUUAAGCUUUUCCAGAGAGGGGGAAGGGUUAGUGGUUGAGGAUGAGGAAAGAGUUUUAGGGUUUCCUGUAGCAGGAACAGUGAGUAUAGAUUCAAUCUCAGCUAGCGAACCAAACUGAGUAGUGGCUUGAGAGAUGGCUGAAGCUGUAGUUGGGUGUUGAGCUUGAGUCAUAACAGUAUCAACAUGGGUGGUAGUGAGGUGGGAUCUACGAGUUUGAGAACGGGUAAGAGGAGGAGUGGAGUCUAAUGGUGGGAAAAGAUGGGGAGAAAGAGGGGACUGAGGGUCAGGGGGGUCAGGUGGUGGUAGGAGAGCUUCUCCGGAGGUUGAAGACGCUGGUUGCACGGCGGAAGCACGGCCAGGAAGGGCCCAACGAGUCUGCAUUGGUAAGCGCGUCAGAGAGAAACUGACUUUUUUUUUCUAUUUUUGUUUUUUGACAGCAAUUUAAAAAUUUGAUGCCCUAGUUAUAAGUUAUAACUAAACUUUUUGUACUGCAUUUUAAGUAUAUAAACAAAAUAAUGCAAUAUAUUAUUAAAUAUUAACUUGCUAUCAAAUAAAACAAAAUACAUACAGAAAAGUUAUUAUUCUUGAGAAAUAAUGUUGGUACUGAUUGAUUACUAAUCUUUGUUCUUGUGGCAUUUUCUAUAAAUAAAUAAAUAAACAUAAACAGUAUAAUAUGAUACAUAUGAUAAAGUUAUGUUAACAUCAACAUCAUUUCCCUUUAUAAAAUGUCUCACGGGAUAUUAGAACCUAAUUUAUGAUAAUUUGUAUGUUCAGAUUUCAUAAAUUCGUAGAAAUGAUAAAAACUUACAAAAAAAAUAUAAGUAGAGCAAAAGAGAGACAUAGAAAUGAUAAGAACCUACUGAUAAUUUAAUUCCAUUGUUAUAGUAUCUCUCUUGUUUACACAUCUAUUUUCUUCAAAAAGAAAAAAUAAAAAUAAAAAAUAAAGAUGGCAAGAAGAACGUCUAUUUAAAAUAAAUAACUAAAGUUUGCUAUCCGAAAAAACUAUCGUUUGCUUUAUUCAAUUGUUUAUUUAAUAUGCCAUUUAAUUUAAUAUUUAAGAUAAAAGAGACCAAAUUUAUCAGAAAUGGUAAGUAAACCGUCCUAUCUUUAAAUUGGGCAAAUUAAUUGCUAUUAAAAUCCAAAAACAAAAAUUAGUAAAAAACUCAGAUUUGAACCCACUACCUGAAGCACUAGAGAACGAGUACGCAAACCCUACAAUGAUCAAGUUGUAAAUAUUUGUCACCCCAAAAUUAUAUAUAAAUUCUGGUGCCUAAAGCGUUUGCUUUGCGGGCUUUAGCCCAUGGCCCGGCCUGUGUACGAGUUAAGAUGAUUGAUCAAGUAAAUUAAACAUUAAGAGCCUCUCUUUUAUUAUGGAGUAGUGCUAAUUUUACAUUAGCCUCAAACAUCCUAGAUAAAACCUUACAUAUUAUUAUGAAACACGCGAUGAGGUGUGGUGUUGACAUAUAUCGACAACCACAUUCAUACACUCGAGGGUUUCGUUUGGAAUCUAGUAGGAGGGCCCAGGCAUGGUCUUCUGGAAGGGACAUACGCUAACUUGCGGGAUUUUGCAAACUUUAGGUAAGUGAGUAGCUGUCUGGUAGAUACGGCUCACCAUUUGCUGCUUUCCUUGCUGUUGUCCCUGUUGCUGAAUUUGUUGUUUAACCGCUUUGGAUGCUCCUUUCAAGGUUGGGCAAACGCAAAGGGGCUCUUCCUGGUGGAGCUCGUUACAGCACUGCUGGAGUAGAGGCGGUCUCUGCUGUGGACCCUGGGGGUUCUCCAUGUCGUCUUCAAAGUCAAACUCACCGUCGAGGGUCCAGCUAGGACCACUGCCAGACUGCAUUGCUUGCUUGUGGAGCCACUGCUGGCAAGCUUUUAGGUGUUGUGCUUGCUGAAACUCCUUCCUACAUUUUGGAAUCCUAAAUGGGCCGGCUGGGUUUGUUGCAUCAUCUUCGUCGAACUCGACCACCGUCCGGUAGAUGGAGGCAUUGGUGAGAAGGAAGAAGAAGGCGAGAGUUGCCGAGACGAGGAAGAGCUUGUUCGCCAUUAGUGUAUGUUUUUAAUCUUGUUUGUAUUGAUGAGUUUUGGUUUGAGUAAAGAGUUAAGCGGAUGAGUUAAUUUAUAGGUGAUAAAGGAGAUUUGCAUGGCGAUCACGUGUAAUAAUGCAUGCACGCAUGUGAUUGUAUGUGUGUGCUGUGAGAGAGAAGCUCUUAGGUGUUUGAAGGGAGUGACAAGUGACGAACAAAAACAAUCCUCCGCGUCUGCAUGCUUUGUGUAACGUGUAGCUAAUGUUCUGGCAUGGCAUCUUAUGAGCGAUUCUUUUUAAAAACAAGGUAAAAACUUAACUUCAUAAAUUAAAAAAAAAACGUUUAGUAAGUUGGUUUAAAAGGGGACGAGAGUCUAAAAAUUUUGGAGGUAGUGCCGUUGGGAAUAUAAAUUGGGAGAGCUUAAUCAGAAUUAUAGAAGUUAAAGUUGAUUUAGUCACGGUCAAUAUAAAUUGGGAAUUUGAGUCAAAAUCUUCCAAAUUCGGAAUCCGUCUUGUUACACCCGGUGGUAGGAGCCGAACGGUUUGAAAAUACUUGAAAUGUGGAUGUACAGGCUGGUUUAAUUUUAUGUUGAAUGGAUACAUGUCAAUCGAAUUAUAGGUACACAUUUUACUCUAAUACUAAAAUGUAACAUUUGUCUCAUCCUUACUCAAGAAUGGUAGCUCAUCCUUACUCGAGAACGGUAUGCCAGUCACUUUAACGUAUAUCUCAUGAAACUCAACUCUAACACUUAUUUCAUACCCAUAUCUAAAAUAAAGAAAACUGAAGAAAAACGGUCAAUAGCAUCAAUCCUUACAAAUAUAAUGCACUUGGAAACCUCACAUGAAAAUAACAAUAAAGAGGAGGUGAAUAAUAUAAGUAGUCCGAAAUGAAGUCUAUGGACUUAGAAAUAACAUUCCAAAUAUAUAUAAUUUAAUCAUAACAUGAAACAAACACAACACCUGAAAUGACAUAGAACAAAUUAGGGACCUAGUUAUAAGAUAAAGACUGGCACACCUCUUUUUUUUUUUGUUCAACUACUGGCACACCUCUAAUAGAAGCUUUCCCUAUGGAGGAUUCAUGUAUGUGACUAGAACCCACACACCGCCCGAAAACGCUUUCUUUAUUGACCUCAUUUACUACAGCUCAACCUGUCGACUUAGCGAAGAGGAAGAGCAAAGAUCAAGCUAACUAAAUUAGGGCUCUUGUUUGAUGAAACUGAAUGAAUGAAUCGAGAGAUGAAUGAGAUCUUCAUAAGCGAAUUAAGAAUCGACAAGGAAAGUUGCCCAAUAAAUAUUUGACAUUUCUUAAUUUUAAGGCCAAUUGGGCCAGUAACAUAUGGUAUUUUGACAGAUAUAUAGAUCCCAGAAUAAAUACUGAAUCAGCAAAAAUGAAAUCAGAGAGCUAAACGCUGAAGAAUCCACAUCUGCGUUCAAACAGUUCAUCCUUUACCUCAAAUAAACAAACUGCCAAAUCUUUUAAAUAUCUCAAACGUAAACAAAAUAUGAAAAAGAGUCUUUGGGACAAACAAAUCAAAAUGGUCUUGACAGCAUAUUGACCCUUGUAUGAUUGAAAGCCACUGAGACCCUCCUGCCAUUAACACAUCAAAUCUUAUAGACACACUUUGAGAAAAUAAAAAUCGUGAGGCCAUCUCAGUGUUAGUGACUCGCCAUGAAGUAAAGGCAUACCAGGAGAGUUUUGUCAAAAAGACAUAAGCUUAUUAGAUAAUUGGAGGGUUUAACUCUUAUAUAUCAUGUGCAGAAUUUAAUUGGUCAACAAAGCAAAUGGAACCAUCCGAUAGAUGUUUUAAAGAACAAGAGGUACAUUUGUAUAUAUGCAUUGGUUGAUACGUUUCUGCCAUCUGAAUUGCUUCUUCCUCAAAGAAGAAGCAAUCACCGAUGAAUGCUAAAGGAUUCAGGUCUAUAUUUGGCUUCUACUAGGCUUGUCUCUACAGUAGACUUUAUUCACAAAUGCAAACAACUUCAAGCAAGGCAAGUGACAGGACAGAUAAUGCUUAGAGAAAGAGAAACCGUUGAAAAGAAGCAGAAAGCACAACUCCCUUCGACUAAUUAAUCUAGGAUUUGCACUGACCAUAUUACUUCAAAGAUAGUUCCAUUUCAAGAAACAUAAACAGAACUUGAAUGAGAAAAAUCUAUGAUCAAAUUCAAAGGGAAAUUUGCAAGAGUACAAAGACAGAUUCAGCAGCACCUAGAAAACCCCAAUUGAUCUGCGUAAAAUCCCAAUUCUCUCUUCUGUUUACAAAAAAAAAUCACGAUCCACACUCUUUUUUGAUUUUCAAAUCAAAACAAAUAAUCAGCCCUGAAUUAUACAGUAAAAUCCCGAUCAAAACGGGUUAAUAAUUUUAUGAAAUAAUACAAAAAAAAAGAAACAGAUUGAGAUCGGCAAAACCUCGAUCAAUCAAUCAAUCAAUCAAACAACAUCGUCCUUCUUGGGUUUCCGAUAAUUCUCUUCGAUGUGCUCGAGGAUGACGCGAACAGUGUUCGUCAGCUUCUUUACAUCGGGAACGUUGUAAUUCUGUGCAACGUAUACACCAUAAGCCGUUCCCAUCGUGAACACCAAGCAGCUCUUCAUUAUCCCCAUCCCCCUCUCUACGCUCCGUACUAGUGUUCUAUUUGCACUUGUACUAUGAUACUUUAAUGGGCCUUCAAUAUUUAUUUCUAAGGCCCAUAGUGGGCCCAAAUCAAAUGAAACCGGCAUGCUCAUUUCCGUUGGUAGACAGAUUAAGAUUAAGGGCCAGAUUGGUUCAAAUGCAGCGGUUGCGGUUGCGGAAGUUUGUGGAUGCGGACGGUUGCAGUUUCUAGCGGUUUUAAGAGAUUUGUACGACUGGUAGUGCGGUUAAAUAUUGGUGCGUUUGCGGGUGACUUAUGACUGGUUAACUACCAAAUGCGGUAACAGUCAAAUAAUAAAUUAACAAUAUUUAUAUUUAAUAUAAUUAUAAAAAUAUCAAAAAGUCAUAAAAUUAUAAUAAAUAUAAAAUUUAUAUUUAGAAAGUUAUAAUUUUAAUUAUUAAAAAUUUAUUAAAAUUGUUUUUAUUAUAAAAUUUUAUAAUAUUAAUUAAAAUAUAAUAGAUAUAUUUUAAUAUUUUCAUAAUUUCAAUUUUAUAUUUAAAAUAAAUAACUAAAGUUUGCUAUCCGAAAAAACUAUCGUUUGCUUUAUUCAAUUGUUUAUUUAAUAUGCCAUUUAAUUUAAUAUUUAAGAUAAAAGAGACCAAAUUUAUCAGAAAUGGUAAGUAAACCGUCCUAUCUUUAAAUUGGGCAAAUUAAUUGCUAUUAAAAUCCAAAAACAAAAAUUAGUAAAAAACUCAGAUUUGAACCCACUACCUGAAGCACUAGAGAACGAGUACGCAAACCCUACAAUGAUCAAGUUGUAAAUAUUUGUCACCCCAAAAUUAUAUAUAAAUUCUGGUGCCUAAAGCGUUUGCUUUGCGGGCUUUAGCCCAUGGCCCGGCCUGUGUACGAGUUAAGAUGAUUGAUCAAGUAAAUUAAACAUUAAGAGCCUCUCUUUUAUUAUGGAGUAGUGCUAAUUUUACAUUAGCCUCAAACAUCCUAGAUAAAACCUUACAUAUUAUUAUGAAACACGCGAUGAGGUGUGGUGUUGACAUAUAUCGACAACCACAUUCAUACACUCGAGGGUUUCGUUUGGAAUCUAGUAGGAGGGCCCAGGCAUGGUCUUCUGGAAGGGACAUACGCUAACUUGCGGGAUUUUGCAAACUUUAGGUAAGUGAGUAGCUGUCUGGUAGAUACGGCUCACCAUUUGCUGCUUUCCUUGCUGUUGUCCCUGUUGUUGAAUUUGUUGUUUAACCGCUUUGGAUGCUCCUUUCAAGGUUGGGCAAACGCAAAGGGGCUCUUCCUGGUGGAGCUCGUUACAGCACUGCUGGAGUAGAGGCGGUCUCUGCUGUGGACCCUGGGGGUUCUCCAUGUCGUCUUCAAAGUCAAACUCACCGUCGAGGGUCCAGCUAGGACCACUGCCAGACUGCAUUGCUUGCUUGUGGAGCCACUGCUGGCAAGCUUUUAGGUGUUGUGCUUGCUGAAACUCCUUCCUACAUUUUGGAAUCCUAAAUGGGCCGGCUGGGUUUGUUGCAUCAUCUUCGUCGAACUCGACCACCGUCCGGUAGAUGGAGGCAUUGGUGAGAAGGAAGAAGAAGGCGAGAGUUGCCGAGACGAGGAAGAGCUUGUUCGCCAUUAGUGUAUGUUUUUAAUCUUGUUUGUAUUGAUGAGUUUUGGUUUGAGUAAAGAGUUAAGCGGAUGAGUUAAUUUAUAGGUGAUAAAGGAGAUUUGCAUGGCGAUCACGUGUAAUAAUGCAUGCACGCAUGUGAUUGUAUGUGUGUGCUGUGAGAGAGAAGCUCUUAGGUGUUUGAAGGGAGUGACAAGUGACGAACAAAAACAAUCCUCCGCGUCUGCAUGCUUUGUGUAACGUGUAGCUAAUGUUCUGGCAUGGCAUCUUAUGAGCGAUUCUUUUUAAAAACAAGGUAAAAACUUAACUUCAUAAAUUAAAAAAAAAACGUUUAGUAAGUUGGUUUAAAAGGGGACGAGAGUCUAAAAAUUUUGGAGGUAGUGCCGUUGGGAAUAUAAAUUGGGAGAGCUUAAUCAGAAUUAUAGAAGUUAAAGUUGAUUUAGUCACGGUCAAUAUAAAUUGGGAAUUUGAGUCAAAAUCUUCCAAAUUCGGAAUCCGUCUUGUUACACCCGGUGGUAGGAGCCGAACGGUUUGAAAAUACUUGAAAUGUGGAUGUACAGGCUGGUUUAAUUUUAUGUUGAAUGGAUACAUGUCAAUCGAAUUAUAGGUACACAUUUUACUCUAAUACUAAAAUGUAACAUUUGUCUCAUCCUUACUCAAGAAUGGUAGCUCAUCCUUACUCGAGAACGGUAUGCCAGUCACUUUAACGUAUAUCUCAUGAAACUCAACUCUAACACUUAUUUCAUACCCAUAUCUAAAAUAAAGAAAACUGAAGAAAAACGGUCAAUAGCAUCAAUCCUUACAAAUAUAAUGCACUUGGAAACCUCACAUGAAAAUAACAAUAAAGAGGAGGUGAAUAAUAUAAGUAGUCCGAAAUGAAGUCUAUGGACUUAGAAAUAACAUUCCAAAUAUAUAUAAUUUAAUCAUAACAUGAAACAAACACAACACCUGAAAUGACAUAGAACAAAUUAGGGACCUAGUUAUAAGAUAAAGACUGGCACACCUCUUUUUUUUUUUGUUCAACUACUGGCACACCUCUAAUAGAAGCUUUCCCUAUGGAGGAUUCAUGUAUGUGACUAGAACCCACACACCGCCCGAAAACGCUUUCUUUAUUGACCUCAUUUACUACAGCUCAACCUGUCGACUUAGCGAAGAGGAAGAGCAAAGAUCAAGCUAACUAAAUUAGGGCUCUUGUUUGAUGAAACUGAAUGAAUGAAUCGAGAGAUGAAUGAGAUCUUCAUAAGCGAAUUAAGAAUCGACAAGGAAAGUUGCCCAAUAAAUAUUUGACAUUUCUUAAUUUUAAGGCCAAUUGGGCCAGUAACAUAUGGUAUUUUGACAGAUAUAUAGAUCCCAGAAUAAAUACUGAAUCAGCAAAAAUGAAAUCAGAGAGCUAAACGCUGAAGAAUCCACAUCUGCGUUCAAACAGUUCAUCCUUUACCUCAAAUAAACAAACUGCCAAAUCUUUUAAAUAUCUCAAACGUAAACAAAAUAUGAAAAAGAGUCUUUGGGACAAACAAAUCAAAAUGGUCUUGACAGCAUAUUGACCCUUGUAUGAUUGAAAGCCACUGAGACCCUCCUGCCAUUAACACAUCAAAUCUUAUAGACACACUUUGAGAAAAUAAAAAUCGUGAGGCCAUCUCAGUGUUAGUGACUCGCCAUGAAGUAAAGGCAUACCAGGAGAGUUUUGUCAAAAAGACAUAAGCUUAUUAGAUAAUUGGAGGGUUUAACUCUUAUAUAUCAUGUGCAGAAUUUAAUUGGUCAACAAAGCAAAUGGAACCAUCCGAUAGAUGUUUUAAAGAACAAGAGGUACAUUUGUAUAUAUGCAUUGGUUGAUACGUUUCUGCCAUCUGAAUUGCUUCUUCCUCAAAGAAGAAGCAAUCACCGAUGAAUGCUAAAGGAUUCAGGUCUAUAUUUGGCUUCUACUAGGCUUGUCUCUACAGUAGACUUUAUUCACAAAUGCAAACAACUUCAAGCAAGGCAAGUGACAGGACAGAUAAUGCUUAGAGAAAGAGAAACCGUUGAAAAGAAGCAGAAAGCACAACUCCCUUCGACUAAUUAAUCUAGGAUUUGCACUGACCAUAUUACUUCAAAGAUAGUUCCAUUUCAAGAAACAUAAACAGAACUUGAAUGAGAAAAAUCUAUGAUCAAAUUCAAAGGGAAAUUUGCAAGAGUACAAAGACAGAUUCAGCAGCACCUAGAAAACCCCAAUUGAUCUGCGUAAAAUCCCAAUUCUCUCUUCUGUUUACAAAAAAAAAUCACGAUCCACACUCUUUUUUGAUUUUCAAAUCAAAACAAAUAAUCAGCCCUGAAUUAUACAGUAAAAUCCCGAUCAAAACGGGUUAAUAAUUUUAUGAAAUAAUACAAAAAAAAAGAAACAGAUUGAGAUCGGCAAAACCUCGAUCAAUCAAUCAAUCAAUCAAACAACAUCGUCCUUCUUGGGUUUCCGAUAAUUCUCUUCGAUGUGCUCGAGGAUGACGCGAACAGUGUUCGUCAGCUUCUUUACAUCGGGAACGUUGUAAUUCUGUGCAACGUAUACACCAUAAGCCGUUCCCAUCGUGAACACCAAGCAGCUCUUCAUUAUCCCCAUCCCCCUCUCUACGCUCCGUACUAGUGUUCUAUUUGCACUUGUACUAUGAUACUUUAAUGGGCCUUCAAUAUUUAUUUCUAAGGCCCAUAGUGGGCCCAAAUCAAAUGAAACCGGCAUGCUCAUUUCCGUUGGUAGACAGAUUAAGAUUAAGGGCCAGAUUGGUUCAAAUGCAGCGGUUGCGGUUGCGGAAGUUUGUGGAUGCGGACGGUUGCAGUUUCUAGCGGUUUUAAGAGAUUUGUACGACUGGUAGUGCGGUUAAAUAUUGGUGCGUUUGCGGGUGACUUAUGACUGGUUAACUACCAAAUGCGGUAACAGUCAAAUAAUAAAUUAACAAUAUUUAUAUUUAAUAUAAUUAUAAAAAUAUCAAAAAGUCAUAAAAUUAUAAUAAAUAUAAAAUUUAUAUUUAGAAAGUUAUAAUUUUAAUUAUUAAAAAUUUAUUAAAAUUGUUUUUAUUAUAAAAUUUUAUAAUAUUAAUUAAAAUAUAAUAGAUAUAUUUUAAUAUUUUCAUAAUUUCAAUUUUAAUUUUUUUAUUAAAUAUUUUUACUUUUGUAUAUAUAUUGUUUAAAAAAAAAGAGAAAAAAUUAUCCUCCCGCAACCGCAAACGCUAGCUGGAGCCAACUUUUGAAUUUAUGAGAUUCAGAGCGGUUUGAAGUGGUUUAGAGCGAUUUGAGUGAUUGUUGCAAACCGCCGACAACCGCUACCAACCGCAAAAGCUGCGUUUGCGGGUGGUAGCGGGAAAACCAGUCACCCCAUCUUCUCGGUUCCUGAAAUCUUGUCUCUUUACUUGGGAUUUAAGACAUGAUCGACUGAUAGACAGAUUAAAUCUUCUCGGUUUGAUGCGUAUGUGAGACAUCUGUUUUUGAUGGUUGUCUGGUUGGGGUUGUUAUUGUACAUGUAGGCUUAUAAGGAAUGGCAAAGAGCACAUUCAAGGAAGAGCAUGACCUAGGUUUGGAUCCUACCUUUUUGUUCUCUUAGUUUUGUGUUUGAUUCUCAAGUAAACUUAUAACUUUUGGAUCUAAUGAUGAUUCUAUUUUCUGCCUUCAGAGAAAAGAAGUGUAGAGGCUGCUCGGAUUAGAGAGAAAUAUCCAGAUAGGAUUCCGGCGAGUGCUCAGUGUUUUACAUUACCUAAACACAUAUGUGAUUAGCAUAUUGUCUUCCUUUUCCAUGUUUGGACGAUCCCUUUGUGUUGCACUCAGCUUAAGCUCUUGUUAUGUUUCAUGGCCCAACAUCUAUAUCCUUUUUUUCUGUCUUGGGUGAUUAUGAACUUAUCAUAUCUUUGGCUAUAGUUUUGUAGAUAACAAUCUGGAUUUAUAUGUACUCCCAUUUAACAGUUGGUUAUUAACCUCUGAUUAGCCUCAUGCUUGUGAUAUUUUUAUAUUUGGGCACUGUAUCAACUCAACUACUGAACUUGUUUGAAUUCUAGUGUCAUAUUGGGAAGUGAUUAAUGAUUUUACAUGGUUACUUAAAAAGUAGUGACACUUGAGUGAUGAUCUUCACCCUUUUUUGUAUUUGUGUGGGAUCCGGGUGAUUGUUGAGAAGGGUGAGAAGAGUGAUAUACCAACCAUCGACAAGAAAAAUUAAGCAUAUUGAUUACUGUAAUCAAUAUACAUCUCCCUCGGACCUGACUUGUGAUUGACACAACUAAGCUUUUUAUCCUGGAUGCAGAUACCUAGUCCCAGCUGAUCUGACAGUGGGGCAGUUCGUGUAUGUCAUUCGCAAAAUAAUCAAACUGAGUGCAGAAAAGGCUAUCUUUAUCUUUGUCGACAAUGUUCUUCCUCCAACAGGUAGCACUGAUAAGCUCUUACUUACUGUGUAUUCAUGACUUCUUUAAUAUCAUCCUAAGACAUCUACUUUGAUAACUCUGGCAGGUGCGUUAAUGUCUGCUGUGUAUGAAGAGAAAAAGGAUGAUGAUGGUUUCCUCUAUGUCACUUACAGUGGAGAGAACACAUGUGGAUCUCCAUAGAGAUCUCUUGCUGGAUACUUCGUUUCUAUUUUACCUAUUUCGCCUGAGUAUUUCAUUUCUUAUUAUUAGUUAUCUAAGCAAAGCAGCCUAUGUACUACUUCUCUAAGAACUUUAAGAUGGCCGUUCAUGUGUACAGAGAACAUAAAAAUAAUGUAUAUAUAAUCUCAAAACCUACUUGAUUAUGUUUUCGAUUGACUUUCACUCAGUAAGCCGACAUAACAUGUUGCCGUGAGUGCCACUGUAGUUACAGAGGCAAAAAAGUCUUUAACUAAAUAGAACAGCAGUGGCCGGUUAUGGUACAAAAGGUCCCACAUUGUCGUUGACGGAGGGGGGGAAGAGACGGUCGCACCAUGUUGCCUUGUUCUACUAACUAGAUCUUACUAUGUCCAUGUUGAUUUUUGCUUCUUUAUGUUUAUUUGUCAAUCGUUAAAGCUUGCUCGGUUUUGUUAGAUUCGGGUUUAUUAUGGGCUUCCAACUCAAAACCAAUUGGCAAUUAGUGGAUUGGCCCUAACCUUUUAUAUAUUACUUAAUGUCCCAUUGAUUUUCCAAUGUGGGAUACAUAUCCCUUAAUAUUAGGAGGCCUUCUCGCCUUGAAUGAGAUAAUAUUUUUGAGGAUCAUUCAUAAAUACAUAAACCUAUUAAGGGAUAUGUAUCCCACAUUGGAAAAUCAAUGGGACAUUAAGUAAUAUAUAAAAGGUUAGGGCCAAUCCACUAAUUGCCAAUUGGUUUUGAGUUGGAAGCCCAUAAUAAACCUGAAUCUAACAUGGUAUCAGAGCCAGGUUCCUAAUAAGUUAAACCCCUAAUUAAUAUUAACCCUACCCGACCGGGUAUAUAGGUCGUAAUUGACUCGCUCGACCGAGUAUAACUGUCUUAAAAUUCCGAGAUUUCUGGCCGAUAAGAGCCAUCAUCUCGAGGAGGGGUAUUAAGGGAUAUGUAUCCCACAUUGGAAAAUCAAUGGGACAUUAAGUAAUAUAUAAAGGGUUAGGGCCAAUCCACUAAUUGCCAAUUGGUUUUGAGUUGGAAGCCCAUAAUAAACCUGAAUCUAACAUGGUAUCAGAGCCAGGUUCCUAAUAAGUUAAACCCCUAAUUAAUAUUAACCCUACCCGACCGGGUAUAUAGGUCGUAAUUGACUCGCUCGACCGAGUAUAACUGUCUUAAAAAGUUUCCAAGAUUUCUGGCCGAUAAGAGCCAUCAUCUCGAGGAGGGGUAUUAAGAGAUAUGUAUCCCACAUUGGCUCUGAUACCAUGUUAGAUUCGGGUUUAUUAUGGGCUUCCAACUCAAAACCAAUUGGCAAUUAGUGGAUUGGCCCUAACCUUUUAUAUAUUACUUAAUGUCCCAUUGAUUUUCCAAUGUGGAAUACAUAUCCCUUAAUACCUAACCAGUCACGUGAAACGUGAGACACGCGGUUGUGUCCUUGGGAAAAGAUAGGUACUUCGAAUAUUUAAGUGAAAGUUGAACGCAAGGGUUCAUAGCCAAAGAGUCUGUUAACUGAAUAGAUGGGGAUGCUAUCAUGUUAACGUAUGUGACAUGUCUAGUAGUGUCUUGAUAAGAAGAUGAAUGUCAUCUGAGUAUGACUUACGAAUGUUACGUCAAACUAUUGUGUUAUAUGCUCUACAUAUAUCUGGAUAAACUGCCGUUGAAAUUGUACAGUAAUGAUGGGUGACAAGGGUAACUGGGUAAGUAUAAUGUUUGUUAAUGGAAGAAGGAAAAUGAGAGAUUGACCCCACACGAAGACUCUUAAGUAGACAAAAAGUUUGGCCGAUCAAGACACACCACUAUACAUCAAUAGAUACGUAUAUGUAAUGCAGAAAUGAAUGUGAAUAUGUUUGAAAAAAUGGACAAGAGAGAAGGUAAAAGAACAAGAGAGGAACAAGAGCAUGUUAUGGCAAUGAAGGACCCCCCACCUGCAUUCAAUGCUUGUUUUACUCUCUUUACUCACUCCAUUAACUUUCUUCUCACUACAAAUACUCCUUCCCUCUCUUCUCUUCUCUUACACUCCAUAAACAUUUCAUACCAUCUUGAUCUCAUCUCUCAAUAUAGCCACAGUAUAAAUAUAGGUAUCUGAAAAGAAGAAAUAGAGAAGUUAUGCCUUGCUCUGUGAGGAGUGGAUUCAAGAUAGUGUUCUGUUUCAUUCUUCUGCUUUUGUCAUCCAAUAUUGGAUGUGCUAAUGCUCGUUGUUUAGGGCUUCACAAGCAUCAUCACAAGAUUCAUCACAAGGUUGCUUCCUUGGUACAAGAUGUUGUCAAUGGUGGAGGAAGGAAGAGGGUAUUGGGUGGAGUGGAGACAGGGGGAGAAGUAGUGGUCAUGGAUUAUCCUCAGCCUCAUCGUAAGCCUCCCAUCCACAACGAGAAGGCUUAAAUUACUCUCUAUACAUCAUAUGAAUCACCACACUGUUAUAUGCAUUCACCAUGCUGGUGGUUUUAAUGACACUCUUGAACUAUAUUCAUUACCAACUCCUUUUGUUCUCUCUUUCUUCGUUCUCUAAAACAAACAAGCUGCACCUCUUCCUUAUAAUAUAUUGUAUUUCAUGUGGAAUGUGCUUACUUUGAACGAACUCUUCAGACCGCCCAACCAGAAGAAAUCCGGUCUAAGUUUGGUUAUUGCCUCAUCCAGUAUCACCUAAAAGUUUCCCAAAACCCACCCAACUCAUUAGUGCUGCUCAAAUGUCAACAUAGUAAACCAUAUUUAAUUUUCACAUCAAAAUCAAUCCAAAAUGCCUAGAAAAAAGCCUAAACAUGAAGCAUUUCAUACAUAUCUCCACGAAAGGAACUUCCAACUCUAUGUUUACUUUCCAAUUAACAUUUUGUUCUGCACAGAUCGAACUGGAAUCCAAUGGUCUUUUUUAUUAUGAGAACACAAGCAGCAGAACUGAAUACUCAAAAGGGAAAACUCACUAAUACUUAAAAGAUGAUUUUGAAAGAAUGAUGUGUCACAGACACAGUAGGAUGAAUAGUGUUUUUGUCUGAAGUGGGCCACUUCUGCAUAAGAGAAGGAGGAAUACACAUCAAUGCAGUAGGGUAUGAGCCUACUAAGAUUAUUUCUGCACACUCAACAAAAAUAACGCCAUUUAAGUCUCUAACUGCUAGUAUUAGCAGUUCAAAGAAAGGGCUGUUUGCGAUAUAAUACGUGGCAGCGUCAGCGUCAGCAUCUGCGAAACGAACAACAACUGUCUUUAGUGACGCUGCCGCCGCCACGCCGAAACCUGCGGCAACCAAACUAACAGGCAUCGGACCGUAAAAAAAGAGGUUCUAGUUUUUCACAAGUAACGGCAAAAAUACUAGAGAAAAUGAGUGGUACAAACAGAAGCUGGCUCACAAGAAAAAACUUUAAGUAAUUUUGGGCCCGUAUCAAAUGCAAACUGUGUUAAAAUGUACUACACCUCCAUUACAGACUUAAAAGAAACAACCCAAAAAAAACUAGCUGUCAGACCUUCGGGGCCUCUGUGACAAUUAGGACAUGCAUGUCUGGGAAACGCUUGGUAAGCACAUGUGUGGUAAAGGGAAAACUCUCUGUAACUAUUUAUGAACACAGAAGACAACAUAAAACUGUUUGUCUAGGAGAAGAAAACACAAGUGGGCAGAGGUUAUUAUCAUGCUAAUCCUCAUAUCUUACACAUGUCUAAUAUAUAAUUAAUAGUGUAGCAGCAACGAGCAAGUACCAAGAGAUAAUCACCAGAGCAUGGCAAAGUCGGUCAGCUUCAGACAGAUUUGAUUCUACAACGGAAAUAAAAGUUUAAUUGACGUCUCCUCAGGAGCAAGUCUCUACACAAAGAUUAGAGAAAGCCUGUCAACAGAGGGAAGCAAGGUAUAACCUUCAAUAUCACCAUUAUAUAAAAAAGAGGCACUGACGAUUAAAUCGUUUCUUUGGGAUCUUGCCCUCGUUUAGAGAAUAAAGAAAGUUCUUCACUGCAUCAUCAGCGUUAAAUCUAGCAGAGUACUGCCAUAGAAAAAAAAAUAGUAGGUGGUCAGAUGAAUACAGUUAAAAACGAAUUAAAUGUGAGAAUAUAUGCUAGGAACCAUUAGGAGCACCUAAACAACAACCACAUAGUAUUUAGAGUUGUUGCGAUCACUGCAAUCCAAAAUGUUUGAUGAAACUUGAAUAUUAACCUGCAUUAGUAAACAUUUGGUGAUACGAAAAGAAACCACCUUCAAUGGCAUAGAUACACUUUGCCUUUGCAACAUGAUUCAACAAGUGUAACAUGAAACUCUAUCCGAGGGAAAAAAAUAAAUAAAUGAAUCCAAGGAUGAAAAUGCUCUUGCAGAGAUGUGGACAGAGGAAGAGCCGAGAACGUUGCGGCGAGAUUCAAGAGUCCAGUCGUAGUAAUUGGGCUUUCAAAUAUUAAACCAGGAGUCAAUAUCAUAUAUUUGAGCGUCAAUCAAUUCCAUUAGAGUCUUCUGUGAUUGUAGAUUUUCUUCAAGUAAGUUGGCUCGAGCUCAACACCAAGUCACCAACUAUCAACAUACUUUAACCUUGGUCCAAAAAUCUUCUGUGACUGUAGAAGGGCCUGAUGUAACAGCAGCGGUUACGAUUGCGGUUAUGGGAGUUUGCGGAUGCGGGUGGUUGUGAUUCUAAUCGGUUUUAAGAAAUUCGUACGAUUGGUACUGCGUUAGAAACUGGUACGUUUGCGGGAUACUUAUGACUGGUUAGCCACCAAAUACGACAACAGUUAAAUAAUAAAUUAAUAAUAUUUACAUUUUAUAUAAUUAUAAAAAUAUUAAACAUUAUAAUAUUAUAAAAAAUAUAAAUUAUAUAUUUAUAAAAUUAUAUUUUCAAUUUUUUAAAAUUAUAGAAAAUAUUUUUAUUUUGAAAAUUUAUAAUAUAAAUUAAAAUAUGAUAGAUAUAUUUUAGUAUUUCUAUUAUUUCAAUUUAAUAUUUUAUUUUUAUUUUUAUUUUUGUAUUUAUAUUUAUAUUGUUUUAAAAAAACGAAAAAAAAUUUUACCCUCCGGCAACUGCAAACGCUAGAUGAAACCAACUUUUGAAUUUAAGAGGUUUAGUUUAGAGCAAUUUGAAGCGGUUUAGUGUAGUUUGAGUGAUUGUUGUAAAACGCUAACAACCGCUACAAACCGCACAUGCUGCAUUUGUGGGUGGUAGCAAGGAAACCAGUCAUGCCCUAAGUCUGGCUACUCCCGAUGCAGUAGGAUCUCAUAUCUGUUUAGCCGGUGCGAUUCCACGUUGGCCCAAAUCAACAAAUAUGGGCCCAUUUGGUGCCCACUGCAUUACUUUACAAUGAUGACUCUUUGGACAUUACAUGUGUAGUACAUCCACCGUAUUCUACAACGUUAUAAAAAUAUUAAACAUUAUAAUAUUAUAAUAAAUAUAAAUUUAUAUUUAUAAAAUUAUAUUUUCAUUUUUAAAAAUUAUAGAAAAUAUUUUUAUUUUAAAAAUUUAUAUUGUAAAUUAAAAUAUGAUAGAUAUAUUUAAUAUUUCUAUUAUUUCAAUUUAAAAUUUUUAUUUUUGUAUUUAUAUUGUUUUUAAAAACGAAUUUUUUUUACCCAUCCAUAACUGCAAACGCUAGAUAAAACCAAUUUUGAAUUUAAGAGGUUUAGAGCGGGUUGAAGCGGUUUAGAGGCCCUGUUCGUUUGCUCACCCACGUGAUCCAUCUAGGUGAAGAUGCAAACUGAUGUUCGUUUUGUGCAUUAUAAUGUUAUAUCCAGAUGGAUCACCCAUCUGAAUAUUUAAAAACUCAUCUCAAAUUCUCACUCAAAUGAAGGUGAGUGUUGAUGGUGUAUCUGGAUGCAGAUGCAUCUAGCUCAUUCCAAAAUGAUAAAUGACAAAAAUGAUCUUUUAAAAUAAAAAUAUUAUUUUCAAACCAUAAAUUCUAUUUUUUUGCAUAUACAUUUUUUCGCUAUAAGCAAAAAAUGCAUUUUCUCGCAAAAACUGAAAAACACACUUUCCAGCCAAAAUCACAAGAUGCGUUUUUCCGUAAAAAACAUAAAACACACAUUUUUCGGCUAAACCAGUAAAACCACACUUUUCGACCAAAACCGAAAAAUGCAUUUUCCCAUCAAAGCAAAAAAAAACGCAUUUUCCCGCCAAAACCCAAAAAACGCAUAUUCCCGCCAAAACUCCAAAAAGCAUUUUCCGGCCAAAACCGCAAAAAGCAUUUUCUCUCUAAAACCGGAAAAACGCAAUUUCCCGCCAAAACUGGAAAAAACGCAUUUUCUCGCAAAAACCGGAAAACACAAAUUUCCCGCCAAAACCGGAAAAUGGAAUUCUCCCGCCAAAACCGAAAAUGCAUUUUCCCGCUAAAACCGGAAAACACAUUUUCCCGUCAAAACCGAAAAACACAUUUCCCGCUAAAAUUGUAAAAACGCAGUUUUCCGCCAAAACCGGAAAAAACACAUUUUCUCGCUAAAACCGGAAAACGCAUUUUUUCUGCUAAACCGGAAAAACGCAUUUUCCCGCUAAAACCGAAAAAACACAUUUUCCCGCCAAAACCGCAAACAAAACUUUAGAACAAAUUUUUUCCGUCCAAACCGCAAAAACGUAUUUUUCCGCCAAACCCGAAUGUAUUUUUCCGCCAAAACCAUAAAAAUGCUUUUUUCGCGAAAAACACAUUUUCUCGAAAACCGCAAAAAUAUUUUCGGCCAAAAUCGUAAAAAUGCUUUUUUUUCGCCGAAACGUAAAAAAUUAUAUUUUAGUCAUUUUAUUAACAAGUCCAUCUGGUUGCAGAUGGAAGUUGAAAAAUGAAAAGCAAACGAACAAAGUUUCAUUCAGAUGAUUCAUCUGGAUGCAUGGACGAAAUGAAGAAACGAACAACUCUCAGAUGGACCAUCUGGAUAAGACAUCUACAUGGACCAUCUGGAUGCAUCUUCUAAAUGUACAAACGAACAGGGCAAGAGUGGUCUGAGUGAUUGUUGCAAAACGCUAACGACCGCUAUAAACCGCAAAAGCUGCGUAUGUGGAUGGUAGCGAGGAAACCAGUCAUGCCCUAACUCUGGCUACUCCCUAUGCAGUAGGAUCUCAUAUCUGUUUAGCCGACACGAUUCCACGUUGGCCCAAAUCAACAAAUCUGGACUCGUUUGGUGCCCACUGUAUUACUUUACAAUAAUGAUUCUUUGGACAGUACAUGUGUAGUACAGCCACCGUAAGUAAGUUAUGUACCUUACACCACGUGGAUGAAAUCCAUUUGUUGGUGUUAAAAGACAAUAGACCAUUGGACUCUUCUUAAAUUUCUAUAAAUAAAUCCCAGCCCGACGACAACGUUAAGACUAGCGAAAAAAAAAGAUAAAAACAAAAACAAAAACAAAAAAUGAUGAAGUGUUUGAUAUGUCUCUCUCUUAUUCUCCUCCCUCUCAUCUCCGUCAUGAAGGUAAUCUCGGUGGCUGAAAGCAGAUUGAUUUAUCUGAUCUGAACAUCCAAUCGCUCGCCAACUAUGCAAUUAAUGAGCAUAACAUGAAAUCUAAGGUGAACCCUGUGUUUGUGAAGAUCGUCGAGGAGAAGGAGCAAAUGGUUUCCACGAAGAAGUACAAUCUGACCAUUACGGCGAAGGAUGGCGGUGGCACCACAACGAACUACGAGGCCAUCUUGGUGGAAAGGGCGUGGGAUAAUUACAGGAGCCUUGAGUCAUUCAAGGCCUUAUAGAUCUAAGUUUUUUUAUUUUUGUAAAUAAAAGCUCGAUAUGGAUCAGAUAUUACAAUAUAUGUAGGUUUCGAUGAUUUGAGAUUUUCAUACUGUGUGUCCGUUGUUUGUUUUCUUUUGAAUAAAAACUAAAUUAUAGAUAUGUUUCUUUCUAUGAUUCAUAUAAAAUUAAUAAUGAUAAAAAAAGAAAAGAUCAAGUGGAUUUGCUCUUAGCCUGUAAACUAUAUGUUACUUUAAUUCAAAUAUAAUGCAUGGCAAGUUGUCAAAUCAUUAACCCCAAAUUGACGAUGUACAGGCCUAAUAUUUGCAUGCAAAAUGUUCUAUGGUUUUUUUUUUAGAAAUCAGUAACACAAUUUGAGAUUAAAACAUUAUUCGUAUCUCUUUUUUGGGCGUUGGAUUUUAAAAUCUACUUGUCAAUUAAGUUUUUUUUUUGUCAUCAUAUACUUGUGAAUUAAGUAUGACAGAAUCUACUCCCUUAUCUAACUUAUUCUACUUAUUUUACAUUCGAUAUAAGAAAUUAUUAAUUAAAUUAAAAAAAUAAAAUAUUUUGGAAAAGGUUUUGGGCUUACAAAUAUUAUCAGGAGGUAAUAACAUACAUUUAAGCCUCAGUCAUGGGUGUUGGGUUCAAACAAGAGAUCUGAAUUUUAGCUGUCAAAAAAAAAAGAAGAGCCUCAGUCAAUUCCAAUAUGAAACUUUUGAUUCGAGCUCAUGACCAACUAUCAAAUACUAUACCUUGGUCUAAAAAUCUUAUGCGACUAUAUAAGUAUGCUCUUGAGAUUUAUAAAGUAAACUAUGCGUUUUCCAGUACUAUGUGCAGUAAUAAAAUUAUUACAUUUAAAUUAUAUCUAAAAUAAAAUUUAUUAUUUUAGAUUUUAUUAUUUUCUUAUCAAUAUUUUAAUAUAAUUUUUUAUCUGAUUGACCAUAAGACUUAAAUAAAAUAAACUGUUUUUAUUUAUUUUAAAUUAUAUUUAAGAAUAGAUAUGUAUAUAUUUAAAAUUAUGAUUUUAGAUAGAUUUUUAUCUAUUUUUUAGAUAAAAUAUAUUAAAUCAACUUGUAUAAUAUUAAUAAAAAAUUAAUACAAAAAUGUAUAAUUACCAAAAAGUACAAAUAAACAAUAUUUUUAAAAUGUAUAGAUAUAUAAAGGAAAUUAAUAAUAUUAUGAUUUAAAUUUUAUAUUUUUAGAAUAAAAUUGGAAAGAAUUUGAAAAUAUUUUUAGCAGUAAAAUUGUGUAGUGAUAACAAAUAAAAAUAAAUAAUAUUUCAAAAAUUGAAAAACAUUAUUUAAUGUCAUAUUUGAAUACAUUAAUGAUGAUGUAUACUUUACUAUCAUAUUCUAAAAAGUUUAACAAAAAUAUAAAUAAAUAUUAAAUGUAAUAAUCCAUAUCAUAUUUAACCAUAACCAUGUCAUUAUUUCUGUUAUGCUAUGAAACUGAUUGUAAAAAGAAUAACUGAUUGUAAAGAGAAUAUGUAUCAAAAUCACUUUGUAAAUAAUGUCUGGAGACAACGUCGUAAGAUCUUUUACCUUGUUUAGACGAUGUGAGUCAACGUUGGACCAAAUCAACAAAUCAUAGGAUCUCAUACCUUUUUAGCCGAUGCGAGUCAACGUUGGACCAAAUCAACGAAUCUGGCCCAUUUAGUGCUCAUCACUGCAUUACUUAACAAUGAUGACUCUUAGAUAGUACAUGUGUAGUACAGCCACCGUGAAGCCACGUGGAUGAAUCCAUUUGUGAGUGUUAAAAAACAAUAGACCAUUGGGCUCUCUUUAAAUUUCUGGAAUCUCUAUAAAGAGAGAUCCCAACCCGACAACACCAAUACAACAACACCAAUAAGACUAGCCAAAGAAAACAAUAAGAACAAAAAAAAAGAUGAAGUGUUUGAUCUGUCUCUCUCUUAUCCUCCUCCCUCUCAUCUCCGUCGUGGAAGGUAAUCUUGGUGGCUGGACGCCGAUCAAGGAUUUAUCUGAUCCCAACAUCCAAGCAGUAGCCAAGUACGCGGUCGAUGAGCAUAACAAGCAAAUUACGGGGAAUCUUGUGUUCGUGAAGAUCCUCAAGGGAAAGGAGCAAGUGGUUGCCGGGAAGACGUACAGUCUGACCAUCGCGGCAAAGAAUGGAGGUGCUGGGACAAAGAACUACGAGGCUGUCGUGGUUGAAACGAUGAGGAGUCAUCACUUCGGCCUGCAGUCAUUCAAGGCCUUAUAGAUCUAAGUUUAAUUUUUGUAAAAAAAAAUCGACAUGGAUCAGAUAUAUUAUAAUAUUAAUAUUUAUAGGUUUUGAUGAUUUGAGAUUUUGAAAUUGUGUGUCCUUGUUUGUUUUCUUUUGAAUAAAAACUAAAUUAUAGAUAUGUUUCUUUCUAAGAUUCAGUUAGAGACUCAAGAGACCUGUUGUGUUACUUUGGACUACUAUCUAAUUUCGAAAAUUUGGAUUUGAAUCGGUCGAUACGACAAUGUGUCAAUGUGAUGAACGGCACGUGCGUCGUUCCUGACUUUUGGCUUAACUGUAUCUGUCUGUCCUUAACUCGAUCGUUAUUAGCUGUACCGGAGAGAUCAACACGUUCGUAUUUUUGAGGAAUGACCGGUAAACAUUCACAUUUAAAACGCAACUGGUUAUUAAUUUGACAUGUUUGAUUUAGAUUUAGGUGAUGUUGAUAUUGAUACAGUUUUUGAAGGUUUCGCCAAACUUGAUGAUGAGUCUGUGGCUUCUUUUCUCGUGUGAUGAUGAUGAAUCAAUGAUUACUAUAUAGUACUGACUAGUUCGUUUGUAAUUUGAGGAGAGUCCGGUUUUAUCACGGAUCAGUUAAGCUUCUUCGGUAAUGAUAAGAGUUUGAGUUGUAUUAUUCUAGUAUUCUGUUUUGUAUUUUGUAGUUCGUAUAUAAUUUGAAUUUUGAGGAGAGUACAGUUUGGAUCAGUUUAUUUCUCUGAUGAGACAAACCUGGUCCAACUCAAUCGGUAAUGAUAUAGUUUGAGUUGUAUUAUUCUUAGUUCAAUUUUUUUAGUAUCGGUUCCAAAAUCGUGAAAUCUUUUUUUAAUCAUUACUAGGUGAUGAUCCGCUCCCUGCGCGGAGUGAAUAGACUAAAAAAGUUUGUAAUUUUGAGUCUAUAGAUAUUUAGAAAGCAAAAGUUAUGGUAUCAUAUAUUACAUGUUAUACAAUGAUGGAUUGGAGUAAAUUGCUUAUGUUUAUAUAAGGUUAAUUACUUAAACUGUUAAAAACUUGUGUUAUUGGUUAGAUGUAAUCGAAGUUUUUCUGUGGAAGUAAAUACUUAUGUAAACUUAGUUAUGGUAUUAAGAUAAAAAAGUUUAAUUAUUGCUUUCAUAAGAUUAAACGAAACACAUAUAAUAUAAUAAUAAAAUGUGAAAAUCAUAACUUAUGAGGAAAAGUUUUUAAGGAAAAUGAAAAAACAACAACUGCUGUGGAAAGUAUUUUCAGAACUCUCAGUUUGCAAUCAUAUAAAGAGUAAUAUCAUAUAAUAUAAAUUAUCAAAAUAAAAAGAAUUAUAAAUUGGAACUCAUUAAACGAAAUGUAUUACCUUUAAAAAAAAUGUAUUACCUUUUUCUGAAAGCAUCGAUUUCUACAUCAUAGGGCUCAAACACAACUUUGGAAAACCCAUCAAUGUUAAGUUCUUGAAUCGACCUUAUCAUCAUAAUGUAAAUAAUUUGAGAAAAAUAUGGAAAUAAGAUCAGCUCGACCGCUUUUAAAAUAUAUAUAUAUAUAUAUAUUAAAGUACAUUAUCUUUUCCCCAAUUAAUUUGCCAAAACUGUAAAACACAGAGUACAAUGUCUGCAUUUGUCGAAUCCCAUAAAUCUUGGAAAGCGUGAGCAAAUGUUCCAUAAGCAACACACUUAAUGAGGACGUUCCCGUAAGUUGUGAAAAAAAAAGUUCAACACAUAUGCUAUCAACCAAAUUUGUCAAUUAUGUUUGUGAAUGUCGACUACUUACUCCAUAUCUACUACAAAGAAACAAAUUUUAUGAUCAAGAAAACCAUUGUUCUCGUCUUCGUUCAUAUAUUCUUCAAGAAAUCCUACUCCUACCACAGCCCCGUAAAUAUUGGUUUCAUAUGAGAAAAUCAUGUACUCAUUAUUAGACAGUCCUCACUAAAAUGUUCAUAGAUUCAUUGUAACUUGGUAACUUUCAAAUUAUAAUAAAUUUGACAGAAUAGAAAACAUACCAAUAGAAAAAUUAGGAUGGGCUAGGCCAUGAUAGACGUCAAUGAAGUUUGAAAAACAAUAACAGUUGGACUUCAGGAUUGGAUCGAUCUUCAAAACUAUAGAGGAGUUAUUGAGGUUAAGAUGAAAUCGGUUCUUUUACAACCGAACACGCUCUGUUGUAGGAUUCAAACUGAUUUUUUUUUUUUAUUUUAAAGCAGUUACCUUCCUCCAGAGGCAUUUCGGUUGAAGAAUCCAAAUCUUCGAGAAAAUUGGCUUGCAUGGUAUUUCCCUGUUUGAGAGACGUAAAAAUGAGUUAGUAAAAACUAAAAACAUUAACAUAACGGAUACAUGUAAGUUAUAACAAUAAAAAAAAAGAAUCAUGACAAUUACUCGUAUCCCUUAUUAGAUAAGGAAAUUACCUAACGGGGUUAUACGCUCCUUUGUAAAUGUUAUGAGAAGGAGACGGUGAUGAAACAAUGAAGGUAUGCGACCUUAUUUUUAUAUGGAUAGUUGAACGUAUUAGGGUGGAUUUGCGUAGAUAAUCGUCUUCUUAAUUAUCGGAAUUCAAAUUAAUCCUUGAAUAUCAAGUACUUGCCUUAAAACACAUCCAUGCGAAUCACUUUCCCUAUUAUAGGAAACAAACUGUAAAUCUGGUCAACUUAAUAAAAAAAUUAAUCAAUCAGCAUCUAUUUAAAAUACAUCUAAAUAAAGUUUCGACAAUGACUUUCCUUAACAAAUUUGAAUUAUAUUAAUAACUAUAUAUAUUACCGAAAUAUUGAUAUAUUUAGCUUUAUACAUUCCAAUUUUGUAAUAUUAGGAAGAUCGUGGAUUAUGGCAAGUAUCACGUGAUUGACAAUACCCAGCUCCAUCUUUGUAGGGUAAGUGUCGUCGUAUUCACGUACUUUUUAUAUGGAAAGUCGCACGUAUUAAGGUUGUACUAGAUUUUGACCCGCGCAGGCGCGCGGGUGUAUAUUUUGAAAAAUAUGUUGAUAUUUGUUUUUCAUGUAAUUAUUAGGAUUUGGAAAAAUGAAUCCGAGGAACAUAACCGAUACCGAUCCAAAGAUAUAGUACCAAACCCAAACAUAAAUUGAUUAAAUAUUCUAAUUAUUCAAAAUUUUGUUAUUUAGAGAACCGAAUCUGAUCCGAACCGAAGUAUUUGGGUAUCCGAAUUUAUCUAAAAAUAGAUUUAUAUACUUAUAUAUAUUAAUUAUUUUUAGAUUUAACGUAUAUAAAACAUCAAAAAUGAUACUUUUAAAUUGGUUUAAAUACUUGAAAAUAUAUAUAGAUAGUCAAAAGUAAAUAUCUGAAAUAGUUAAAGUAUACUCAAAUCACCAAAAAUACUUAAAAUAAUUAUUGAUUUCGUAUCCAAAAUUUUAAAUCAAGCCAAUUGAUAUGUUAAGCUUAAGUAUUAUGACAUAUGUUAUUCAAAUUUAUACGUAAUAUAUUAUUUUAUUUAUACAUUUUGAGAAAUUUAAAAUAUAUAAUGAUUUAAGACUUUAAAAAUAAUUUAAAUUAGUUAUCCAAACCCAAACCAAACCCGCAAAGAUCCAAAUCGAACUCAAACCAAAAUUUAGAAACAUUCUAAUAAGGCUGAAAUCUUUGACCCCGAAAACCCAAAAUACAAACCGAUCAGAACUAAACCCGUAUGGGUAUCCAAAAGCCCAUCCCUAGUCAUUAUUAUAUAUCGUAUUUUAUCAUCAUAUAAUUAAUCGUAUUUUAUAUGUACCAUCAUAUAAGUAAUCAUAUAAUUAAUAGUAUUUUAUACAUACCAUCAUAUAAAUAAUUACAUAUAUUAUAUUUUUAAAACUUAAUAUGAAAUAUGAAAACCAUAAUUUGAGUUGGUAUUUCAAAUUGGGCUUUGUAUUAUAUUUUUCUUAUAUAUAUUGACAAUAUUUUUUUAUAAUGGUUAUUGAAAAAUAGUUUAGUAAAAAUCCAUUUUUGAAUAUAUGUAUAUUUUUGAAUCAAUUUUUGAUAUAAAUCAAAUUUGAAUUAUUAUUUUGAUUUGAAAUAUGUAUAUAAAGUUUAAAUUUUGUUUUAUGGUUAGUUUAGAAAAAAAAAUUUUAGGGAAUUAGAUUGACCCAUUUUGGUAUAUUUUAAAAGUGGCCUAGAUAACUUUCAAUUUUUUAAAAAAACAUAAGCCCAUUACUUUUUUUUCUUAAUACUACUAUCCUUGUUUUCAAACAAAAUUUUUUUUUUUAAAAGACUGCAAUCCAUGUUUCCAAACACUCCAAAUUUUUAAAAAUCCUAUUCAAGUCUCCAAACACUCCAAUUUUGUACUUGAGUUUUAAUAAGAUAGAUAUUCGAAAACGUAUGUGCCAAAAGCCUGCAAUCAUGAAAUAUAAUUAUAUUUACAAUAAAGAUCCAUAAAAUGAAACUUAUACUAUAUGUUUGUGCCAAUGACAUGACAUGUAAAUAUGUAAUUACCCUAAGCUAAAGAUGACUAUUAAAAAAAUGAUAUGAGGUGAAAUGUGGUGUUGAAACAUAAGUAAUGGCAAAGUUGUUAAUCACACAUGAAGCCAAUGUUUAUUUUAAAAAGUUAUCCUCGAAUAAUAAGAAGGGGAUAUGUCUUUUACACUUUUUGCUAUCGUGUUUGUCUAUUUCUAUUGGUUAUUGUGUUUGGACAAGUCCUAUCUUCAUCUUCAGUUGCUAAGCAGUGAACUUCCCCUUGUAAUACUAAGUCUUUACAGACCUGAUGCCCUAUGAACAAAACAGUCUUUACAGACACUGAGCUUAAUGCCUAUUCCCUUUUGUCUCUCUGUCUAGGUGAUUAUGAACUUAUCAUAUCUUUGCCUAUAGUUUUGUAGAUAGCAUCUGGCUUUAAAUGUACACUCGACUAAACAGUUGGUUAUCAAGAUAUUAACAUCUGAUUAGCUUCAUGCUUGUGAUUAUAUAUAUAUAUACUAGUGUCACAUAACGACAGUAAGACUUACGAACGUGUUUGUUCUUUUUUGAAAUGUAGCUUUCGAAAACUAUAGCUUACUCACUCCAUUAACUUUUUAUUCUUACUGCAAAUACUCCUUCCCUCUUCUCUUCUCUUCUCUUACACUUCAGAAACAUUUCAAACUAUAUUCAUCUUGCCCUCAUCUCUCCACAUAUAGACACAGUCUAAAUAGAAGUAUGUUGAGAAAUAUAGAGGUCAUGUCUUGCUAAUGUGAGGAGAGGAUUUGCGUUAGUGUUCUGUUUCAUUCUUCUGCUUUUGUCAUCCAAUAUUGGUUGUUCCAAUGCUCGUCGUCUAGGGUUUCACAAGCAACAUCACAAGGUUGCUUCUUCAGCACAAGAUGUUGUAAAUGGUGGAGGAAGGAAGAGGGUAUUGGGUGGAGUGGAGACAGGGGGAGAAGUAGUGGUCAUGGAUUAUCAAGCCUCAUCAUAAGCCUCCCAUCCACAACGAGAAGGCUUAAAAUUACUCCAUCUCUCUAUACAUCAUAUGAUCACCACACUGUUAUAUGCAUUCACCAUGCUGGUGGUUCUAAUGACACUUGUGCUAUAGUCACUACCAACUUCUUUUGUUCUCUCUUUCUUCGUUCCAUAAAACAAACAAGCUGCUGCACCUCUUCCUUAAUAGUAUACUGUAUUUCAUGUGGAAAUGUUGCUUACUUUUAGAACGAACUCUUCACCAUCAUUUUAGCUCUAAGUAGCUUCAGAAAAAACUUUACACACUUCUGCAUAAGGAAAGGAGGAUAACAUGAUCAAUGCACUUGGGUAAGAGCCUAAGAUUAUAUAUGCACACUCAACGCCAUUUAAGUCUCUCUCUGCCUAGUAUUAGCAGUUCAAAGAAGUAUCAUCAAACGCUUGGCAAGCACAUGUGUGUGAAAGGGAAAACUCUCUGUAACUAUUUUAUGAACACAGAAGACAACACAAAACUGUUUGUCUAGGAGAAGAAAACACAAGUGGGUAGAUGUUACUCUUAUGCUACUCUCCAUGUCUUAAUAUGUAAAUAAUUGUGUAGAGACUAUAGGAGUAGCAAUGAGCAAGCAUCAAGAGAUGAUCACUAGAGCAUGGCAAAGUCGGUCACCUUCAGAAAUAUGUGAUUCUACAACGGAAAUAACGGUUCGAAAACAAAAACGUACCGGUAUGCUUGUCUUAAUACACUUAUACAAGUAACAGCACUGUGCUUAAACCCAGUCAGUUUUAGUUGACGUUUCCUCAGAAGCAAGUCUCGCUACAACAAAAAGAUUAGAGAAAGCCUCAGCAGAGAGAAACAACAUUUAUAGACUUUCAUAUGAAGAUCAUAUAAAUAAGGAGGAGCACUGACAAUUAAAUCGUUUCUUUGGGAUCUUGCCCUCGUUUAGUGAAUAAAGAAAGUUCUUCACAGCGUCGGCAAUGAAUCUGGCAGAGUACUGCCAUAGAAAAAAAUAUUGUACGUAUGGAUACAGUAAAAAAGACAAUAUAAAUAUGCUAGGAGCCAUUAGGAGCACCUGAACCAUAACCACAUUGUAUUUUCAGUUGGUGCAAUCACUGCAAUCCAAAAUAUCUGAUGAAGCUUGAGUAUUUACCUGUGUUGUUAACUUCGUAAUUUGGAGUCUCUCCAUGCCUCCGCAGCUGCAGUCUCCUCCAUGCGGUCGUGUCUACUGUAAAUAAGAAAAGGCCAGGGUAAUCUGAGCCGUUGAUUUGAGUUUUGAUUAGGAUAUUAAAUCUAGAACCUUGGAUCAGGCUUUGGGCAUACAAAUAUUUUCAGGAGGCAAUAACAUACAUUUGAGCCUCAAUCAAUUCCAUUAGAGUCUUUCUGUGAUUGUAGAUUUUCUCGAGUAAGUUGGCUGAGCUCAAGACCAACGAUCAACAUAUACUUCACCUCGGUCUAAGAAAUCUUCUGUGACUCUGUGUUUAAUUUGAACUAGGAUUUUGAACCGUUCAUAAGUUUGCUCCCGAGAUUAUGAAGCAAACGACGGCGUAGGAUCUCAUAGGACUACUCCGAUCUGGACCCAUUUAGUGCUGACUCCAUUACUUAACAAUGACGCUUCUACACUACACGUGUGGGGACAGCCACAGUUGACUCUAUCACGUGUACUUGUCGUACGCCACGUGGAUGGAUCCAUUUGUCUGUGUCAAAGACAAUAGACUUGUCACCACGUAAGACCUAUUGGGCUCUCCGUAAAUUUCUUGACUCAUCUAUAAAAGGGACGACACCAUUAAGACUCGAGAAAGAAAAAAAAAGACAAGAACAAAAAACAAAAACAAAAAAUGAUGAAGUGUUUGAUCUGUCUCUCUCUUAUCCUCCUCCCUCUCAUCUCCGUCGUGGAAGGUAAUCUUGGUGGCUUAGGUAAUCUCGGUGGCUGGAAGCCGAUUGAUUUAUCUGAUCUGAACAUCCAAUCGCUCGCCAACUAUGCGAUUAAUGAGCAUAACGUGCAAUCUAAGGCGAACCUUGUGUUCGUGAAGAUCGUCGAGGGGAAGGAGCAAGUGGUUACCGGAAAGAGGUACGAUCUGACAAUCGCGGCGAAGGAUGGCAGUGGCGCCACAAAGAACUACGAGGCCAUCGUGGUGGAAAGGCCGUGGGAUCAUUACAAGAGCCUUGAGUCAUUCAAGGCCUUAUAGAUUAGAAUCGAUAUAUUAUAAUAAUUUGAAGGUUUGAUAACUUGAUAAUUUGAGAUUUUGAUAUUAUGUUUAUUGUUUUUUGGAAUAAAAUCUAAAGCAUAGAUAUGUCUCUUAUUUGAGAAGAUCUUUGCGCGUUACUUUGAGCUUCUAUCUAAUUUAAUUAUUUUGGGUUGAAUCAAUCGAGAUGACAAGUUGAUGAACGGGUGCAUUGAUUCGUGACUUUUGGCUAGACUGAACCCGAAAAUUCGACCAAUAAAAAUAAAUUGGUUAUCCGAACCGAUUUAAAGAUCCACAGAUUAUGGGUUUUAUGACCAACCCAAAUGGGCAUCGGAAAAACUUUUUUUUUUAAAUGACAAAAAGGUAAUUUAUCUGAACCGAAUUCAAUAUCCGAAAAAAUUUAAAAAUUUUGAAAUGGCAAAAAAAUAAAUCCAAAUGGAUAUACAAAAAAUUUAAAAAAUUAAAAUGACAAAAAUCUGAUUUCAUUCUUAAUAUGUAUCUAAAAUAUACUAAGAUAUUAUUAAAUAUCUGAAAUAAUUUAUCUAUUGCAUAAAUAAUUUAAUACAUAGUUUUGGUAUUUGGUCAAUAUUGAUAUUUGUAUGUUUUAACAAUCGCAUCUGAAAUUUAAAUAAAUUUGUUUAUAAAGUUUAUCCAAUAUUCUUUAGUUAAAUAGUGUUUCUUAGAUUUAUAAAAUCUAACAGUUAAUUUUAAUUUAUUUACGUUUAUUAUGCAUGAUUUUCAUCUUUAUACAAGACUUUAGUUAUUAUGAUGUUUGAUAUUGUCACAUCAUAAGAAAGAGUCUCGUAAGAUUGAUAGUCGAGUCUCCCAAUUUCACAAUAAUAUAGUUAAAUGAACAUUGUAAUUAAAAACUAUAUAAUUACAAUAUUGUAAAUGAACAUUGUACACAAAUUUAUUGAAAAUAUUAAAAAUAUAUUCAGUUUAAAAUUAACAACAAGAAAUGGACGGGCUUUCCAGUUUCCAUGCAACUUAGUAAUUAGUUUUCAUCUUUUGAGCCAUUUUUACCACAAAAAAAGAAAAAAAAAACUUUUGAGCCAUUAACUUCAUAUUUUCAACACUGCAAUUUGCAUAUUUUCUCAACAGUAGAUUUAUUUUCCACACUUUUAUAAAGUAAAUUUUGGCAAAUUGAUAAUCUCAUCAUACCUGAAAGUAGGUGACAAGUCUCAAAUCUUUCCCUGGCAAUCUCCACAGGAGGAUUUGAACAGUACGUUUACUUCCGAGUUUAUGAUCCAUGGAAACGAUGUCGUAUGAGCUCUUCGUCACUGUUUAGUAAUCAACAAAUUUAAGCCAAUAAAUAAUUACUCCAUUAGUCGACAAUGAGUCUUCAGCAGCACGUUAAGGGGUCAGCCAUCGUUGACUCUAUAACAUGUACGUUUGUACGCCACGUGAGUGGAUGAAUCCCGUUGUCAAAUCUGACGGUGGAAAAUGUAAAUAUUUGGAAGUAUCUGACCAAAUCAGUCUAUAAAAAUCUCCAAAACCAACCGUACGGUGUAAGACUCAAGAAAGGAAAAGAGAAAAAGAACCCCAAAAAAAUAUGAUGAAGUCCUUGAUUUGUUUCUCGCUCAUCCUCCUCCCUCUCAUCUUCGUUGUGGAAGCGUUUCCCGGUGACGGUGAGCUUGUGUCAAUCAAAGAUGUCUCGGCUCGAAACAUUAGAGAGGUCGCCAAGUAUGCGAUAGAUGAGCAUAACUCGGAAUCGGAUGAUAAUCUUGUGUUCGUUAAGAUCAUCGAGGGAAAGUGGAAAGUGCGCUCCGCGAUAUUAAUAUACGAUCUGACCAUCGCGGCUAAGAAUGAGGGUGGUGCGACCAAGAACUACAAGACUGUCGUGAUGGAAUCUGGGAGGGACAAGAUCCUUUACUCAUUCAAUGAGGUGUAAGUCGAGAUAUGAGAUAUCAUAAUUUGAGGCUUUGACGACAUUGUAUGUUUCUUUGAUGUUUUUGUUGUUUUGGAAUAAAAACUGAAUUGGAGAUAUUUUUUUUCCUGAAAGAUUCCAUAAAAAGUUCUGUUGUUUUCUUUUCCUUAAAGAUUCCAUAAAAGUUCUGUGUUACUUGGAGCUCUAGUUUGAGACUGACUUUAUUUUAUAUAUAAGACCAAUGUACAAGCAUUAAAACUAUAUACAAAGAGACUAUAUACCUCAGUAUGAUCCUUCUUUGUUGGCUGUGGAGAGCAAUGAAAGGCUGAAUCACUUUAUGAUAAAAAUCAUCGCAUAACUAACUGAUGCGAGUCGAGAAGCUUUGGUCACUGAUGUGCUUAACUUUUAAAUAAUAUAUAAUUGUCAUAUACAUUGAUAUUGGGUCCAAAUGCACAUGCUAUUGUUGUGUGUUUUGGCAAACCGAACAGACUAUUUAUAUCUUGCUCACGUUCUAAGAUCCGUAAUUUAUGCUAUAAACAAAUUGUUUGGAUAAUAGAGAAAAGAAGUGAUGAUUUAUUUUUUUCAGAAAACAAAACGAGGUGUUUAAGCCCAUUCAAGAAUUCAUUCUUUGUUGGAAAGCCCAUUGGAUCAAUAUAUCAAACAUAAUUAAGCUUUAAACUGAACGAGUCUUCUCCUUCCCCAGUACAUGAUUUUUGUUUAGUUUGGGCUGUUGUAUGACAUGUUCGAAAAUGCUGCCGCCUACCGUCUAGGUGUUGUUUGGAGCUUAACCGCGUGAAUCUCCUAGAUUAUAUUUGAUUGCGAAGUGAUUUUAUCGCAUGUUCUUUUUACAAUCAAUUUUACAAAACAAAUACGAUGUAAUUAGUGAAAUUGAUGACAUAUCUUAUAGCUUAAUAUAACAUGGACAAUUGCAUUUAAUGCCAAUUUAUAUUUUUGGUAAACAUUUUUUUUUUUGUCGUCAAUUAUACAGACUCAUAUUGACUCUGUAAACCAAACCGGGUGAUCUGCAUCCAUGUGAACGACAAAAGAUGGUUGCUUCCUAUAACUGCGUGCUAGACUAUCCGCCUUUGAGUUUUGCGUCCGUAGUACAUAGAUAAGCACUGAUCGGGUGAAAAACUCUUUCAGAGUCUUGAUGUCUUCCAAAUAACUUGCAAAAACUGGUCACUCCUCUGGUUCCAAAACCAUUUUCACCAAUUGAGAACAAUCCGUUGCAAACGUAACCUGAAAUUGACAUAAAUUCCUCAUACAUUCCAUUGCCCAUAAUAAUGCCUCCAUCUCCGCAUGAAGAGGCGAGAGGCUAGUCCGAACAUUUCUUGCCCCCAUCAAUCCAUCAAACCCUACCAAAGUACUGAACCAACUUUGUCCUAAGAAAUUAGAACCUUCUUUCCACGAACCAUCCGUAAAACACCAUCUUCCAGGAAUUGAUUGUAAACUUUUUAAAAUAUUGUAAUAACUCAUAUAUUACAUUUAAUGUCAAUUUAUAUUUUUGGAAUUUUUUUUAGAAUAUGGGAAUAACUCAUAAAUCAUCAUUAAAAUAAAUAUAUUCAAAUAUGGCAUUAUAAAUUUUGAAAUAUAAUUUAAUUAUAUAUUUUUAAAUUAUAAAAUUUUAUUACUAAAAUUUUCAAAAAUGUAUACCAUUUUUUUAGAAAAUUAUAUAAAUUUAAUCGUAAAAUCAUUAUUACCUUAUAUAUCUACAAAUUUUAUAAAUAUUUUUUAAUUUUAUUUGUUGGUAAUUAUGCAACUUUUACAAAUGUAUUUAAUAUAUUUAAUUAAAAUAAAUAGAUAGAUUUUAGACAAUUGCAUUUAAUGUUAAUUUAUAUUUUUGGUUACCUUCUUAAAAUAUCGCAAUAACUCAUAUAUUACAUUUAAUGUCAAUUUAUGUUUUCGGAAGUUUUUAAGAAUAUGGGAAUAACUCAUAAAUCAUCAUUAAAAUAAAUAUAUUCAAAUAUGGCAUUAUAAAUUUCGAAAUAUAAUUUAAUUAUAUAUUUUUAAAUUAUACAAUUUUAUUACUAAAAUUUUCAAAAAUAUAUACAAUUUUUCUAGAAAAUUAUAAAAAUUUAAUCGUAAAAUCAUUAUUUUCUUAUAUAUCUAUAAAUUUUAUAAAUAUUGUUUAAUUUUAUUUUUUGGUAAUUAUGCAACAUUUACAAAUGUAUUUAAUAUAUUUAAUUAAAAUAAAUAGAUAGAAAAAUUUAUCUAAGAUUAUAAUUUCAAAUAUAUACAUGCAUAUUCUUAAAUAUAAUUUUUAUGUUUAAUUAAUCAAAUUUAUAUUAAAAUAUUGAUACAAAGAAAAAAAUCUACAAUAUUAAUAAAAUUUUAUUUUAAAAUAUAAUUUAUAUUUAUCUGUUAAAAAAUAUUUUAAACUUUUUUUACUGCACAUGAAGACACCUAGUAUUACCAAAUAGGUGAAGUAAAGCGUUGACUGCGCUGAACCAUAUUGAUACACGUAAUUUCUGCGUUGACCCAUGUAAUUCCCGCGUACUUUUUUUAUUUAGUUUAUUAUCUUUUAGUCACAAUUUUGUGUAAUUAUCUAUUACCAAAUAAUUAUAAUCUCCUAUAUAUUAGUUGAGAAACAUUAUAACUUCUUUUUGUAGCCACAUGUCAUUACUACGAUGAUUCUUAAAAUCCUUAGAGAAAUAGGUUGGUCCAUCUAAUUAUAUAAUAAACUUAUUAUUAAACUAACCAUAAUUUCAUCAUUUAUGUUUUUUUUAUUAUUUCCUCAAAUAAAAGUUACAUAAUUGUCUAAUGUGACUAAGGUAUAUAUGACAACUAAUGAUUUUGAAUAAGAAUGAUUCGAUAAAAAUUAGUGUAUCUUAUAUCAUAUUUUUUUUUAAAUUUUAAACUAUUAAAAUAAAUUAAAUAACCACAUUAACCAUAUAAUAAAAAUUUAGAUUUUUCUAUAUAUGUUAUAUUUUAAAUUUUUAAAAAUGAUUAUAAAUUACUAAAAUUGUUAAAAUUCUCACAUUCAAAUUUUAUGAUCCAUUGUUUAAAAAAAUUUUAUGUAAAAAUACAAAUGAUUACAAAAACAUAUAAGUAAACUAUAUACCAAAUAAAAUACAUAAUUAUUUUAAUUUCGAAAUUUACUUUGAAUAAAUAUUUUUUGAUAAAGUCUUUGAACAAAUAUUGACAACUUAAUUUUUAAAAAUUAUAAAUUAAUAAAACUAUUAAUCUCACAAUGACCAUUUUGUUAUCAGUAAUUUAACGUUUUUGCUAUAAAAGAUACAAAUGAUCAAAAAAAAAUAUCAGUAGAAAUUUAAUUAUAUAUCCUACGAAAUAGAAAAAAAUUGUUUCGAUUAAUGAAAUUUAUGUUCGCACCAAUUUAAUUAUAGAUAUAAUACCUAUAAUAAUUUGUUUUUAUAAUGUUCUCUUGUGUGGAUCUUAACCUAGUUAGUUAUUAAGUCCAAAACCAUUGUUCAAACCCCAAAAAACACAUACAUACUGUAUUUUGGAGGUUUUUUCGUAUUAAAACCCUAAUCUAAAUGUUGGACAAAUCAAAUAGAGAAUUUUUAAAAUUAUUUAUAAAAAAUUAUAUAAUUAUCUUUAAGAAUUUGUGUCAUCACGUUUAAAAUUAGAUAGACAUAUUAUAAAUAUAUUAACUUGUAUUUAAAACUAGGUCCGCGUAUUUUUCGAAUACUCUCUGAUUUUUUGAUAAUUUGCUAGGCACGAUCUUACUAACCGACUAGCACCUCGCGCGAUUCCGAACUGGGUUGUAUGUGAUUUUUUUUUAGUGUUUGGAAACAAAUCCAAGUUCUGAAGCUGUUUAAAUUUGUAUUUAACUAAUAAAAAUAUAAUAUGAAGAAAAGAUCGUUUUUAGAAAGUAAAAAAACUUCAAUAGCUAAUUAAAUUAGCUUGUAACUACGAAUAAAUAACGAUAACACUGUAUAUAUUUUCGAUGGUUGGAAAUCUAAAAUGUUUACUUUACUGAAAAAAGUUUACAAUAAAUUUGAUUUUAUCAAUUUUUCUGAAGUAGAGUGGUUUAUUUGGUACAAAAUCGUAGUUUUUUUUUUUGAAGUGAAAGGCUAAUCAUGAUACAUGGAAAAAGAUUUGUGCGUGGACCCUUUCAUUACUACAAUCUUUAUUUUGCAUUACAUUAUUUGGUCAAUCUUCCAUCCCAUAUCCACUUAAUUUUUUUCUACAUAAUUUAAAGGAGUAUUAUUCUAAAGUUUAAACCCACUUAAGUGUUUUUGUUUGAUUAUAUUCCACGAUAUUUUAUGCAGGAGACACGUGCGAAGUUUCAACUUCAACGCAAAUUUGUUAAAAACACACAAAAGUAAAAACUGAUAAUGUUUGAAAUGGAAAACACUUUUGUUUGUGCAUCUAACUAUCAUUCGUAUUCCUUAAUCCUUAUACCCGCCGCAUAUUUUCUAGGCUGUUCGAAUGAAUACACGCAUGUAGUUUUAAGCAAACUUUGUAAUCAUUAUUAUGCAUUCAAAAUGAGAUUGGAUCUACACCUUUUCUUGUUCCUUUGGCGGCAUGUUUACUUUUUCUAAGUCAUUAGUGACUUAGUGAUGGUUAUGACUUUUGUAUGGUGCUAUAUUUAGUUGGAUUAAUUUUGAGUUUUGAUUUCCAUUAUUGGGACACUAGUAAACGAGUAAUUAUAUGAACAUAUAAUGGUCAAAAAAACAUUAUUUACACGUGUGGGUAAUAAGAGGGUAUGACCACAAAAAAAGUUGACUAAUAACAUGAAUAGCAUGGCGUCAUACGAAUGUACUCCCAUCCUUUCUAAUAAGUUGAGAUGUCCUUUUAUUUCUUCUACGCCACAUUUUAUCCAAAACUCUAUAAACAAUAUUUCUUCUCCAUAAUUGAACUAUAACAUUUUAGGAUAUCUUUCUAUUUAAACAAUUUGUGGAAUAGCGACGGCCCGUUGAAUUUUCUUCUCUUGAAACAUGUUAAUUUGUUUUAUUGACCAUUAAUUAACGGCUCAUGCUAAGAAAUACCAUAUAUAUUUUUUUAAUUAUAUAUGAAUAUUAUGAUACCGCUAAAAUGAUUUAGAUUAGUCACGUGUUGACAUGUGUUGAUCUUCUGUCAUUUUAACCUAGAAUUUUUGUUCUCAAGUAGUCGAGUUAAUCACCACCAUACUAUAAGUUUUGGUUAAAUAUAUAUAUUAUAUUGAAAAUUGUUUUACUAUAAUUUCUUAUUAAGUAAAAUAUUGAAUCGUGGAUACGAUGACCACCUUGUAUGAACUGAAUCCUCUCAAUUAGCAAAAAGCAUUGACAGAAGCUUCAAGCUGAGCCUCUCGAAGAUAUAUUAAAUAAAUAGAUUAAAAAGAAAAGCGCUAAUUAAAAAGUAUUGGUAAUUAUUUCUUUUAAAAAUACUAAAUGGCUGCUUUUGAAUUAUCUUUUGGUCCGGAGAAAAUGAGUAACACGGUUCGAACAAAGUGAGUAACGCGUAGAAGCUGGUGAAUCAGGACCGCUAGACUUUUUAUGAGAUCCCUUGAAUUAUGAGAAAAAGACCAAAGUAGCACUAAAUCAAGUUUUUGUUUCAAAGAAGCUGGUAAGUCACUUUUUCUCUCUCGACACAAAACAAAAAAAAAAUCAUCUCCUCCCCUCCGGCACGGUGGCCUCGGCGCCGUCGCCGGUGGCUCUCUCUUAACCCUUCCUCUUUUCUUCUUUGCUUUCCCCUCGCUCUACGUCCUGCAGCUGAUAUGUCGAAGCCCUAGGGAGCUCUGCCGGAAGCUGGCUCUCUGGAUCUGGAGCUCGGUGACAGAUCUAGUCUAUGGUGGCCUUCCCCGGUGUCAAGAUGAGGCAGCAAGGCGUUUUGGUAAGGGGAGAGUCGGAUUUUGGGUGGUGAGUACCGAUGAGCGUUUUUCCCAGAUCUGUCUUGCUUCAUCGGUUACUUCCGCGAGUUGGUGGCGCGUGGGCUUUGGAAGAGUCUCACUCGACUCGGAUCUGUCCUUUCGUCGGUGUGGAGAGGCGGUUGUCUCCAUUAGUUUGUCGCCUUGGUGUCUCGGCUUUGGACUCGGUCUCAACCCCUUUCAAGAUGUGCCUCGGAGGUCCUCGACUUCUAGACGUGCAGCGGUGGUCUCUUCUCUGGCGGUGUCAGAUGCAAGUUUCCUCAAUGGCGCGUGAAGACCUUUGGCUCUCUUGACGCGUGGAGUUGUCUAUGCUCAGGCGUCGGAGAUCCGGUGGUGUUCCUCGGUCUUUGUCUCCUCCAGCCUUCGGUUUAAACAGCAGAGAGCCCUUCUCGGAACUGUGCACCUUCUGUUUUGGGUUUCUCGAGCCGGUUCUUCUUUGUAUCUGCAACUCCGUCCUGUCACCGGUUGUUGCUUCAGCCUAGCCUUUUGAUUCAUCCUCUAGUUUUUAGAGGUGAUGCGUGUGAGAUGGUUGGACCUUCAGGUGGUCUCUGCAGGUUCAUUUUCCUCUCCGUGACGGCACGUUUGGUCUCCGGCUAUCCCAGUGCCUUGUGGGUCUUUGAUCUUCUCGGCAAGUUGGAGUCCAUCAAUGGCUUGCAGGUGCUCGUCUCAGCGUGUUUUUAGCCAGCCACAUCUCAGCCUGUUUUACGGCUUCUUUUGGCCGAAGCGUCUCUGUUUCGGUUCUAGAAAGCCUUCAGUUUAUCUCUUCACUCCCCCUAUCUAUAAAUCAAGUUCAAGUCUCGGGUUAGUGUGUCGAAUACGACCUCUCCGUAUCUCCGUACUGGUCAGGGUCUGCCAAGAGAGACGGACUUGUUGAGGAUGGCGGUUCCCCUUAACUUUUCUUUUAAAAAUACUAAAUGGCUGCUUUUGAAUUAUCUUUUGGUCCGGAGAAAAUGAGUAACACGGUUCGAACAAAGUGAGUAACGCGUAGAAGCUGGUGAAUCAGGACCGCUAGACUUUUUAUGAGAUCCCUUGAAUUAUGAGAAAAAGACCAAAGUAGCACUAAAUCAAGUUUUUGUUUCAAAGAAGCUGGUAAGUCACUUUUUCUCUCUCGACACAAAACAAAAAAAAAAUCAUCUCCUCCCCUCCGGCACGGUGGCCUCGGCGCCGUCGCCGGUGGCUCUCUCUUAACCCUUCCUCUUUUCUUCUUUGCUUUCCCCUCGCUCUACGUCCUGCAGCUGAUAUGUCGAAGCCCUAGGGAGCUCUGCCGGAAGCUGGCUCUCUGGAUCUGGAGCUCGGUGACAGAUCUAGUCUAUGGUGGCCUUCCCCGGUGUCAAGAUGAGGCAGCAAGGCGUUUUGGUAAGGGGAGAGUCGGAUUUUGGGUGGUGAGUACCGAUGAGCGUUUUUCCCAGAUCUGUCUUGCUUCAUCGGUUACUUCCGCGAGUUGGUGGCGCGUGGGCUUUGGAAGAGUCUCACUCGACUCGGAUCUGUCCUUUCGUCGGUGUGGAGAGGCGGUUGUCUCCAUUAGUUUGUCGCCUUGGUGUCUCGGCUUUGGACUCGGUCUCAACCCCUUUCAAGAUGUGCCUCGGAGGUCCUCGACUUCUAGACGUGCAGCGGUGGUCUCUUCUCUGGCGGUGUCAGAUGCAAGUUUCCUCGAUGGCGCGUGAAGACCUUUGGCUCUCUUGACGCGUGGAGUUGUCUAUGCUCAGGCGUCGGAGAUCCGGUGGUGUUCCUCGGUCUUUGUCUCCUCCAGCCUUCGGUUUAAACAGCAGAGAGCCCUUCUCGGAACUGUGCACCUUCUGUUUUGGGUUUCUCGAGCCGGUUCUUCUUUGUAUCUGCAACUCCGUCCUGUCACCGGUUGUUGCUUCAGCCUAGCCUUUUGAUUCAUCCUCUAGUUUUUAGAGGUGAUGCGUGUGAGAUGGUUGGACCUUCAGGUGGUCUCUGCAGGUUCAUUUUCCUCUCCGUGACGGCACGUUUGGUCUCCGGCUAUCCCAGUGCCUUGUGGGUCUUUGAUCUUCUCGGCAAGUUGGAGUCCAUCAAUGGCUUGCAGGUGCUCGUCUCAGCGUGUUUUUAGCCAGCCACAUCUCAGCCUGUUUUACGGCUUCUUUUGGCCGAAGCGUCUCUGUUUCGGUUCUAGAAAGCCUUCAGUUUAUCUCUUCACUCCCCCUAUCUAUAAAUCAAGUUCAAGUCUCGGGUUAGUGUGUCGAAUACGACCUCUCCGUAUCUCCGUACUGGUCAGGGUCUGCCAAGAGAGACGGACUUGUUGAGGAUGGCGGUUCCCCUUAACUAGUUGGUCUGUUUCGAUUUCCAUUUUUUGAUAGUCGGUAAGAGAAAGAGAGUGUCGUGUGGAUCGAGCAGCUGUGUGUUGGCGCUGGUUUGAGAGAAAGUAUCUUUGCAGUGGUCGUCUAAAUUUCGAUUUGGUCGGCGUCGUUGGCCGCGGACUUCUGGUGAUGACGGGAACCGGUAACGGAUCCCUGAACCUUAGGUUUUUUCCCUCCCGCUGUUUUUAUGCUGUUCUCUCUUUGUGUAAUAGUGAUAAGCCUAAUUUAUUUGUGAGAUUUACUGUUUAUUCGACGACUAGCCGGAGGUCUUGUUCCGGUUCCCUUUUUUCGGGUUGAUAUUUUAAUCUAAUAUAUAUAUUAAAAAAAAAAAAAAAAAAAAAUCCAUAUAUGAAUCGAUUGAUUACCACAAAAAAUUUGCAAGAAAUCGGUCGAUUCUAAAAAAAAAANNNNNNNNNNNNNNNNNNNNNNNNNNNNNNNNNNNNNNNNNNNNNNNNNNNNNNNNNNNNNNNNNNNNNNNNNNNNNNNNNNNNNNNNNNNNNNNNNNNNNNNNNNNNNNNNNNNNNNNNNNNNNNNNNNNNNNNNNNNNNNNNNNNNNNNNNNNNNNNNNNNNNNNNNNNNNNNNNNNNNNNNNNNNNNNNNNNNNNNNNNNNNNNNNNNNNNNNNNNNNNNNNNNNNNNNNNNNNNNNNNNNNNNNNNNNNNNNNNNNNNNNNNNNNNNNNNNNNNNNNNNNNNNNNNNNNNNNNNNNNNNNNNNNNNNNNNNNNNNNNNNNNNNNNNNNNNNNNNNNNNNNNNNNNNNNNNNNNNNNNNNNNNNNNNNNNNNNNNNNNNNNNNNNNNNNNNNNNNNNNNNNNNNNNNNNNNNNNNNNNNNNNNNNNNNNNNNNNNNNNNNNNNNNNNNNNNNNNNNNNNNNNNNNNNNNNNNNNNNNNNNNNNNNNNNNNNNNNNNNNNNNNNNNNNNNNNNNNNNNNNNNNNNNNNNNNNNNNNNNNNNNNNNNNNNNNNNNNNNNNNNNNNNNNNNNNNNNNNNNNNNNNNNNNNNNNNNNNNNNNNNNNNNNNNNNNNNNNNNNNNNNNNNNNNNNNNNNNNNNNNNNNNNNNNNNNNNNNNNNNNNNNNNNNNNNNNNNNNNNNNNNNNNNNNNNNNNNNNNNNNNNNNNNNNNNNNNNNNNNNNNNNNNNNNNNNNNNNNNNNNNNNNNNNNNNNNNNNNNNNNNNNNNNNNNNNNAAAAAAAAAAGAUCAAAAGUCAUAAAAAUAGCACUCAAGAGCUGGGGUUUAGGGUUUAGAGUUUAGGGUUUAUAGUUUAGAGUUUAGGUUUUAGGAUUUAGAGUUGAGAAUUGAGGUUUUGGGGAUAAGAUUUCAAAUUUUGAAAAAUAAAAAGAUUUAAAUUAUUCAAAAGAUAAAAUGUUAUUUUGGUCAUUUUAGUUUUUGAGUGCUAUUUUUGUGAUAUAAACUUAGAAAUGUGUUAUUUUAGAGAUUUGACCAUGAAUUAUUGUAUGACAUUUUAACAAUGGUGGUUUAGUCAUCCUUUUUAGAUGGUUUUGUGAUUGAUAAUUCGGGAUUCUGCUAGUAUAAGCGUGGACAAUUCAAGUACGUACAUAAUACAUAGGACUGGAACCGGAUCUAAGGUUUAUUGUCACUUGCUGAAAAAUCAUGAUAACAUUGCGUGAAUGACUUUGUCCAAAAAAUAAACAUUGAGUGAAUGACUUUGAACCUAAAGUUAAACUAUUUAAACUAAAACUAUCCAAUAUUAAAUUAAGUUGGAUAAUUAUAAUUAUUUAAUAGUUUUAAAUUAAAAUUUAUUGAAUAAUUUAAUCAAAUUUGUAUUAAACCAAAAUAAUAUAACUCUAAUAUAUAUACAAUGUAUUAAUUUAAAAAUAAUCAUAACUUCAAAAUACUAGUUUAAGUAAAAUACUAAGAACCAGAAUUUUUUUGAUUAUUAAUAGUUAUGUUUUUAACACUAAUAAUAUUCGAACUGAUACAUAUUUAUACCUAUAAUGUUCUUUCCCAUAGAAAUGAACAGUUAGGAACGUAGAGUUUCUCUCUCCUUUUGUUCUGUUUUCUCUCUAAAAUCCGACACAGAGGAAGGAUCGAGAUGAAACUUCUUCCGGAGUUCUAUCAAUUUCAUCUCCUGUUAGCUAGUUUAAUUUUGGGAAGCGGUGAUACUUUUUACACCGUUGUCGCCAGCUUUCGUUUCUGGGAAAUGGUGGCUCUAACAACAUCGGUUUCGCCGGCUAUCGUCUCCGGGAAAGAGGUGGCUCUGAUAACACUGUCCUUUCUCCGGCUUCUUCUCCGGUUUGAUCUGGAAUCAGUUCUCGAUCUACGUUUUUGCUCUCUCUUUACCCAAUCAACUCUCGAUCUGAAUAUCCUUGUUGACUUUUGGAUUGAUCGUAGACGAUUGAUGUAUCUUAAAGCGUAAAUCGGUGUUUCAAGAUCAAUAGUUUCAACGGUUUUGGGCUCCAGGGUGGAGAUUUGGUCGCGCUUUGUUUUUGAUCCUGCGGAAGAGGUUGUCGACUUAUGGUGGAUUUCCGAGGACUGCGGCGACGGAGGUUGCAUACCGGUGAAGUGUUGGGGCUUCGAAUCUUUCGACACGUGCCCCUCUGAUGGUGUUUCGAUCAACACGUGGCGGCCGGGUGAUGUAUGUCCCUCGCAGUGAGGAUCUUGACAUGUGUCCCGUUCACGAACCUCGAGUGAAUGAAGCGGCGCCGUUGGGUUUAGGAUAAUGGGCUUAGGGUCCAAAAAUGGUUUGCGGUUUGGUUCGUCCAUGUGUUUUCUAGACUUUAUCUUUGUAACUUUCGUGGUUUACUUUUAUGGGUUUUGUCCCUUUAAUAAAAUUUAGAUGGCAAAAAAAAAAAAAAGUUCUUUCCCAUUUAUAUCAUGUAAUCUUUUAAUUAAAUGAUAUAUACGCGUAGACAUACAAUUAUGUGCAGAUUGAUGUACAUACAUACACCCAACUUUGCAGAAAACGACAAUUCGUGAUGGACAUCAAUUAGAAAAUUUAAGUUACUAAAAAUGACAGAAUUGGUCUAUUUAGAGUUUUAAUUAAUCCACAAUUGGGAAUAUUAAUAAUUUAAGGAUUUCGCAGUCUAGAUACAAUAUUGUAUUUGUCUAUUUUGGUCGCCGUAAUAAGGAUAUACCUACUCUAUCUCUACGGCUGUCUACACGAUUGUUAGAGUGGGGACAAACACAAUCUUUACAAUCGCAUUAAUUUAAUUACAAUAUUAAAUCUUUUAGAUUCCAGUUGGGGUGUUGAACAACUCACCAUGCUGUAUAAUUACACAGCACGUUACUUUUAAAAUGAUCACAAAGAUAGAGAUACUUUGCCUCCGGAGCAAUUCAUAUUGAUUAGUUAAAACUUAAAACACUUAAAAUAAAACCUUUGAGAGACAAAAUAACAUGUUUAAAUUGUUGAUACGUCGCUUUGGCGACUAACUAUCCAUAUUUAAUUAAUCGUACGUGCACUUGUUUGAUCUUGACUAUGAAAAAUAUAUUACUCGCGUUGGAUCAAGUUGAUACAUGUUUUUGAUCUAUGAACAUAUGAACGGUAUCGGUUAAGAAUAACAAAGUAUAAGUACACAUGCUUCGUUACAGAUAUUCAAUAGAGAAACCAAAUAUCAGAAUACAUUCAUUAGUCUCAUUCGUUAUGUGAAAACUAUAUCGGUUUAAUUUUUUUAGUCAAAAAAACUAUAUCUGUUAUGCUACACCAUAGUUGCUCAACAGAUAUGGAAAUAUGUGGCCGAUAAAUAUCUUCUUUUUUUUUUUUUUUGUCAUCAAAAGCUUUAUUUCAAACUUAAACCGGUCCUAUCGUACUAGCCUCGUGAGCUAGCGGAAUAGAGACCAUACUGUCAACCAACAUGUAGUGUAAAUCACGUGAUCGGGCCUCUUUUGCAAGAGCAUCCGCACGGAAGUUCAAAGAACGAGGUAUAAAACUCAGCGAAAAGGAAAUAAAAGAAGUUCUCAGUGCCUCAAUGGCAUCAAGCUCUGGAUCAAGUGCUGGCCACUUCUUAGAGAAGUUGAUGAUGUGUACCAGCUGUUGACAGUCUGAUUCCAAGCGUACCUGCUGGAACCCACGGCUACUAAGCUCCUCCAUAGCCCACACUAAACUCUCCGCUUCCGCAUGUAGUGGGGAUGGGACGUUGAUUAGUUUCCUUUGCCCUCGCAUUACCUCCAUGUCGCCAUCGAACACAAUAAAACUCAGCCCCACUCCAGUAUCUUCUAGGACCCAAGACGCGUCGAGCUGGCAUCUCCAUCGUCCCACCCUUUCUUGUUCCUCCACUUCCGCUAUCCUCUCAUUCCCGUCGUCUGCUGCUUCCAAGAUGUCCGGCAGGAUCUGCGCUAGCUUCCAUGUUGUAGCUUCCGAAACCGCUAGUUGCAGGGUAUCCACAGGUGAUGUAUCCUUGUUAUUAAAACAUUUAUCGUUUCGUGCCUUCCAUAAGUACCAGAUCAACCAUGGAAAGAAGGCCGUGCUCUCAGCUCUGCUAGGAUCUGUUUGCAAAUUCAGUAGCAUAUCAAAGUUAACAAAGAUUGAGGAACUCGGGAAGACCCCCGGAGACGUCGGGACUGUCGAUAAUGCCCAACUUUGAAUCGCUGGCGGGCAUUCAAAGAUGAUAUGGUUAAUCGUUUCAUUCUCCGCACCACAGCGUUGACAGACCGAGUCGUUACCGCAAUGUCUUUCUUUUAGCUUGCUCGCUGAGGCGACAUAUCCAGACAGAGCUUGCCACAGAAAAUGCUUGAUUUUCCGCGGCGCCUUAAGUCUCCAAACCUUCUUCUUUAAACCAUUGCAACUCGGUCCCAGGCUUAUGUCCCCACGCAGCUUUUUCCGUUGUUCAACUGCAAUGGUGUACCCAGACCUCACUGUGUAUACCCCCGACUUUGUAUGCUUCCAGCUGUAGCCGUCCUUGCGUCCCGUUUUGCUGAUCCUAAGUGUGAGAAUACGAGAUACAUCAUCGGCAGCAAUAAAUUCAUUUAUAACGCCAACAUUCCAUUCAGCCUUGUCGACAUCAAUAAGGUGGUGGACUUUAAGAUCAGUAUCCAUGAUCACUGUCUUUGGUUUCGCCGCGCGAGCAGGUUCCGUAGGGAUCCAUGCGUCUUCCCAAACUUUCGUGUCUGCCCCUGUUCCUAUCGUCCUCUUGAUUCCACCGAUGAGAAUCGGUCUAGCUGCCAUCAAGCUGUUCCACCCAAAAGAUGGGGAAUUUGCUUUACCUAUUACAAGUGGAUUCGAGUGUCUGUAGUAUCUACCUUUAAGAACUCUUGCUAGAAGGGACUCGGGAUGUGUAAGCAGACGCCAUACUUGUUUAGCGAGAAGGGCCAGGUUGAAAUCUCGGAAAUCUCGGAAGCCCAAGCCUCCUUCCUCUACUGGUACACAGAUUUUGUCCCAUGCCACCCAAUGCAUCCCCCGAUUGUUAUUGCUCGUAAAUGGAAAUACGACAAACGUUUAUACAAAACGAUGAUGACAGCAAAGAGCAUUCAAAAGUUACGCUACAAAAAAUAGGGAGUUAAGACUGCACAAUUAGUCGUUAAUUUCCUAUUACGAAGAUUUAACGUUGAUUCUCCAAUCGUCGUUUUUAGCUCAUCGUAAUGCGUCAAUCAUCAUAAAAUCAUCGUAAAUAUUACGACGAACAGGACUAGUAUUUAAAUUGUCAUAAACUGGUUCGUCGUAAAUUAGACGUACUAUUACGUCCACAUAUCUCGUCGUAAGUUAGUCGUUGUUAUGUUGUCGUAAAAGUGGUUGUAAAAAUUAGGUUAGAUGGGCAUAAAUUUAUGACGAAUUCACGUUAAAAUUCGACGUUAAUUAGUCAAAACUUUUACUACUAGUUUACGACAAAUUAACAUUAGUAUUUAUUCAUUUAAAACAAUUGUUUUAAAUUAUAAAUAUAAAAAAAAAAAAAAAAUUUGCAAAAUUAUUUAACUUUGAAAAUUAAAAUAAAAAUCUAAUAUAUUAAAACUUUAUAAUAUCCAAAAUAUAUUACAAACCAAAAAAAUUAAACCUAAAGGCCAAGUCGUCACGUAGCUCUGAACUACGGCGCUCGGUAUGUCGCUCUAGCUCUGCCUGCUCUUCCGGUGUGCGGUUGGGAUUUAUGUUUGGACGUACCACCCACCACAUCUCCGCAAAUUCUGGGUUCGCAUCCGCCAUGAGAUCAAACAUCGACGCCAUGGCAAUCAUCUGGGUCAUGUUCUCCGCCAUGACGGUGUUGGCAACCAACAAAGCUUCCCAGAGCUGAGAAAUUUCCUCCCUUGCAGCAACGUGACAUGCUCUCGUCCUCGGAAUAUCGUUCACUGAACCGAUUCCGACCAUCCAUUCCUUUCUUCGAGACAACCUGUAAUUAAUUAAUGAAUUUGAUUAUUAGUAAAUAUAUAUUAAUUAUUAUAAAAUUAUUAAAACAUAUUAAAAUGUAUAUAAAAAUAUAUUAAUUACUUUUUCGAAAAUUUUGUCAUGUUCGACGGUCGAUAACUGAACCGGGGCAAAUCUGGAUUUUGUUGGGUCUAGACCUCUUGGAUCUGAGCUUCCACACCGUUGUGGAUCCGUUCUACCCGAGCAUCCACGAACGUUCCAUCCGCAUGUUGGUGCGUCUUCUUGUAAAGUCGGGAAAGAGAAAGUGCUUCUCCUCCCUCAACAGCCUAUACAAAAAUUUUAUAAUAAUACGAGCAUUAAUAAACAAUUUAUUAAUUAUUACAAAAAAAAAAUAAUUAACACUUACGAUCUUUAGGGCAACUCCGGUAUGUGGGAUAUGUCCAGAAGUAUGGGGCAAUGGUAAAUUUUCUUCUGCACCAGGCAUCAACUGGUCUGUUAAGCAAUUGUUGGAUGUGCGAAUCGAGAGAGGCAAUAGCCAAAAGGCCUCCAAGUCUCUCCAAGUCUUAUCGCUGACGUCGGUGGGUUUUGCAGCAUCACAUUGAUACCUCCUUUUCUCUUUCCAGUCGCCAACAAUGUUCUUAAGGUUGUCCAUCGCCUUAGUGUUGAACGCCUUCUUCACUUGCUCGUUGACGGUAAUAGACCAAUUCUAAUUUCACUGGAAAAAAAUUAAUUCAUUAAUAAAUGUAAUAAAUAAAUUGGAAAACAAAAUAUAUAAAAUAAAAUUUAAAAUAAAACUUACUGCAAAACACUUGAACCAAGUCCUUCGAAUGUGUUCCGGUGUAAGAGUCUAGUUCGGAUGCGCUUCAGAGAAGUAUGACUUGAUGGUCUCUGAAACGGAUCGUCCAAGGCAACUGUCUGUCUUAAACCUGUAAAAUUGAUAGAAAACUAAAUAAGGUAUAUAAUUAUAAUAAAUGAAUAUAAAUCUAAAAAAAAUUACAAAUCUAACAAAAAUUACCAAUAAGUGUUUGGUGGUCGAUCAUGGUCGAUGAUGGGUAAGCCAAGACCGGUAACCAGUUUUUGAAUCUCAUAAUAAGAUUCAGCUGACAAAUUAUCUUCGGGCAAAUACUUUUUAAACAACUCAGCCCAUGCAUCCAUACAAACUUCGGGUAAUUUAUGAUCAGUUUUGAUAUUCAUCAUCCUAGCUGCCAAUGACAAUUUAGAAAGACUUUCUCUACAACCUUCAUAAAUUGGCUGAUUAGCUGCAUCUAGUAUUUCAUAGAACCUUUUCGCAUCGAAGUUAGGUUCCUCUAACUUUUCUACUUCUGCAGCAGCUACUAUUUACUAAAGUUGUUUCACGAAAUGCAUCUGUAACCAUGUCAUGCAUCCUAUCAUGAUCUACAAUAUGAUCUUUCUGAGGAUGACUACUUUCAAGAUGCAAAUGAUCAUUCGGUUCUUCCCUAUUACCACCAUCUUCAUAGUGAGUACUACUACUAGUUUCAUUCCUACUUUCACCUUCUCCAUGAUGAAACCAAAUUUAGUAUUGUGGGGUAAAUCCUGUAUUUAUUAUAUGUUUCCAAACCGUUUCACUACGAGCAAACUUGGUAUUCUUGCACUUACGACAUAGACAUAACAUUUUACCCGUUUCAGGCGUGAGAGGUGUGUUUCCGACCUGAUACUUGAAUAUCUCUGUUCCGUUGAGAAAUUUGUUUCUCACAACUCCCGCAUAAUCUUUAUGUGCAUACAUCCAACUCUAGACCUUAUAAAUAUUGCCACCAUUAGACAUUUUUUGAACUUUUUUUUGUGCAUCUUUAGAAUGGGAGAUGAGUGCAUAUUUAUAGGAAAUUUUCGAAUUUGGUAGGUGAGAAUGUUGCAACAAAUUUACUACUUCAUAAAAUUUACUUUAACUUAACAACUAUAUUACAACCAUUUUUACUGACAAUACAUACAAAUAUUUAUCACGUGUACAACAACUUUCUGUUUACUCGUAAUGUAAUAGUUAAUUAGAUCAUAAUAAUUUAUGACAUAAUUUAUUAGUAAUGUAAAAGCUACUUUACGACGACAUUUAGAAAUCGUCGAAACUCGUCGUAAAUAUCGUAAGGCUACGGCAAAUUUAUGACAAAUUGUUCUUGUUGUAUGUUUACGUCGAGUUUACGACGAUUUUGAAUAUAGACAUAAUAUUGACAUAAAUUCGUCGCAAAAUUAGGACCAUAAUUUUUAGUUGUAGUUGUUACUGGAGCGUUUACUUGUAAUGUUACUGUAUAUUUUAUGUAUGUAUAUUCCUCUCCAGCAACUACGCUUGAUGUAAUUGUGACCACGAAUAAAACUAAUUAAGUGAUUCCCGAUUAUAUGACAAAAAGAAAUUCUAGCCACAAUUUACGACCUUAUAACAUUAAGUGUAGCUGCGUUGUAUUAUUGUUAUCCAAGUUCUUGGAAAAAGUAAAAACCAAAACUUCAAAAACUUUCUGUUGUUGGUAUGCUAUGAAAAUCUUUUAAUGUAUUAUCUUUUAAAUUUUAAAAAUUAAAUUGAGUUUCAGUUUAUUUUCUUCUAUUUUAAAUGAAACUAGUAAAAAUAAAUUUACUACUUUAUUUUUAGAAUAAAAUAUUUUCUGUUCUGUUAUAGAAUAAAAAAUGAAAUAAAUUUAAAGAAUAGUUUAUUCUAAACUCAGUUUUUUGGGCAAAUUCCAGACUUUGUUUUAGAGUAGAAAAUAAGGUGUUAACAAUCAUUAGUGGUAGGGUUUUUCUAAGAGUGUUUAACCAAUACAAAUUUAGCAUAAUAUAAUUCUGUUAUUAACUUCAAAAAAAAAACUUCAGUCAAUGAAGCAAGAUAAUUUUUUUUGGGACUACCAUUUCUUGGGUGUAUCUGGAGACGUUGCUCAUUCAUUAUUUUAAUAUUGAGUAUAAUGAAGUAAUAAACCUAAACUGACUUCAACCAAUAUAAACUGCAAUGGUGAAAAAUUAAACCAAGGCGUUGGGGUAUCUGUGGAUUGUGGACGGUUUCGAUGAACACCUGUGGACAAGCUGUUCAUUCAAAGCUUUAUUAAUCGUUAGAUAUAUGAUCUAACGGUCUAGAAUGUCUCUUCCUCAGCCGUUCAUAACUCAACCCGAUCGACAUUGUAUUGGAAUUACGAAAAAGGCCAACUGGGCCCAACGUGUCCUCUGGCGUCGAGUCCUCUGUUUACAGGGACAUUAAUGUACUUUAACCGGAUCUCUCGUUCACCUCCUAGUCACAGCCACAUGGCUUGUGAGACAGACAUACAAAUAAUGUAACUCUCCUUCUUAAUCGUCGAUCUAAACAGACCCAACUCCAGAUCUCUCCACGUGUCACCGUGAUAUUGGAAACUUGUGACAGUCCGUGAGUACAGAGUCACCCAGGUACUAACAGCUUUAAAAAAGCUUCUCGUCCUCUUCCUCAAGCCUCCUCUUUAACCUCACCAUGAAAGUUCAGAGAAACUAAGAACAUAACUGAAACUCGAGUUUGGUCAGCACAGAUCUUUUACGAAGAUGGUUUCGGUGGAGGAUCCGUUACCUCACUCGAAUUCAACCCGUUUCCCGUUAACAACCGACUUCUACGGCUCAUCUUCUCCGUCGGCGGCGAAGAUACACCGUCAAGUCGGCCGAUCGAUGAGGACGGUGAGAUCUAACUUCUACCAAAGCGGCGAUCAAUCUUGCUCUUUCGUCGGCUCCGUCGGCGAUAAAUCGGAGUACGCGUCGGAGUAUCUGUCGGACUCCGUCAUCGACAUGAGACUCGGCGAGCUCGCGUUGAAGAACAGUAACUCAGUUCACUCGAUCGCUUCCUCAUCGAAAGAAGAAGCCUUUCUCGAUAUUUCUCAGGCGUUUAGUGAUUUCUCCGCUUGUAGCAGCGACAUCUCCGGUGAGCUACACCGUCUCGCUUGCUUGCCGUCGCCGGGUACAGACAGAACGGAGAACGACGGAGAUAAAGAAGAGCAAGAUCCGGAGCCGUGUCUAGGGUUUCUGGAGAGGGAGAACUUCUCCACUGAGAUUAUCGAGUGUAUCUCCCCGGAAGAUCUGCAGCCGACGGUGAAGCUCUGCAUCGACGGACUCCGCUCAUCUUCCGUGGCGAUUAAACGAUCCGCCGCGGCGAAGCUGAGGCUCCUGGCGAAGAAUCGAGCUGAUAACCGUGUGUUGAUUGGCGAAUCUGGAGCUAUCCAAGCUCUGAUUCCGCUUCUUCGUUGCAAUGAUCCGUGGACGCAGGAGCACGCGGUGACAGCUCUCUUGAACCUCUCUCUCCACGACCAGAACAAAGCUGUGAUAGCCGCGGGAGGAGCUAUCAAGUCUCUCGUGUGGGUUCUCAAGACGGGGACGGAGACUUCGAAGCAGAACGCGGCGUGCGCGUUGCUCAGCCUCGCGCUCGUGGAGGAGAACAAGAACUCGAUCGGAGCUUGCGGCGCGAUUCCGCCGCUUGUUUCUCUGCUGCUGAACGGGUCUUGCAGGGGGAAGAAGGACGCCCUCACGACGCUUUACAAGCUAUGCACGCUUCAGCAGAACAAGGAGAGAGCGGUUACCGCCGGAGCGGUGAAGCCGUUGGUGGAUCUUGUGGCGGAGGAAGGGACUGGGAUGGCGGAGAAGGCGAUGGUGGUUCUGAGCAGCCUGGCGGCGAUUGAGGAAGGCAGAGAGGCUAUUGUAGAGGAAGGAGGGAUCGCAGCGCUUGUAGAGGCUAUCGAGGAUGGAUCGGUGAAAGGGAAAUAGUUUGCGGUCUUGACGCUGUUGCAGCUUUGUGCUGAUAAUGUCAGGAACCGUGGGUUGCUUGUGAGGGAAGGUGCGAUUCCUCCGCUUGUGGGUCUCUCUCAGAGCGGCGCCGUCAGCGUUAGAGCUAAACGCAAGGUAAAAAACUUAAAACAGAUUUGACUUAGCUACUAAACCUUUGAGAGUCUUGUGUUAUGGAACUCUAACAGAUCUAGUUUUACUAGUGAAUCCAUUUGAUGAUUUAUUGUGGAUGUAUGAAAAGCUUGAGCUUGAUGGGUCUUCAUCUUUUGUUUUCUAUUGUGCAGGCAGAAAGACUAUUGGGUUAUCUUAGGGAGCCAAGGAAGGAGGGAAGUUCAUCAUCAAGCCCUUGAAAAUGAUUUGCAUGGGUUCCCUUGAAUGAAACCAUAUUGGGACGUUUUCAGCAGUCUAGUAUUGUAUAUACUGAGUGUAUGUUUGGUGGGUUUUGUAUAGCAUCUUUAUGUAGACUACUGUAAAAGGAAGAUCAAAUUAGUGCCAGAAACUUUGACUACUUUUGAUCUUCCUUGUAUUGAUGUUAAGCUAGUUUUAUAUGUGUGAGAGUGCUAUUUGGAUUACAAGUCUAGCAUUCAGUUUUUCUGUUGGUGUGAGUGGUGGAAUUUGCUGAUUUUUAAGGCAAAAAGCUUCUAGUGUCGGCGCAAAUGCAAUGUUUAAGAGCAAAGCAAUUUUAAUCAAUUAUUUUUUUCUCUUAUCUGAAUCAAUUAUUGUUGGAUCUUUGAGUGUUGUUUGUGGAUCCGUGUCUGAGUAUGUGGACAAACCGGUGGAUCUGGUAGAAGAUUUUUGUUCUGGCACCGCUGUAAUGUCUUGUCCUAUAAUAGUAAUGGUUAUCGUUGAAACAGUAGUUUGGCCCACUACAUAGACACUGAUAGUUAUGCCUGUCUCCAAAGAAUAACAUUUUCACUUAUUAAAACUUUGUUGCUUUCGGUUCACAAAGUUGUCUGCCUUAUUCAUUGACAUAAGCUUUUGGGGAUAGUUGUCAAAUCAUAGAGAAGUUUGGUUGAGGUUUUUAAAGUGUUCUUGAUACUACGUAAGUACGUAUUAUUCCUGUUUCAUACAAGAUAGAAACUGGAAAGUUGCAACAAUAUUAAUUAAAUAGAGAAAUACAAACUUCAUCUUAAGCUGUAUCAACGUCUUUAGCCUUGUUCUUCCGCCGCAAGAGACUUGGCUUGAAGCCGACCUCGAGCAACUUCUCGACCUCCUCAAACUGAAGUCCUUUGGUCUCAGGCACAAGCAGCCAAAUAAAGAAGAGUCCAACCGUAGAGAAGCCCGCAAAGAGAAGGAAAGUCCCAGAGGAGCCUAGAGCAUGUGUGAGGGAGAGAAAGCUCUCACUCACAAUGAGAUUAGAGACCCAGUUCGAGACAGCAGCUAUGCCUCCGCCAAGACCUCUGUAUCUAAGCGGAUAGAUCUCAGAGUUGACAAUCCAUGGGACAGUACCCAUACCUGGAGCGUACACUACGAUGUAAAGCCCCAAAAACACUAUAGCCAAGAACCCAAACUUGCUUGGACAUCCAUCUUUGAAAUAUGUUCUUCCCCUCGAGUGACACGUCGCCUUCAUGUCGUCAGAUAACACCACGCAUGCUCCUGGCGCGUACGGUUGCACGCCGCUAGCGCAGAAUCCACAUUCCGACCUGAGACACUUCAUGCAGUUCCACCUCGAAGGAGGAGCGUUUGGGACUGCGAGAGGAGCAAACGCUGGACAAGUAGCGUUUGGAGCAAACGUGGUUGACUCCACUGCAUCAAUCUUGGGGGCGUGGAUAGCCGCUUGUGCGAAGACAAUCGCUAAGAUGAUAAGACAAGUUAUGAUCCCAAACAUAGAGAUGAUCAUCAGCUUCCUUCUACCGUACCGGUCCACAAACAUCAUGCUCACAAUCGAACCAAUCGCGUUCAGACCAGAAGUUACAAGAGACAAAGCCAUCGCUGUACUGUUGGAGGCGUAGCCAGCGAACUGCACAAUGGAGGGACUGUAGUACAUCACAGUGUUGAUCCCGACAAACUGCUGCGCCACCUGGACAGUAAUACCAGCCGCGAGUCCACGUCGGACGACAGGAUUCGCGAAGGCUCCUUUGAGUUUGGCGCCGAAACUAUCUCCGAUGAUGGCCUCGUCUGCUUUCUCCGCCUCCACGGACUCUUUCAACGCUUCCAUCUCCGCCUCCACUUCGUCCUCCGGGUAAAUCUUCUCCAAGAUUGCUCUCGACUCCGCGACCCUGUCCUUCCUGUACAACCACCGUGGAGAUUCCGGCAAGGACCACAUCAACACAAACUGAAUUAUCGCCGGAACUCCCGCAACUCCCAACAUCCACCUCCAUGUCCCCGGAGUCUGUUAAAGUAUACAUUUUUAAUCAAAACCUCACCACACAAAGAUUGAAGCUUUUAGAUUUACUUACGUGGACAAAGGCGAGAUUGAUGAGGUAAGAGAAGAACUGUCCUCCGGUGAUUAAAAGACCGUUGGUGCUAACAAGCGCACCUCUGAUUCUCGCCGGAGAAGCUUCCGAUAUGUAAAGCGGCGACGUCAUCGAAGCCAUACCGACGCCGAACCCAACGAAGAUUCUCCCGACGAUGAUAACCCAAGGAGCCGGAGCAAACGCCAUGACGAUGGCCCCGAUCAAGAACAGCACGUCGGCGAUGAGAAUCGACAUCCUCCUUCCGAAUCUGUCGUUGAUCCAACCUCCUACGGCCGCUCCGACGAUGGCUCCGGCCACCGCCAUGCUGACGAUAGUCGACUGGAGCCAUGUUUUCCUAUCGACCUCGUCGAAGUCUUCUUUGAUGAAGAGAAGAGCGCCGGAGAUGACUCCGGUGUCGUAACCGAAGAGAAGACCUCCGAUUCCGGCGGAGAGAGCGAGGCGCAUGAUGUAAGGGGUCUUCCAUGUCGUCCUCCAACACUCUGUGAACUCUGUUUUGUCUGCUUUCGCUAUUCCUCCUUCCACCAUCUUUUCUCCUCUAAAGACUGAGAUUCUUUCUCACACACUAUGGCUGUGAAUUGUGAUGACAUUACACAAAUGUUAAAUUAUAUAAUAUCUUGGAAGAAUAUCGAAAAACGAGAAUCUGGAGUCCUCUUCGUCAUUAAAGCUUUUGAGAUUCUUUCCAUUCAAACACAUUGUGUAUUAUAUAUCAGGACAAACAAAAUAUACUAAUAAGUUAAGAAACAAAAGUCAACGUUUGAAGUUUGAACAAGAUUUCGAGUCUCACCAGAGGGAUAAAUUAUUCAAAAAUUGUUACGGUGUUAACUGUUAACUGCACAAGGAUGGUAUCUUAAAAAAACACAGUGAAUAUGAUUGAGAGAGAGAGAGGAUAGAAGAUGAGAUGAAUUGGAUAAGAUUCUCUAGCUGUAAAACUAUAGUAAUGGGACCCAGGUAACUAAUCUCCUUUGACUACUGUAUCUCUCUGAAUAGGUCUUUACAGAAUCUUAAAAUCUAAUACAAUAAUAAUUUAUAGAUAAUGAAACAAAAUGAAAAUAACACAAUAAAUUAAUAUAUAAAUAUCUUAAUUUCUAGUUAUUCGUACACAAUUGUCUCUAAGAACAUGUUUAACGGGGGUUGUUAGUGUGAAAUUUUUAACGUAAUAUAAGAACACGUCUUUUAACUUUUAACUAAAAAACUAAGAAUCGUUAUUUAAAAACCGGUUCUUAGAUUUUUUAGUUACAAAUUAAGAGACAGAUUCUUAUAUUCCGCUAACAAUUCUACCCUAAAACCUCUAUUAAACAUGCUCAAAGUAUCUUAAGUUCUGACUACUCUUUCCGUCUCAAAAAUUAAUGCAUGUCAAAUUGACUAUUUAAAAACAUAUAUUUGAUCUAUUAAUCUCAUGCGUAAAAAGUUAAACGUCUCUUUUCCUUUCGAUAACGUAUAUUAUCCCUUUUCUUUUGCUUUGGAAAGUUAAAUUGUUGACCUCACACGUACUCAAUAGUCACUUUUAAUAGAUCAAACUAAGUGUUUUGUCUGCGAUGCGGGCUUAAACAUUUUCAUAAUUUUUGAAAAAAAAUUUGUACAUUAUAUUCAUAAUUUUAAUAAAAAAUUUAUUUGAUUAAUAUUUAAUUAUAUAAUUUAUAUUUUUAACUUUUUACUAAAAUACUUUUUCAGAUAACAAUACAAUAUAUAUAUAGAAAUUAUUUUUUUAAUUAUAUAUUUAGAUUUUGGUUAAUUCAAUAUUCUAUUUUUAAUUAUAUAAUGAAGAAUUUUAUUUGAUUAAUAUUUAGUUAUAUAAUUCAUGUCUUUUUACUAAAAGACUUUUUAAGAUAACAAUACAAUAUAUACAUAAAUUAUCUUUCUUUAAAUUAUAUUUUCAGAUUUUGGAUAAUUCUUACUAUUAUUAAUUUUAAUCAAUAUAGAAAUUAUCUUUUUUAAUCAUAUUUUAGAUUUUGGUUAAUUAAAUAUUCUAUUUUUAAUUAUAUAAUUAAAAAUUAGAUUUGAUUAAUAUUAGUUAUAUAAUUCAUGUUUUUAACUUUUUACUAAAAGACCCUUUCAGAUAACAAUACAAUAUAUACAUAAAUUAUCUCUUUUAAAAUAAAUUAUUAAUUUUAAUCAAUUAUCUAAUCAAAUAAAUUAAAAUUUCAUUUUUAUUUUUUAAUUUAGUUAUAAAUUUUAUUCAUUAAGGGUAUAAAUGAUAUUAAUCACUCUAACUUUUAAUGUGAGAGUUCGAUUCCCAAAACUUAAUCAAAUAAAUUAAAAUUUUAUUUUUAUUUUUUAAUUUAGUUAUACAUUUUAUUCAUUAAGGAUAUAAACGAUAUUAACCACUCUAACUUUUAAUGUGAGAGCUCGAUUCCAAAAACUUACUUCGUAAAUAAUAGUAUAGAUUUAUGUUGCAGUGAAUAAUAUUUUUGAUCUUUUUUUUUUGACAACCAAUGUUUUUGAUCUUAUUUCCCUAAUUUCAUUUGAUUGUCUCAAUAUCUCUUCGAAUAGAUUACCAUUCAAAGGGUCUAAGAAUAACCUUGCAAUAGUAUAUAAUAAGAUUUUUUAUUGUUAAUAAUAAAUUAAAUAGGAAAAAAAGAAAAAAAAAAGAAAGAAGGUCUAAGAGAUAUCUGACCACCACAUAACUAGUCAUGCAAACUAAAUUAAUGUAUAGUUAACUAUAUGGAAUAUAUGUUAUGUAUGAAAACAUUCCUCAACUUCCUGAUGCUAUGUAGUUGACAUCACAAGCUUAAUUUUACUUUUACUGAUCCAAAAUGUGAUGUGGACAUUAGAGACAUUAAUUUCGCCUAAGUUUUUUCGUUGAUAAAUUAAAAUAGACCUUCCUCGUUGUGAUUUAACUAAAAUUUGACCGAAUUCAGUAUAGUAAAACAAAAUGAAAUUUGGCCACAAAUUUAACCUUUGUUAAGGAAAAUGUAAUUACAAUAUACAAAUUUCCUCUACUAUAAGAAUUAUCGUAUGAAUCUAUUGUCUAGGAUAUAUGCCUAUUUAGCGAACGUAAACUGAAUAAACAAAUUUAUUUUUCAUCAAACACAUAAUUUGAGAGAAGUUAUUUUAAACUUUCAAAUUACAUCAUCUAGAUUUUUCAAAGGAGAGGAAAUUUUACCUGGUUAAUAAAAAUUGCAAAUCAGAUCUUCUGAAACUCCUAUUGAUUUUCUUUUACAAUUUCGAAAGAUGUUUAUCGAUUUUGCUGAUAGUUUACAUAGAAAGCACUAUGAAUGUUUUUCAAAAUUCUUAUCGAUUUUUCUUCAUAGAAAAAUUCUAUCAAGUUUUGUUUGUGUUUUUGUAUUAUAUAGCAAUCUUUCGAAAGAUGUUAGUGUUUUCAGCUAACAGUUACAAAAACAGUAAUAAGUUAAGUCUUAUGUAUUUAUAGAUGAGACAUUCAGGUUCAAAUUCUAAAUUUAGAAGUGGAAAGAUAAAGAUGUAACAGUAACAACUUGAGGUAAAACAAGUGGUCUAAUAUCCAGCAAUCGAGGAUUAAUUUUAGGUAAACAUUUGGGAUAAGAACAAGUCACUAACAAAUGGUAGUAAUGUUUAGUGGUUUUUUUUUUCUUAUCCACACGGUAAUUAAGCAACUGUUUAUCCUAAAGUUGUGUGGUGUUGAUAGUCAUAAACCGCAAUAGUUUGAGCUGGCUAUUAUUGGUAUAUAUGAACAACAUGUCAUCCAAAUUCUGAGUUGCAAAAAUAAGUCUUUGCACAAGGAAUUCAUAAUAAAUGUAUAAGAUAUACAUGUAGUGUUACAAAAAAAAGAUAAACAUGUAUAGUAUAUAAACUAGAUUUUGAACUGCACUUAAAAAGUGUGGAAUAUCUUACGUUGUAAAAAUCCAAACUAGUUUUGUUAUUUUGUUACAAAUGUUAAAAUAGAUAAAUCCAUCUUGUUUAAACACAUUUCCUUUUUAACCAAUCUCUUUUAAAUUUCAAAUCCAUUUAAAUCCAUCAACUUUUUUUAAUUGGAUUAUUCAUUUGGUUAGUGUACAAAAUGUUAGUAUAUAAACAUCUAAAGUUGUUCUUUAAAUUAUAUUUUCAGAUUUUGGAUAAUUCUUACUAUUAUUAAUUUUAAUCAAUAUAGAAAUUAUCUUUUUUAAUCAUAUUUUAGAUUUUGGUUAAUUAAAUAUUCUAUUUUUAAUUAUAUAAUUAAAAAUUAGAUUUGAUUAAUAUUAGUUAUAUAAUUCAUGUUUUUAACUUUUUACUAAAAGACCCUUUCAGAUAACAAUACAAUAUAUACAUAAAUUAUCUCUUUUAAAAUAAAUUAUUAAUUUUAAUCAAUUAUCUAAUCAAAUAAAUUAAAAUUUCAUUUUUAUUUUUUAAUUUAGUUAUAAAUUUUAUUCAUUAAGGGUAUAAAUGAUAUUAAUCACUCUAACUUUUAAUGUGAGAGUUCGAUUCCCAAAACUUAAUCAAAUAAAUUAAAAUUUUAUUUUUAUUUUUUAAUUUAGUUAUACAUUUUAUUCAUUAAGGAUAUAAACGAUAUUAACCACUCUAACUUUUAAUGUGAGAGCUCGAUUCCAAAAACUUACUUCGUAAAUAAUAGUAUAGAUUUAUGUUGCAGUGAAUAAUAUUUUUGAUCUUUUUUUUUUGACAACCAAUGUUUUUGAUCUUAUUUCCCUAAUUUCAUUUGAUUGUCUCAAUAUCUCUUCGAAUAGAUUACCAUUCAAAGGGUCUAAGAAUAACCUUGCAAUAGUAUAUAAUAAGAUUUUUUAUUGUUAAUAAUAAAUUAAAUAGGAAAAAAAGAAAAAAAAAAGAAAGAAGGUCUAAGAGAUAUCUGACCACCACAUAACUAGUCAUGCAAACUAAAUUAAUGUAUAGUUAACUAUAUGGAAUAUAUGUUAUGUAUGAAAACAUUCCUCAACUUCCUGAUGCUAUGUAGUUGACAUCACAAGCUUAAUUUUACUUUUACUGAUCCAAAAUGUGAUGUGGACAUUAGAGACAUUAAUUUCGCCUAAGUUUUUUCGUUGAUAAAUUAAAAUAGACCUUCCUCGUUGUGAUUUAACUAAAAUUUGACCGAAUUCAGUAUAGUAAAACAAAAUGAAAUUUGGCCACAAAUUUAACCUUUGUUAAGGAAAAUGUAAUUACAAUAUACAAAUUUCCUCUACUAUAAGAAUUAUCGUAUGAAUCUAUUGUCUAGGAUAUAUGCCUAUUUAGCGAACGUAAACUGAAUAAACAAAUUUAUUUUUCAUCAAACACAUAAUUUGAGAGAAGUUAUUUUAAACUUUCAAAUUACAUCAUCUAGAUUUUUCAAAGGAGAGGAAAUUUUACCUGGUUAAUAAAAAUUGCAAAUCAGAUCUUCUGAAACUCCUAUUGAUUUUCUUUUACAAUUUCGAAAGAUGUUUAUCGAUUUUGCUGAUAGUUUACAUAGAAAGCACUAUGAAUGUUUUUCAAAAUUCUUAUCGAUUUUUCUUCAUAGAAAAAUUCUAUCAAGUUUUGUUUGUGUUUUUGUAUUAUAUAGCAAUCUUUCGAAAGAUGUUAGUGUUUUCAGCUAACAGUUACAAAAACAGUAAUAAGUUAAGUCUUAUGUAUUUAUAGAUGAGACAUUCAGGUUCAAAUUCUAAAUUUAGAAGUGGAAAGAUAAAGAUGUAACAGUAACAACUUGAGGUAAAACAAGUGGUCUAAUAUCCAGCAAUCGAGGAUUAAUUUUAGGUAAACAUUUGGGAUAAGAACAAGUCACUAACAAAUGGUAGUAAUGUUUAGUGGUUUUUUUUUUCUUAUCCACACGGUAAUUAAGCAACUGUUUAUCCUAAAGUUGUGUGGUGUUGAUAGUCAUAAACCGCAAUAGUUUGAGCUGGCUAUUAUUGGUAUAUAUGAACAACAUGUCAUCCAAAUUCUGAGUUGCAAAAAUAAGUCUUUGCACAAGGAAUUCAUAAUAAAUGUAUAAGAUAUACAUGUAGUGUUACAAAAAAAAGAUAAACAUGUAUAGUAUAUAAACUAGAUUUUGAACUGCACUUAAAAAGUGUGGAAUAUCUUACGUUGUAAAAAUCCAAACUAGUUUUGUUAUUUUGUUACAAAUGUUAAAAUAGAUAAAUCCAUCUUGUUUAAACACAUUUCCUUUUUAACCAAUCUCUUUUAAAUUUCAAAUCCAUUUAAAUCCAUCAACUUUUUUUAAUUGGAUUAUUCAUUUGGUUAGUGUACAAAAUGUUAGUAUAUAAACAUCUAAAGUUGUUGUGCAUAGUGAAUUGAGUUUUCAUAUAAAUAAAUGUACAACUAAUUUCCUUUAUGUUAGCUUUUGUUUUUCUUUUUCAUUUCUUAACAUAUUUCUCAAAAAGUUAACACACAGUUGGUCUAAGAUAAGUGUACAACUAACUUGACUUCUUCUAUGCGAUUUGAAAACAAAAGAAUUUUUUUUAUAUCGCCUAAUUUAGUUUCUAUUAAAUGAUGAUGAUAUUAUAUUAUGGUAAGAUAUGUUAGUAUAAUUGAGGAAAUAUAAGUAACAUAAUUUCUUUUAUUGAUGUGUUAUUAAUAAGUAAUCAUUGAAUGAACAUUAUAUGUAAAAUUCAUUUAUGAAAAAUAGCAGAAAUUUUUUUUGGUAAUUAUAACUAAUUUUCCUAAUUAUAUAAUUAAAAUUAAAACUCAAUGGCACAGUUGUAAUAUUUAAGAAAAUUUAAAGGGAUCUCAAAAAGUACUUCAGUUUUAAUAAUAUAGAUUAGUUUCUAUUAAAUGGUAAGUAUAUUAGAUUUUAGUAAGAUAUGUUAGUAUAAUGGAGGAAAUAUAUAUAACAUAAUUUCUUUUAUUGAUGUGUUAUUAAUGAGUAAUCAUUGAAUUAAUAAUAUAUGUAAAAUUCAUUUAAAGAAAAAUAUAGCAUAAAAUUCAUUUGGUAGUUCUAACUAAUUUCCCUAAUUAUAUAAUUAAAAUUAAAAUUCAAUGGCAUAGUUGUAAUAUUUAAAAAAAAAUUAAGAGGAUCUCAAAAAAGUACUCCAGUUUUACUAAUAUAGAUAUAGUUUAACUCGUCUCUCUCUUUUUGUUCUGUUUUAUCAUCUUCUCUUUUUUUUUUCUUGUCUUCUGUAUGUGCUUUAAACGAAAACAGACUUUGACUAUUAUACGUAGUUUAGUAUUUUUGGAUUAGUAACAAGUUAUGCGUGUUCGCUCUCAGUUCCAUCCAUCUAAUAUGUUUCUCAUUCUACUUCAUGUCCUUUGCUUUUCUUGGCCUUUAUGUCAUAUUUUGAAAUACAAAAUGGUCAGUUUACUAAGUUUCAACGACCAAUGAUUAUGCCUCUUCAUAGGUCUCCUCUGCUAGGAUCAAAGUUUUGUGGAGUGGAGUAGGGUUGCAACACGUGUAGCCAAAGAAUCAGGGUGCGGCAUUAGCUGGUUUGAGACUGAGCCCAACGAAACUUCAUCAAAGGAUGGUAGAUUUAAGGGAUAGUUAGCGUGAAUAUCCAAUAUAUAUGAAAUGUGUAUGUCAAACAUCAUGGAACUAAUCACAGCUUAGUGAUGCGCAUAUGUCAAACACUUGAACUUCAUUUAACUGUUGUUUGAGGAAGUUGGUGCCGCUAAAUUAACGUUCAGCUUCACAAUAAAAGACGGUAAUCUCUUUGUUACAACGUAAUGUCAACCAAUUGUUUGUCACAUAUUUUAUCAGAUAAAAUAAAAAGAAAAACGAGCAGUGCUAAAAGCAAAGUCCCAAUUGGCAUUACUAAAACAAAAUUUAGUAACGUGUUAAAAAAAAUUAGUAAAUUCUUGGAUUAAGGAGGAAAAAUAUUUCAUAUCUUUUAUACGGUGUGAUUCUUAAAUAGACCAGAUUCUUUUUUUUUAAUAACUUUGCUAUAAAAUACAAGGUGUGGAGGAGGAUCAUGAGGAAAAAAAACUAAAAUGAUAGUUGUCAAGAGUGGGAUUUGAACCCACGCCCUUUCGGACCCGCACCUGAAGCGGGCGCCUUAGACCAACUCGGCCAUCUUGACUUGUGUUUAUACAUUUCAGUACAAUUUUCUUAUACUCAGUAUAAAGAUCGAGUUAAACCCUUUUCUCCUGUGCUUGAACCCUAGAGAAAUCGAGGAAUGUAAGGAAUGCAAUUUCUCCCGGAGACGAUCGAUAGCUCAUCAUUUAGUUUCAUGUGGAGAAGCCCUCUCCUCUCAUUCCUCAUCUCCUCGGGAAUGUUGGUUUCAAAACAGAGAACGUUAAUAAAAGAUUCUUCCUUUAUCAGCUUCUCUUCCUCCUCAAUCUCCCGUCUUUUGCGCGAUUUAGGCUUCACGAUGACAAGUGUCUCGACGGUUUCAACUCUAGAGUUAAAUAGGAACGAGUCUGAUUCCGAUUCUAAGUUUUCCGGCAAAGCGACGGCGAUACUCCGCCGCAUGCUGGCUCAGAGGAAUAUUCCCAGGUUUACCAUCACAAAGUUUAUUUGAUACUAUAAAGUGUGAAGCUUUCAUUGAUAGAACAAAGUUUGGUGUUGACCUGUUAACAUGUUCUAGCUUUCAGGUAGAGCAUCAUAGAAAGAAAGAGCAGCCUGACAAGACACUACAAGGUCUUUGCAUCACUGGGAGGUUGAAAGAAGCUGUUGGGCUGUUAUGGCGCAGCAACGGGUUACAGCUCGAGUCCGAUACUUACUCUAUGCUGUUACAGGAAUGCAAAGAGAGGCGUGAAUACACAAAAGGGAAACGAGUACAUGCUCACAUGGUCGUUGUGGGAUUCGCUCCGAGCGAGUAUUUGAAAGUCAAGUUGUUGAUACUUUACGCCUUGUCAGGGGAUCUUCAAACAGGUGGGAUUCUCUUCCGUGGUUUGCAGUCGAGGUGUUUGAUCUCCAGGAACGCAAUGAUCUCAGGGUGUGUUAAAAAGGGUCUUGAACAAGAAGGGCUUUUUAUGUAUUACGAUAUGAGAUACUGUGGUUUAGUUCCGGAUCAGUAUACUUUUUCUUCCGUGUUUAGAGCGUGUUCUGCGUUGGCGUCGUUGGAACACGGGAUGAGAGCUCAUGCUGUGAUGGUAAAGACUUGUCUUAAGUCGAAUGUUAUAGUCAAUGGUGCUCUUGUUGAUAUGUACUUCAAGUGCAGCAGUGUCUCUGAUGGGUACAAAGCGUUUGAUCAGUUUUUAGAUAGAAACGUGGUUACGUGGACCUCGUUGAUGUCUGGAUACGGGUAUCAUGGACAAGUUUCGGAGGUGUUGAAGUGCUUUGAGAAGAUGAAGGAAGAGGGUUGCAGACCGAACUCUGUCACGUUUUUGGUGGUUCUCACUGCUUGUAGCCAUGGAGGUUUGGUUGACCAAGGUCGGGAGUAUUUUGAUUCUAUGAAGAGAGAUUACGGGAUUGAGCCUGAGGGACAGCACUAUGCAGCUAUGGUUGAUAUCUUAGGGCGUGCUGGUAGGCUACAAGAGGCGUACGAGUUUAUAAUGAAGUCACCGUGCAAGAAACAUGCUCCGGUUUGGGGAUCUUUGCUGGGAUCAUGCAGGAAUCAUGGGAAUGUGGAGCUGCUAGAGCUCGCAGCUACUAGAUAUUUUGAGUUGGAUCCAACGAACGGUGGGAACUACGUGGUGUUUGCCAAUGGAUACGCGAGCUGUGGAUUGUUGGAAGCUGCCUCGAAGGUUAGGAGGAGAAUGGAGAAUGCAGGAGUUGAAAAAGAUCCAGGCUAUAGCCAGAUCGAGUUACAAGGUCAAGUUCAUAGGUUCAUGAGGAAUGACACGUCUCACAGACUCUCUAGAAAGAUACACAACAAGGUCCAAGAGAUGGCUUCUCUGUUUAUGGAUGUUGACUACUAUCCAGAUGACUUGGACACUAAUUGAUAGAGGUUGUGUGACCAAGACAACUUGCAGUUAGCUGUCAGAAAUCUGUGUCCAAUUGAAUGUUGUAGCAGUCUCUCUCUCAUAUGGAAACCAGUGAUGAUGGAGAAGUGAUAGGGUCUGGAAAAUCUACACAAGUUUUGAUUUGGAUGGCUAACGUACUAAUUGGCUGAAGAAAAUUUGUUGUAUCACUUGCCAAAAACAAGCAGAGGAAGCUGCCACAGGGUUGGAGAAGUCAGGAGGAAAGUAAUUAGCAUGACAAAUCCCAGAUGAGGUGUAGAAGAAACAAAAGCUCCAUUAUACUGAAUGUCAUGAAUGAGUAUAUACAUAUUCUGUGAUUUAUAGGUUGUAAGGAGUUUUCUUUCUUUAUUCGACAUUCAUGGAACAUAUUUCUGUGUAAACCGAAUCACUAUCUGAAAGCGUAGAAGAUUCUUGAAGAAGUGCUGGGGGAAUAUGAAAAACAGGUCUCGGAGGGAAUUCCAGAGCAUCCAGGUUCCCUUCCAUCAUCUCUACCACUCUGUUCAUGGGUGGGCGAUCUGAAGGGGAAGAUUGAAUACACCACAAACCCACCAAUGUCAUCUUCCUUGCUAUCUCCUCUUCUUCACAAAUGAUUCCAUUCCCGUUAAGCCUUAUAUUGUCUUCCUUGUCAAGAUCCUUAUAGAUCCAUUCUGGAAAGUACACUGAACUUACAGUGUCUUCAGUUGAUGUUUUGGCCCUUGCGCCUAUCAUCUCAAGAACCAACAUUCCAUAGCUGUAGACAUCUGACUUGUGGGAGACUCUCCCAUACACUCUUGAAAACACUUCGGGUGCAAUGUAUCCUAUCGUGCCCCUCAUGUCCAGUAGUGACAAGAUGCUUUCUUUCCUCUCGCAGAGCUUAGCAAGGCCAAAGUCUGAAAUUUUGGGGCAAAGAUUGUCAUCUAAGAGUACAUUCUGCGGUUUUAUGUCAAAAUGUACAAUCCUUGUGGUGUAAGUACUCGAGCCCACGAGCAACGCCUAAUGCGAUCUCAUAUAGUUUCGUCCAUUCCAUAUUUGAUGACCUAUUGCCUGCGAUGAAUUUAUCAAGAGCUCCAUUUUCCAAGAAUUCACAAAUAAUUGCUCUUUUGGUACCCUCAGCACAAAAUCCUAGCAAGGUAACGAUGUUGACAUGAGAAGUUUCGCUCAUGCUUGCAACCUCGCUGAGGAAGUCUUCACCAUUACCCUUUGUGUUCUUCAAGACCUUCACAGCAACCUUGCGGCCAUCACAAAGGGUUCCUCUAUACACGGUUCCAAAUCCGCCUUUCCCAACCUCUUGCGAAAAUGACUUUGUAAUUCUCUUUACUUGCACGUAGCUAUAGUGUUUCACUGGAAUAAGGGCCUUUAUAUUAAGUUUCCUAGGAGCAUGUGAUGAUGUCUUCCUUUGCUGGCUGAUAAGACAGAAUAAAAUGAUGACCACCAACCAAAAGUGUACUCGAUUAACCGGAAAAAAAAAAAAGAAGCUAGGUUUUCAUAAGAAGUUUACUCUGUUACUGGGAUGUCUUUGCUUGUGUAUUGAGCUUCAUGUGCCUUCUUUCUGCACCUGAUGGAACAAAGCCACCCUACUAUAAGAAAUAACAGUGCCAAUCCGAAAGCAAUUUCCAUUCCUAAGACCAAUAAAACAACAACAACAACAACUUUCAUUGCAAGUCUAUGUUGUUGCCUAUAGUGUGAUAAAAUCAACUGCCUUAAAAAGGUAAGAACCUGCUUUUGCGGCAGCAGAGAAGCCUGCAUCAACACAAGGACGCCAAAAGAGAGGUCAGUUCAAAGUUCAAAUUGAAGAGAAAACAUUGUUCUUUACCAGAAACUAAAAACUUAGAUCAGCUCUUUCUUUGUAACGGAAUUGAUGUAAGAAUUUAGGGAAGAUCCAAUCAAAAUGUGGGUCAAUGGAAGAAUAUUUAGGGAUAUGAAAAACAUAUCUUACCUUUCUUUCUGCAGGUAAGGCUAUACGUCUGAUGUAUACAAUGACAGAUAGAUUCAUUUGACAUCCGGUUAUAUCCACAAGCACCGUCAGAGGCUAUGCACAUCAAACAUUCAUGGUUAAGUCCAACGUUGAAACCCUCUUGAAGAGUCUUCUUCAGAUUAUCUUGAGUUGUAUUUUUCUGCAGUGUGAUCAACGCCGGUCCAGUUGCAGGAAUACUGACGUUUCUUUUGCACUGUCCGCUGAAGUCGUUUAAAAAGCCACCAAUCUCGCUAAGUAAAGGAGACGAGAGGUUUGUCGUCACAUAGUAACUUUUCUCAUCAUCACCACCACAGUCAAGUUCUCCAACUAAAAGAGGAAAACUCCGUGGAAAGUUUUGUGAGCAUCCAUAAUAAAUUGUCAGAUUAUCGGUGCCAGGGACGAAAGGAAGGACGUUUUCGUUGAACUGCGCAUUUAUUGAGUGUUGGGGACAGAAACCACCGAUGUAAUCUGACCUGGCGAGUCUUAUGACACGAGAGGUAGAGUUUGCCUCUAAGAUUCUGAACUUCACGGCAGAGAUGCUAACCUCUGCAAACCUUUCACUGCAUUGGAGCUGGAAGUCGGGGUGGCCGCAUUCGACUCUGCUAGGUAUCCAGAAAGGGUAAAAGAGAUCUGUCUGAUCGCCACAGCUAAAUGAUUGGCUGCAGCGUCUGUGAAGCUCAUCAGCUGAGGAAACACAAUAAGGUAUCACAAAGAGUAUCCAUAUGAUUCUGUAGAACAGAGAAUUUGUAAGGGAUAGAAACAGAAUGAUCAUUGUGUUGAGGUGUCAAUAGGAAAAUGGUGAAGAAAGAAUAAUUAAUGAAUGUCUUAGUUUUGUAAGAAGGAAAAUGGCUAAGAACCUGUGUUUCAGUCAGUCUUCUGAAAACUGGACCAGGCCGGUCGGACACUGAUUUCUUGUUCUAACCGGUUUUGGAUUGUGUUAGAAACCGAAUUUUAGUUAUUCAGGCAAACAUGGUUAAAAACCGGUCAAACUCGGGUUCUAUAUUAAAACCCGGUUUCUCAAAUUCAAAUUAAAGAAAAUUAUAAAGUUUCAAAAGUUUUAUGAAAAGUUUAUAUUGUUUUUAAUAUCUAUUUAAAUAAUUAGUUUUUACUAUAUUUUUAUAUUGCUUUUGAAAGUUUUCAUUCUAGUUUAUAUCAUUUUUAGAUUUUAACAAUAAUAUAAAAAUUUAUAAAAGUAAUAUUAUAGUUAUAUAGUUACUUAACUAAGAAUUAAACUAGAUUUUAAAAUCUGGUUAGACUUGUUCAAUGAUUGAUCCAGCUACAAUGAUAAGCCAAGAACAAUGGUUUCGGUCUUUUGGACAAACCCUCCACAUUAUUAAUAUUGAAGUUUCUUUCUGGAGUUUUUAUUAAUUAUACGAGUCCAAGUUUCUUUUUGACUUAUGUGUCUUAGACUAUCUCUAAUGGUUUAUUCUAUUUUUUACUCUAUAAUAAAAUUUGAGUUUGCUCUAAUGGUGCUAUAUUUUAGAGUUAAAAGUAGAGUGAUGAAAAAAAACAAGUUAACCUAUAUUUAGAGUAACCUAUUUUUCAUUUUAUUAUAGAGUGAGAAAUAAAGUAUCAUUGAAGUACUUUUACUCUAAACUCUAUUUUAGAGUGAAAAAUAGAGUGGAGUUGGAAAUGCUCUUGCGACAAAGACUUUGAAUAUACUAGUAAACAAUGAAAAAGGAAGUGAUUUAAGCGAGUUGUUUUUGUUGAUUGUUUUUAUAGAAAAAAAAACGAGUUCACACCUUGGACUAUAGGAAGUUGGAUUCUUCCUUAGGGUUUUUUUGGUAAAUAACCCAAAAAAAAUUAGAUUUUGGGAGAGGAGUAGAGUAGAGAGAGAUAGGAAGAGGAUGUAAGAGAGAGAGGGGGAUUUUGGUUAGAUUUUUAAAUUUGUUUUGUUUCUUAGCUGCUUGGCCUAAUUUCCCUUUUUCCUUAUAUGAUAAGAUUGUUUUAUAUUUUUAUUGACUUCUAAGCAGGUGCUUGGCAAUUUCCUCAGGAAAAAAAAAUCUCAAAUCUAUGUUCUAUUUUUACAGAAGUUAACCAGCGAAACUGACUGAUGUAGAGGCAAACAGUGGAGUGUUGAAUAAGGCAAAAUUUUCAUUUACUAGGGAAAUGGACUGAUGUAGAGAAAGACUAAUUGGAUGAACGAUAAGGACUAAUUGUUAAGUUGACCGCAAGUUUUCAGCAACUAAAGAAGAUUCAAACCAGUAACGUUUUUUUUAUUACCUUGUCACACCUUCUCUUUUAAUCUCACUCAUAAGCUACGUGACUAUGUCUGAGUGUGUUAAAAUCAACAAAGGAAGGUUGAAACAAAAAAUAGAGUGUGCAUCCAGUUCUCAGAUUUGCUGCUU
rnacentral:lncRNA from 1 species